rnacentral:lncRNA from 1 species
CGGUUUAUUAUUCCGGUGUCCUACUUGAACCAACCUUCAUUCCAAGAUCUGUUAAGUCUAUCUGAAGAUGAAUUUGGAUAUGAUCAUCCAAUGGGUGGUAUCACAAUCCCCUGCAGUGAAGACACCUUCCUUGGUCUCACCUCAGCUUUGGUGUAUAAGUAGAGGCUAGCUACAUAUACGUCGACACCAUUUUGACACCAACAGCUGUAAAAGCGCUUGGCAAUUUCAAUCGCUUUCUGGCUCACUUGAAGGAGGUUCAAUUAAUUGAUCAUCCAAUGAAUCAUCAUGAUGGAAGAGGACAUCAACGUCAAACCGCUUAUGAGCUGAGAGGAAAAUGGCUAGCCUAGCUGACAUAAACUCACUGACACAAAUUUUCAAGAAUAGUUAUUGUCAACAGAAUGUACAUAGUUGUCCUGAAUAGUUAUGAAUGGAAUAUUGUACGGAUAAAAUUUUAAAUAUAACAAGCAUUGGAUGCACCCAGAAUAGCACUAAUCCCUGCUGAAAUUACCAUGAAAAUACCAAUGUGUGUAUUCAAUAUGCUCCAAAUUAAAUAGCACUAGUCCAUGCUUAAAUUCUCACAAAAAUAUCAAUGCGAACAUUUUAAUACAUUCUAUCUCAUAGAAAUUUUGGUUUGGUUGACAUUAGAAACCUAUUCAGGCAAAUCCCCAAAGACAUGCGCCAAAGUUUUUAACCAUGCUAGGCUCUAAGAUAUCCAAAUCUUGAUAUGAUUAUAUUACUUACUAGCCUGGUCAAAAAGUUUCAACUAUACAGAUAUUAGCAAAGCAAAGAUAUAGUCUCAAGCAGGUUCUUUACUGCAAGAGAUCAGCCUAGCUACUUAAUUUUUUCCCGUGUCAAGAACUACAACUCCUACCUUCCCCAAAUUUGAUCUGAUUACUCGAAUAAAUGGUACCUGUAUAUACGAAUGUUCCAACUUGAUUUUGUGUGUUGACAGUGGAAUCUGUACGAAUUAAAAGAUUUAUCUUUAUGGGAGCUAUAGGUCUUUGGCUAGCUAAUUCAGUACUCACUUGUGUUAAAUCUCUCAUGGACAGUGGAAUCACAUGACAGGGAAAAUAUGUGGAGCCUCAAUCACUACCAAGGCUUCUGAAGAAUUGGAAGACAGAGCCAUGUGAACUUUGAAAUGCUAAUAUCUAUUGCCACUCAAUUGCCUGGAGAAUACCCACACGGCUCCUCACGCCAAGUAGUAGAGAUUUUUCCCCGACACAUCCAUCGUUUUAUCCUUUUGGGUAUGGAAACUUGUUGCUAUGAUAUGGUUGUUCAACCACAAAUCAAUUUGUAUUGGGCCCACAUAUUGUUGUGAUUGGCUCAUAUUUUGAGCUGGCAACACUGAACCUGUGUUUGCUUUAAGUGGAAAUAUCACAUGGUGUGGGCUGCAUGAAAGGUGAAGAUAAGUGUUGCAAAGUAAAAGCAAAAGUGGGUUCGCCUUUUGACUUUGGGAGCAAUUCAAGAAAUGUGAUGAUGGCUUGGCCUUUAUUUAAUGCAAGGAAAAGUUUGCAUUAGGUGGGCUUGCCGAGGGAGAAGGUUUGCAUCAGAAAAGCAUCCAAGGUGGAGAGAGCAUUAUUCUCUCCCAUGGGAAAGGUUGAACAUGGGUUGAGAGAAAAUCAAGAGAGCUAGAGUGAAAAGUAUUCUAGUGAAAGAACUCUUGGGGUAGAGUGAGGCUCAUGGGAAAAUUCUAUGAGUGGGUGUGCAAGGGAUUCGGGAUUGGGUUAUAUUAAUUUAACUCAUGUGUACUUGUACUGUUAUUCUUAUAGUGAAGAGCAAUAUCUCUCCGGGGACGUAGACAGGAUUUUUGCCGAACCUCGUAAAUUUCUCGGUGUCUUUAUUUCUUGUAUUUUAUUAUGUUCAACUGAGUGUGAUUUGGUGAAGUUGUAAUCUGAAUCUCAUUUCCGUACUGAUGAACGGGCCAAGGCACAACAAUUGGUAUCAGAGCAUCGUUGGGCGCUUGGUUCGUUUGAGGUCCAGAUUUGUUGUUCACCAUGGAAUUUUCAAUUGAGCAGUUUAAUGGGAGAGGCGGUUUUACUCUUGGUAAAGGAGAGUAAUGGAAGCCUGAAGAAAUGGAAGUCGUGUUCAAGGAUGUUUAGAUCAACUGUGAAAGUUGAUGUUAAGGAAGAAGACAAAUACCUCUUUCUUCUUACCUCACUUUCAAAUUCGUACGAGAACCUUGUGAAACUUUACUGCAUGGAAAGAUACAGUAAGUUUAGAGCAGGUGCAAGCUUCUUUGGUAUGGAAUGAUACACAAAAAUGACCAUGGAUGAUGGUGGGCACGAGACUGCUUAAGCUAUUCAAGGUAGGAAUCGUGGAAGAAAAUUGGAAAAAGGAUCUGAGAGAGACAACAGGUUCAAAUCCGGUUCCGGAGGCAAGGGUCUACAGUGCUACGGUGCAAGGCCGGGUUGUAGCAAGUUUGUGGCAUAAGGCUUCGAGUAUGCCCUCUAGGUACUAGAAGCAACACUUCUCCUGGUGAUGUAUAGUCUCAAAUGUUGUAGGGGUUUUGCAGCAGGUGGAGCUAUGGGAUUCACAGGUGAUGAGAUGGUCCUGAGGUAGAAGGAAGUGUGGGAAUUUUGUCUGGCUUGAUGGGUUGUUGCUGGAAAUGGGCGCGCUGAUGAGUUUCCAGGUUGCAGACAAUGAAGAGGAGGAAAACCCGUUGAAGGAGAUGAGGGUGUGUCGAGAUCCUGUCUGAAGCUAAAUGGUGAUUUUUAGCUUGCAGCAGCUGCACAUGCAUUGGCAGUGACUGAAUUGGAAUAGCACCAAAGAGGUUGAUUCAGGGUGUGUAUGCUGGUACGUAAAGCCAAUGGGCUUUGGUGAUGGGUGCAAGAACUUUUGCACUGUAUAUUCGCCAAGGUGGAGAUUCUUGUGAUUGGCUCAUAUUUUGAGCUGGCAACAAUGAAGUGACCUAUGUUUUCUUUCUGUGGAAAUAUCACAUAGUGUGGGCUGUAAGAAAGUUGCAGACAAGUGCUGCAAAGUAAAAGCAAAAGUGGGUUUGCCUUUUGACUUUGGGAGCAUUGCAAGAAAUGUGAUGAUGGCUUAGCCUUUAUUUAAUGCAAGGAAAUGUUUGCAUUAGGUGGGCUUGCCGAGGGAAAAGGUUUGCAUCAGAAAAACAUCCAAGGUGGAGAAAGCAUUAGGCUCUCCCAUGGGAAAGGUUAAACAUGGGUUGAGAGAAAAUCAAGAGAGCUAGAGUGAAAAGUAUUCUAGUGAAAUAACUAUUGGGGUAUAGUAAGGCUCUUGGGAAAAUUCUAUGAGUGGGUGUGCAAGGGAUUCAGGAUUGAGUUAUGUUGAUUUAACAAAUGUGUACUUGUACUGUUAUUCUCAUAGUGAAGAGUAAUAUCUCUCCGGGGACGUAGGCAGGAUUUUUGCCGAACCUCGUAAAUUUCUCGGUGUCUUUAUUUCUUGUAGUUUAUUCUGUUCAACUGAGUGUGAUUUGGUGAGGUUGUAAUCUGAAUCUCGUUUCUGCACUAACGAACGGGCCAAGGCACAACAAUUGGUAUCAGAGCAUCAUUGGGCGCUUGGUUCGUUUAAGGUCCAGAUUUGUUGUUCACCAUGGAAUUUUCAGUUAAGCAGUUUAAUGGGAGAGGCGGUUUUACUCUUGGUAAAUGAGAGUAAUGGAAACCUGAAGAAAUGGAAGCCGAGUUCAGGGAUGUUUAGAUCAACUGCGAAAGUUGAUGUUAAGGAAGAAGACAAAGGCCUAUUUCUUCUUACCUCACUUGCAGAUUAGUACGAGAACCUUUUGAUACUUUACUCCAUGGAAAGAUACAGUAAGUUUGGAGUAGGUGCAAGCUUUUUUGGUUGGAAUGAUACACAAAGGAGACCAUGGAUGAUGGUGGGCACGAGACUGCUUCAGCUAUUCAAGGUUGGAAUCGUGGAAGAAAAUUGGAAAGAUGAUCUGAGAGAGACAACAAGUUCAGAUCCGGUUCUGGAUGCAAGGGUCCACAGUGCUGCAGUGCAAGGCUAGGUUGUAACAAGUUUGUGGCAUAAGGCUUCGAGUAUGCCUUCUAGGUACUAGAAGCAACACUUCUCUUGGUGAUCUAUUGUCUCAAGUGUUGCAGGGGUUUUGCAACAGGUGAAGCUACGGGAUUCACAGGUGAUGAGAUGGUCCUGAGGUAAGAGGAAGUGUGGGAAUUUUGUCUGGCUCGAUGGGUUGUUGCUGGAAACGGGCGGCUGACGAAUUUCCAGGUUGCAGACAAUGAAGAAGAAGAAAACCUGUUGGAGGAGACGAGGGUGUGUCGAGAUCCUGUCUGAAGCUAAAUGGUGAUUUUUAGCUUGCAGCAGCUGCAUAUGCAUUGGCAGUGACUGAAUCAGAACAGGACCAAAGAGGUUGAUUUAGGGUGUGUAUGCUGGUACGUAAGGCCAAUGGGCUUUGGUGAUGGGUGCAAGGACUUUUGCACUGUAUAUUCGCCAAGGUUGAAAUUGUUGUGAUUGGCUCAUAUUUUGAGCUAGCAACAAUGAAGUGACCUGUGUUUGCUUUCGGUGGAAAUAUCACAUGGUGUGGGCAAUAUGAAAGUUGCAGACAGGUGCUGCAAAGUAAAAGAAAAAGUGGGUUUGCCAUUUGACUGUGGGAGCAUUGCAAGAAAUGUGUACUUGUACUGUUAUUCUCAUUGUGAAGAGCAAUAUCUCUCAAACGUAGGCAGGAUUUUUGCCGAACCUCGUAAAUUUCUCGGUGUCUUUAUUUCUUGUAUUUUAUUCUGUUCAACUGAGUUUGAUUUGGUGAGGUUGUAAUUUAAAUCUCGUUUCCGCACUGACGAACAAGCCAAGGCACAACACAUAUAUAGUAUGUUGAACUAGCAACCUGCCAGAAAAUGCCUGUUUUCAGCAUGUCCCUGAUUUUAUAGUUAUGUAUCUAUUCUUCCAAAAGGAUUCAAUUAUGCAAAUUUUAAUCUGAUCGGAUGGCAUCGGUGGUUAUAACUUGGAGACAAGUUCAUGUGAUUUUCCAUGAGCUAAUCUCUCUCAUGGUACCAUCGUGGUGCCUUAAUGAUCACCAAUUAGUCGUUUCAGAUAAUAGAUGGUUUAUGGCAUAUAUCCAUUUAUCUAUAUAUUUUAUGGUCAGGCUCAAAAGAAAAUGUCAAAGCCUUCUCUCAUUUUAAGAAGUCAGCUGAAAUUUUGCCUUGUUGCUUAAUCUUUUCAAUAAGAAAUUUUAAACUACGGGUUUCUGGUUUUUGGGCACUGUUCAUGCUAAGAAAUUCCAAGUUUUUUCAAAGGCCUUGGAUAUUCCUACUGAGAACUAUAAUGUAUUAUUGCUUUUUAUUCUGCUGGUUAUCUUAUAUAUCUUAUGUUUGGGUUCUAGUGAACUCUUAUGUAUUUGUUCUUAUGUCUUUCUAUCACUCGUCAAUUCUGGGUGUAUCUCAAGAUCGGGGCAUGAUGCCUCAACCAUGAUAGAUCGAACAUAAAAGGAGAGAUUUGUUAUCCUAGGACUUUAUAUGCUGCACUAUUGAUUUAGUACUUUGUAUCCAUACAAUCUUUGCCAAGUAAUAACCUCCAUAUAGUAAGGCUUAGCUAAGUUGGCUAGCUAAUGUAGUGAGCUCCUAAACUCUUCGGUAUAAUUAGGAAUGAAACCGUGUAAUUAUAAAUUGUAAAUCCCGAUGUAAGAUUUUCAACAUUAACAUGGUAUAGCACAAUUCUAAAUAUUGUAAAAUGGAGCUGUUAUUUUCACAGCAAAUAUUAUUUCCCUUACAAAAAUGCAGUGAUCGUUUACUAAAAAAUUACUACAACUUUUAUGUACAUCAUUCAAGGAUACAGUUUUUUUAUGCAUAAAAUCAGCGAGGACUUUGGUACAACGGAAAGUGUUAAGUUUGUGACCUUUGCUAGAUUGCUCCGGUCACUAGUGUGGAUAAGUACUUAAAUGGAUAAAGACAGGGAAGCAAACACAAGAUGUACAUGGUUCACCCAGAUUGGCUACGUCCACGGAGUAGAGGAGUUCUCAUUAAUUGUGAAGGGUUUACAAAAGUACAUAGGUUCAAGCUCUCCUUUUGGGAGUACUAGUGAAUGAUUUAGUACUAAUGACAUUAGGAAAUAUUGUGAGAGAAUGAUAUCUAUUUAUAGAAGAGAGUUUCUACUUUCAUUUUUACAUUGACACGUGUCAUGUUGUGAUUGGCUUCUGAUGUUGACACGUGUCGCGCUAUGAUUGGCUUCUGAUGUCGACAUGUGUCGCGCUGUGAUUGGCCUCCUGGUUGGAGAGAAACUCUUCUAGGUCAUUAACGGUAUAACGUUGACUGGUGCUCAGUAGUUUCGGGAUUGGUCAAGUAUAGUGAAAAUAGUGCUCCCCUAAGUUCCCGAGUGAGGGAAGCUCCUCGAUUUGGGACUUGCAAGUCCAAGCCAUUGAGUAAUCACGAAACUUCUAAGUACCGAAAUGUGGCAUCAUUUUCACUUGCCUUAUCUGUCUCAUAUGUAGAUGUGACAUCUUCUCUGGAAGCACUUUUCCUCCAUCCAGAGGUGGUAUCUUUAACCGAUGAAGAUGGACAAGGUAAUGUAUCAAUUUCACUUGAAGCUUACUUGUAGUUUCAGGCUUGGUCAAGUGCGAUACAAACCCUAUAGUAGGAGUCCCCCAAGUCGCCGAGCUAGGAGAUUUGCCGAAUAAGGUAACAGACAAGGUAAGCAAUCAGACUUCCAAGCAAGCAACCUGGAUUGGAGGUUUGACUUUGGCUUCCGGUUGAUUGUUCUUAUUCUCCUUGUGUCGUAAACAGCAACAAGGAUAAGGAGAAGCAAAUGGAGAAGAGAUGAUAUGAGAUACUUUUACUUUUGAAGAAGUAACUUUCCAUAAGCUUAUUCUUGAACUAGGCUGGAGGGUUUUCUGGUUUCUUCCAGAGUAUAAGGCCGACUCAAGAAUUUGAGGGUCAAAACAAGUCCAUCAAAUUUAGAGUACGUUCGACCCUGAUUAUGAGAUACUUUUGCUGUUGACAAAGUAAUGGAUGUAUCGGCACGUGUUCUGUUACGCUUGUCUCCACAUGCUUCCUUGUAUCCUUUUCACUUACCCUAUAUGUUCCUCAGGCAGAUGUGGUAUCUUUUCUGGAAGCAUAAGAUGUUAAAGAUAAGUACUCAAGAGCAAUGUCAGGUAAGUAAUCAGGCAAGAGGUUUAGGCAGUCAGUUCCUGACAGGAAGCUUGAUUCCAAGUGCUGACUGAUUGCUCUCUUUCUCCUUGUCUUGCAGGUAAGAACAAGGCCAAAGGAAAAGAUAGGGAAAAAGCAUGAUAUGGGAUACUCUUGCUUUUGACCCUGAUGAUAUGAGAUACUCUUGCUCUGGUGUGGCUGGUUUGCAUAGGUAUUAUUAAGGGGGGAAGAAAGCUGAGUAUUUCGAAAGGCUUCGUUGGGAGUGCCAUCUCAAAUAUGAGGAAGGGUUGAGCAUUUUUGCAGGUAUACAUGUCCGUGGAGGAUGGAGGUCGACAUAUAUAGGAGUCUCCCUAACAACAAGUAGUAAUGUUAUUCAUUUACCCUUAUUGGUCGUAGCAAUGUAGUGGGAGCUGCAAGCUUCACGUGUUUUAACUUGGUCAGAGUACUUUGAAAAAAUGGUAUGUGGUAUCUGGAAAGUUGAUGUUGCGUGUGAAAAUUACAGACAAGCUUUAUCCAAGGAAAUCUGGCUCUCGAAGUUCGGAGAGCAGUGCCUCUUCGGUUUUGCCUCUGGCUCUUGAGAUUUCGUGCCUCGCAAUCCAGUCAGACUCUUGAGAUUCGGAGAGCAAUGUCUCUUCGAGAGUUAAGAUCGAGAUUCGGAGGGUCGUGCCUCUUCGAUUUUUGAGCACGUAAUCCUGUUGGGAGUCUGGCUCUCGAGAUUCGGAGAGCGGUGCCUUUUCAAUUUUUUAGAAAACAAUCCUGUAGAGAAUCUGACUCUUGAGAUUCGGAGAGCAGUGUCUCUUCGAUUUUUGAGAAAGUAAUCCUGUUGAGAGUUUGGCUUUUGAGAUUUGGAGGGUGGUGCCUCUUCAAUUUUUAAGCAAGCAAUCUUGUUGGGACUGUUUUCUCUAAUGUGAGUAAAGGUUGGCCAUUUUUGCCAAUCUGCUUUGCCACGAAGCACGAAGGUUGACACACAUUGGGACUUUCUAGUUAUCAAACAGUGGUGCUGUUCCUUUACCCUUGUGGGUAACAGUGAGGUAGCUGGACCUUCAAAAUUUAUGUGUCUAAACUUUGUCAGAUAUCUUUGGCAAAGUUAUCUUUUGUACCCGAUGAGCUGAUGUUGUGUGUGGAAAGUGGUGCCUCUUCGGAAUCUGGAGAGUGGUGCCUUUUUGAUUUUUGAACCAACGGCCCUGUUGCCCUUUCUUUUGUAAGGGCACCAAUUGUGUACAAAAAGUACAUUCAAAGAGUUAUUGCUUGUAGGAAUUUUCCCCUUACUUCAGAGAUUUAUUGCACCUCAUUUCUCCUUCAUCAUUUUUUAGAAUGUCUGGCUCAUCCGACCGUCGUUUUGACUUGAACUUUGGUGAAGAGGCAGCCAUGCCUUCUCAAGACAACAUAUGGCGCCCAUCCUUCUUAUCCCCCAUUAGUCCUCUUACCGUUGGGGACUCUAUGAUGAAGAAUGAUAUGACCGCUACGGUGGUGGCCAUGAACCUUCUCACUCCUAAAGAUAAUAGACUACUUUCUAAAUGGUCUAAUGAGUUGGCUGUUAAGGAUUCUCUGGCUCUCAGUGUUCAAUGUCCAGGUUCUGUGUCUAAUAUGGCUCAACGCUUAUUUGCUCGAACCCGCCAAGUUGAAUCAUUGGCGGCUGAAGUGAUAAGUCUUAAACAUGAGAUCAGAGGGCUCAAGCAUGAGAAUAAAUAGUUGCACAGACUUGCACAUGACUAUGCUACAAACAUGAAGAGGAAUCUCGACCAACUGCAGGAAUCUGAUGGUCAGAUUUUACUUGAUCAUCAAAGGUUUGUGGGUUUGUUCCAAAGGCAUUUAUUGCCUUCGUCUUUUGGGGCUGUACCGCGUAAUGAAGCUCCAAAUGAUCAACCUUCGUUGCCUUCUCCUUCUGGGGUUCUUGUUGGAAGUAUGCCCACAAAGCCACUCAUUUGAUGUAAUAGCUUUUGGAAUACUUAUUGUAUUAAACUAUUAUAUGUUUAAUAAAGGGCAAAGCUUAUUGUUAAUCACUAUUUAUUGUAUCAUGUGUUUAAGAAAUAAGGGAAUCCAAGGAAAGUAUUUAAUCUGAGAAAAGUAAUCUAAGUUAGAUUAACGAGACCUUUCUCUUAUGUUCAUUCCUAAAAUAUUCCUAGCCAUAGGAUUGCCAAUUGGGCGUUGACAAUCCGCUAAGGUUAGUAUGUGUUAUGUCAACUCAAGCGUGAGUAUAACUAGUCUCAAGUCAUUUAGUGUUGGACACUAAGACAAACACAUAGGUGCUCGAAAGAGUAAUCAAGUACACUGAACAAAGAUCAAAAGAGAGUUCGAACAUACAUGUCAUGUAAGAACUCGUUAAUUGCAAUAUGCAAAGUAGUCCUUUGACCUGAGGCAUCAUAGAUGUCUAAUGGUUAGGUCCUUGAUCUUUGAUCAUGUCAAAGGCAUUCCAUCGAGAGUGUCCACGGUAUUGUUGGGGUCAAGCUAUCUAGUCAUGUAGGUAUAUGAAUGCACAAUAAGGGAUCUCUAACCUUCCAUGGUGGAAGGAGAAUACUCUAAGAUAUGAUUCGGGAGUCUUUGGCCAAAGCAUACGAAUAUGACUUAGGAAGUAUGUUCCAACUCAUAUUCAAUUGAAUCAUAUAGAGAAGUAUUACAUUGGAUGGUAGACAUGAAACAAACUAUCACUCAAACAAUGUGAUUAAGAGUAUUGUAUUAGAGAAGGACCGUAUUGCAUUGUAAUUGUAAUUGGAUAGGUUCUCCAACCAAUUCUAUUUAGCUUGGGUAGCCAUGACAUGUUGUUAGGUGUCACUCAUGGUUUGUGGAAGCCCUGAAGAUUAGCAAACACUAAUCUUAAUCAAAGGGAGAAUUGAAAUGAAGUUUCAACAAUCGAUUGUUAAGAGUAACAAUCGCCCACUACCUUGCUAAUUGGAACCUAAUGGAUCGUACAACGAGUAAGGAUGAAAGUGAAGAAAUAUAAAGGAAAUGGAUAAGCAAUUAAAUGGUUUAAUUAAAAAUGGUCAAGGUUAAUUAAUUAGUUAAUUAAUUAUACGAAAGGUUCGUAUUGGGCUUUUAAGUUAGUUUUGGGGUUUGGGGUCCAAAAGGGUUUGGUCCACUAGGUACAUUAUGUUUAAGUUGUAUGACAACUAAAACAAAUAUAGGCAAAUAGCCCAAUCACUUAAGAUGGCCGGCCAUAGUGAGGGAAGUGGGAAGUUUUGCUUAAUUGCAAGUUUGCCACUCACCUAAGAAAAGAGAUAUAAAAGCAUCUUUAUAGCUUUUACCUCAUUAGGGUUUUCUUGAGACAAAGAUGAGAAGCACUUUCUCUCUUUUUCUCUAAAAGAGGCCGGCCACUUAGGGAAGAGAUAGCUAGCAAUCUUUUCUUCUCUAAGUCAUCCAUUUCAUCUUCACACAUCAUCCUUGGUGUGGAGACUUAGAGACACCAAAUCUUUGGUGUUCUUGGAGAUCCUUUCCUCACAUCCUCAAGGAGCAAAGGAGCAUCAAAAGGAAGAAAAUCACAAGGAAGAUCCAAGGGGCUAGGAGGUGACUUGAAGGCUCUCCACUUGGGUGAAUCCCUUGUGUAAACAAGGAUGAGCUUCAAGGGUAAUGAAUCUCUAAAUCCUUCCUUCUCUUUAAUGUUGUUGAAGAGUCUCUUGGUUCACCAUUCACUAGGCUUUGAAAGUCAUGGGUUUUUAGAAUUGUUUUUUAAUGCAUGCCUACUUUAAUGUGUUAUUAGUUUGCAUGUGUGUUCAAAUAUUCUCACAUGUUCUUAGCUAGGACAAAAUUUUUCCUUCAAGUGGUAUCAGAGCCUAGGUCUAGUUUAUGGUGAAUCCUUUUGGGUGUUGUGUUUUUCAUGGUUUGUGAUUUAAAUGUUGUAAAUGUUACAAGCUUUGUUCUUGCUUUUGAAUAUAAAUUUUGCUUGAAAAUUUAGCAUCUCAAAUGUUGUAGAUGUAGUUCAUUUAAGCAUGAAUAUUGGAACUAAAAUUUGGUGCCAUGUAUGUGGGGAGAUUCGGCCAAAUCCAAGGGGUGGAUUUUUGGGUUCAUGUUUGUCUUGUUAAAAGAGUUUUAAAGUGACUUUUGGAACCCCCUAAGUACCCUAGGAUGUUAACCCUCUUCUGUGUAGUGAAAAUUUGGGUUUUAUUGAGUGAAAACAUCGAUGGAGCUCUUAUGAGUUUUCAUGUGUGUUCUUCAAUGUUCUUGAUGUUCUUACCAAGAACAAAAAGUUUUGGUGUUUUGAUUCAAUAUGUUUGUUGCUUUGAAUAAAGUUUUUGUUUAUUAUUGAUUAGUGAUGGAUGAUUUAUGCCUAUAUUGUUUGACAAAACAUUUUUCUUACAACUCAUCCCAAUCAACUUUUCCUCACCUACCUAUCCACUUGCACAAAACACUUUCAAAUUUUGAAUUUUUCACCAAAACCUUCCCCCCCCUCCUUUUUCACUGCCAAAACCGGCCACCCUAUUAAGUAGGGUAUUUUUGGGCCUUUUAAGCAAUUACAUAAAGUUUUGAUACUUUUGUGUAUUUGUAUUUUGGCCCAAAAAUUUACGUUUUUACGUAGAGGUCCAAAAUCAGUAAAGGACAAAUUGUUUUGCUCCUUUAAUGAAGUUUUUGCUAUUGUUGAAAUUUUUGGGUUCUAGUUGUAAUUACAUGAAGUUGUGGACUCUUGUGUUUUUACAAAGUGACACCAAAAGUUUAUGUUUUAACAUUGUGGCCCAAUAGUUGUGGUCAUUGUUUUUUAGCCCAAAAGAUGAUGAGAACAAAAUAGUUUUGUCUCUUUAAUGAGAAUUGGAUUUUCAUUUCAUUUAGUUCCAUUUAAAUCAAUUCUAUGAAUCCGAAAACCAAUUGUUUAAGUUGCUUUCUUAGUUAAUAUGAUUGAUUAAGAAAAGGGUGAUUAUGAACCAAAGACCUCGAUAAUUGAGCUAUGUGAUUGGCCACUUUACAUUAUGAAUGCUUGGGUUAAGUAGUUUAGAUUUGAAUGUAAUUUGAUUAGUUCAAAUUUGUUGUAAAUGGACACAAGUCCAUCAAAUGUGUUGUAAAAGGGCAUAAGCCCUUCGGUCUUCUGAGAGCUCUAAUUAAAGGGUGGCCUUGUUUGCUUGAAGGAUUAGCGCUGCAUCAACAUCAUCCGCUGACACCACUAAAUGUGGACUUACGGUGCUCAUACACUUAAUUUAGCAUCAGUCUUAUUGAAGGUCAAACGUUUCUCUCAUUCUUCUGUUUUGUAUGGUGACUCUCAUACAUCUCCUACAUCAAGUAUCAAUAAAAAGUUGGAGUUGCAAUUGGAUAUAUGGAGGAGAAUUAUACUCAUAACUCUAAAAAAGUACUACUACUUAACAUAUAAGCAUUCUUUUAAAGGAAAACUAAUGAAAAGGGCUUGAAAACUUUGAGUUUUAAUGAUAAAGACAAAAUAAAGGGUAAAGUGAAUAGUACCAAGAUUGACUUUUUAGUGUAAAAAUGUGGUUUUUCGUCAAAGUGAACAGUACCGGGUGCUUUUCAUUAAAGUUCCCUUCUUUUAACUGUCAAAAAGGAUCCUAAUGGGAAACUCAUCACAAGAGAAUCUGAAGAUAUAAAUCCAAGAUUGUAGGUUACGUCUUUUUUUCCUUCUCUAUUUUAUGAAAGAAAAAUCCAACGUUUCAUCACACGACCAAGAAAUGUUUUGUUGGUCAUUAACAGCAGACGACAACAAGCAGCAGCAACACACCUGGUCAUAUAAUUUAAAGGGAUGCUUUCUAUAUUGUAAUGUAAUAAACUAUGAAUAUUGCUACAGUCUCCAUUUAGGCAUUUACCUAAUCUGAUUCAAGGGGAACAGUAUGUGUCUCCCUCCUCAAUCGAAAAAAAAUGUACAAAAUCUGGAAAUUUUUUGGUUUACAAAAUUGUAACAAUCACACAGUUCGUGUAAUUGCUCUCCACAAUCCACUACCCAAUCAUACUGCACUCAAGCGAGAUAUGAGAUCAAGGAAUGCAUCUUGUCCGCAGGGAAUUGUUAGACCACCCAUUGGAUGAUCAAACCCAAAUUCUUCUUCAACUUCACUUAGCAAGUGUUGAAAUGCAGGCUGGCAGAGGAAAGAUAUGGGAACCACAAAUCGGUGCUUCUCACUCUCACCAACAUAAACUGCAAAAUAACCUUUAGGGACAUCUGCUAAAUUAUAUGAAGCUCCUUGACUUGAAUUUGAAAAAGACCGUCGAAAAAGUUUCUUAGCAGGAAUUACAGCAGGCAGACGGACCCCAUUGUUGUAAGUCUUUGGAGGAAAGACUAGCAAUAAAGUUUAUAAGAACUUGAAGAGGAUCUCAAUGAACUUGUAAUUGCAAAACAAGAAAGCUGUAUACUUGAGAACUUGAAGAUUUAAUUUGGUGGUCAUCAUCCCAUUCAUAUGGUAUAUAUAGAUGAAAAGUAUUGUGUAACAUCUUCCACUAGAGAAAAAAUAUAUGGUAAAGACAAUGACAAUCUGGAUGGGGUAUAGAAGGGAAUAAGAGUUCAUCAGGGAUCACAUGGUUCUGUCUUCAAAUUAAUCAAGCAUUUAGCCAAAAUAUGUGGAGCCUCCAUCACUACCAAGGUUUGUCAUGAAUUGGAAGGCAGAGCCAUGUGAACUUUUAAAUGCUGAUAUCUAUAGCCACACAAUUGCCUGGAGAACACCCACACAGCCUUUCACGCCAACUGUUAAGAGAUUUAUUUUUAUUUUUUUUUCUUUUUCCCGACACAUCCAUUGUUUCAGUUUGGAUAUGGAAACUUGUUGCUAUGAUAUAGUACUUCAACAACAAAUCAAUUUGUAUUGGGUCCACAUAUAUAAUAUGUUGAACUAGCAACCUGCAAGAAAAUGCCUGUUUUCUGCAUGUUUCUGAUUUUAUACUAGUCAUGUAUCUAUUCUUCCACAUAUAUAUAUAGUAUGGCAUCGGUCGUUUUAACUUUGAGACAAGUUCAUAUGAUUUUCCAUGAACUAAUCUCUCUCAUGGUACCAUCAUGGUCCCUCAAUGAUCACCACUCAGAGAAAAGUAUACGAAUUUGAAGACAGGCAUGUGAACUUGCAAAUGCUUCUGUCUUUAGAAUUAUUAUUUUUUUCAAUCCCAUUCAAUUUCCUGCAGACCACUCACUCAAACUUUCUUAUAACAUUAUGUUGAUUGUUAGGAUUACGACUGAUCUUUCCAGCAUACCUUCCAAACAUGAGUAGGACAUUGUGUUUUAUUUUUGUUUCAAUACGUUUUCAGUUUGUGCAGUUAUUAAGAGAUGUAGCUGUUGGGUAUUGUGAUUCUUCAUUUCUGCUCAUACAUUUUUCUUGAUUAAUUGGAAAGACAAGUCCAUGUGAUUUUCCAUGAGAAAAUGACUAUCACUUGGCUCCGCGACAGUCCUUCAACAAUUGUAUUUUUUUCCGUAAAUGAUGUCCUUGAAAAAUUGGAAAUCAUAGCCCUGUGAACAUUUAAAUGCUUAAGCUGGGUCACUUGACAAUCCGCAUUCAAUUGCCUCCAGACCACUCUCUCCAACUUGUACAGAUUAUUUUGUAGACCUCACAUUUUAUAUGCUAAAACUGUUGAAAUAGCACCACGGGAAAAAUUCUUGUCUCAAGCAUGUCUCUGAUUUUUUAUAGGCCUUCAAUUAAGAGAGGUAGGACAUUGGGUUGCUUUCGUUCAGUCAUUGACUCGUGAAAUGUUGUUGAUAACCUGUAGACAAGUCCAUGUGAUUUUCUAUGAGCAAACUCUCUCUCUCACUUGGGUCCAUCCCAGUGCUUCAUCACCAAUCAUUUUAGGUAACUGAUGGCUUGCAGCAUACCGCUUUGGCUAUAUAUGCAUACAUCAUCCACGGUUCAUAAGCAAACCAACACAAGUCUUCUACUCCCAAGCAUAUCUUAUCAAAGCUCUUUCUGUAACGAAAUUCAUUUGAACUCUUUAUUGUUCCUUUUUACAGAGAAAUUUUAAAACCAUGGGUUUUCCGAUUGCCUGGUAUUAUUUUACUUGCCAAGAAAAGUCAAGUUUCUUCAAAGUCAUUGGAUGUUUCCAAAAGGCUAUCUUGCCAUCUACGUUGGGAGAGAGCCAGAAGAAGCGGUUUAAUUAUUCCGGUGUCCUACUUGAACCAACCUUCAAUUCCAAGAUCUGUUAAGUCUAUCUGAAGAUGAAUUUGGAUAUGAUCAUCCAAUGGGUGGUAUCACAAUCCCCUGCAGUGAAGACACCUUCCUUGGUCUCACCUCAGCUUUGGUGUAUAAGUAGAGGCUAGCUACAUAUACAUCAACACCAUUUUGACACCAACAGCUGUAAAAGCGCUUGGCAAUUUUAAUCGCUUUCUGGCUCACUUGAAGGAGGUUCAAUUAAUUGAUCAUCCAAUGAAUCAUCAUGAUGGAAGAGGACAUCAACGUCAAACCGCUUAUGAGCUGAGAGGAAAAUGGCCAGCCUAGCUGACAUAAACUCACUGACACAAAUUUUCAAGAAUAGUUAUUGUCAACAGAUUGUACAUAGUUGUCCUGCAAGGAAAACUCAGAUUAGAAUAUUUCAUUACAAUACAACGUUUUUACAGUUUCAUGAUUUACCUUUCAUUUUAUUCACUAUCUUCUCUAAUCAAGUUAUGAACAGAGGAUAAAUUUAUACACAAGGGACUAAUUACUGGAAUAUUGACAGACGAAGUAAUGCAAGUAAACAUCAUAGGAAGAUUUAAAAACAUGUUAUGAAUGGAAUAUUGUACGGAUAAAAUUUUAAAUAUAACAAGCAUUGGAUGCACCCAGAAUAGCACUAAUCCCUGCUGAAAUUACCAUGAAAAUACCAAUGUGUGUAUUCAAUAUGCUCCAAAUUAAAUAGCACCAGUCCAUGCUUAAAUUCUCACAAAAAUAUCAAUGCGAACAUUUUAAUACAUUCUAUCUCAUAGAAAUUUUGGUUUGGUUGACAUUAGAAACCUAUUCAGGCAAAUCCCCAAAGACAUGCGCCAAAGUUUUUAACCAUGCUAGGCUCUAAGAUAUCCAAAUCUUGAUAUGAUUAUAUUACUUACUAGCCUGGUCAAAAAGUUUCAACUAUACAGAUAUUAGCAAAGCAAAGAUAUAGUCUCAAGCAGGUUCUUUACUGCAAGAGAUCAGCCUAGCUACUUAAUUUUUUCCCGUGUCAAGAACUACAACUCUUACCUUCCCCAAAUUUGAUCUGAUUACUCAAAUAAAUGGUACCUGUACAUACGAAUGUUCCAACUUGAUUUUGUGUGUUGACAGUGGAAUCUGUACGCAUUAAAAGAUUUAACUUUAUGGGAGCUAUAGGUCUUUGGCUAGCGAAUUCAGUACUCACUUGUGUUAAAUCUCUCAUGGACAGUGGAAUCACAUGAUUGGUGAUUAAUCCAAAAGAACUAGGGACCGAAGCCGUUUGGAAGCUCCUGAGUCAAUGUCCAUCUUAUUAAAGAAGCACCAUGUCCACUCUCAGCAGUUGUAUAGAAGUAACUAAAACUGACUGACAAUAUAUCCCACCUUUAAGAUAAUCCCCAAGCUAAUUAGAUCACAGACAGGCUUAUUGAAGGUUCAACGUUUCUUUCAUUCUUCUGUUUUCUAUGAUGACUCUUAUACAUCUACAUCAAGUAUUAAUAGAAAGUUGGAGUCGUAAUUGGAUAUAUGGAGAACAAUAUAACUCAUACAGAAAAUUUCAUAGUGGAGUUGUUUAAAUGAAAAAUUCGCAUUUUACUCUACCAAAUGACAUACUAGUCAUGCAGAGAAAACUAAGGUUAUUGGCUAAACUGUUGAGGGGACUACUACUUAACAUAUUAGUAUUCUCAUAAAUAUAUAUAAAAAUAAAUAGUAAAAUAAAAAAGGAUCCUAAUGGGAAACUCAAUCACGAAAGAAUCUGACAAAUUUAAUCCAAAAUUGUACAGGUCACGUUUUUUUACUUCUCUUUUUUAUGACAGAACAAAAUUAGUCCUUAAGGUUAAAUCAGACGGUUCAUCCACGACCCAAGAAAUGUUUUGUUGGUCAUUAACAGAAGACAACACCUAGCAGCACCAACACACCUGGUCAUAUAAUUUAAAGGGAUGCUUUCUAUAUUGUAAUGUAAUAAGCUAUGAAUAUUUCUCCAUUUAGGCAUUUACAUAAUCUGAUUCCAGGGGAACAAUAUUUCUCCCUCCUAGAUCGAAAAAAAAAAUGCGCAAGAUCUGGAAAUUGUUUGAUUUACAAAAUUAUAACAAUCACACAGUUCAUGUAAUUGCUCUCCACAAUCCACCACUCUAUCAUACUGCACUUAAGCGAGAUACAAGAUCAAGGAAAGCAUCUUGUCUGCAGGGAAUUGUUAGACCGCCCAUUGGAUGAUCAAAUCCAAAUUCUUCUUCAGCUUUACUUAGCAAGUGUUGAAAUGCAGGCUGGCAGAGGAAAGAUAUGGGAACCACAAAUCGGUGCUUCUCACUCUCACCAACAUAAACUGAAAAAUAACCUUUAGGAACGUCCGCUAAAUUAUACGAAGCUCCUUGACUUGAAUUUGAAAAAGACCUUCGAAAAAGUUUCUUAGCAGGAAUUACAGAAGGCAGACGGAACCCCAUUGUAGUAAAUCUUUGGAGGAAAGACUAGCAAUAGAGUUUAUAAAAACUUGAAGAUCUCAAGGAACUAGCAACUGCAAAACAAGAAAGCUAUAUGCUUGAGAACUUGAAGAUUUAAUUUGGUGGUCUUGAUCCAAUUCAUAUGGUAUAUAUUGAUGAAAAGUCAUGUUGAUUAAUAUCUUCGGCUAAAGAAAAAAUAUAUGGUAAAAUCAAUGACAACUCGAUGGGGUAUAGAAGGGAACAAAAGAUCAUUAGGGAUCACAUGCAUGGUUCUGUCUUCAAAUUAAUCAAGCAUUUAGGGAAAAUAUGUGGAGCCUCAAGCACUACCAAGGCUUCUGAAGAAUUGGAAGACAGAGCCAUGUGAACUUUGAAAUGCUAGUAUCUAUUGCCACUCAAUUGCCUGGAGAAUACCCACGCGGCCCCUCACGCCAACUACUAGAGAUUGUUCCCCUACACAUCCAUCGUUUUAUCAGUUUGGGAAUGGAAACUUAUUGCUAUGAUAUAGUUGUUCAACCACAAUUCAAUUUGUAUUGGGUCCACGUAUAUAGUAUGUUGAACUAGCAACCCGCCAGAAAAUGCCUGUUUUCAGCAUGUCCCUGAUUUUAUAGUUAUGUAUCUAUUCUUCCAAAUGGAUUCAAUUAUGCAAAUUUUAAUCUGAUCUGAUGGCAUCGGUGGUUAUAACUUGGAGACAAGUUCAUGUGAUUUUCCAUGAGCUAAUCUCUCUCAUGGUACCAUCGUGGGGCCUCACUGAUCACCAAUCAGUCGUUUCAGAUAAUAGAUGGUUUAUGGCAUAUAUCCAUUUAUCUAUAUAUUUUAUGGUCAGGCUCAGAAGAAAAUGUCCAAGCCUUCUCUCAUUUUUAGAAGUCAACUGAAAUUUUCCAUUGUUGCUUCAUCUUCUCAAUAAGAAAUUUUAAACUACGUUUUUCUGGUUGCCGGUCACUGUUCAUGCUGAGAAAUUCCAAGUUUCUUCAAAGGCCUUGGAUAUUCCUAAUGAGAACUAUAACGUAUUAUUACUUUUAAUUCAGCUGGUUAUCUUAUAUAUCUUAUGUUUGGGUUCUAGUGAACUCUUAUGUAUUUGUUCCUACGUCUUUCUAUCACUCGUCAAUUCUAGGUGUAUCUCAGGAUCGGGGCGUGAUGCCUCAACCAUGAUAGAUCGAACAUAAAAGGAGAGAUUUGUUAGCCUACGACUUUAUGUGUCCAUACAAUCUCUGGUAAGCAAUAACCUCCAUAUAGUAAGGCUUAGCUAAGAUGGCUAGCUAAUGUAGUGAGCUCCUAAACUCUUCGGUAUAAUUAGGAAUGAAACCGUGUAAUUAUAAGUUGUAAAUCCUGAUGUAAGAUUUUCAACAUUAACAUGGUAUAGCACAAUUCUAAAUAUUGUAAAAUGGAGCUGUUAUUUUCACAACAAAUAUUACUUCCCUUACAAAAAUGCAAUGAUCAUUUACUAAAAAAUUACUGCAACUUUUAUGUACAUCAUUCAAAGAUACAGUUUUUACUCCUCACAAAAGUUUUCACAAUUACUUCCUACAGCCAGUGUUACCAAAUCAUGUAAUUCUUUAUAAUUCUUUACGGACCACUGUCGACCUAGACAAUAUUAGAUAAGAGAUACUCGUAUUGUAAGCAAACUAUAUAGAAACUGAAAUCUUUCUGUGAAACCUUGCUCUAAACUAAUUGUAAUUUCAUUUAACAGGAAUUCUGAAAUUACCCUUUUGUCCCCUAUCCACUACUCAAUCCAGUUCUUUUUGGGAUUUCCUCACAACUCUAUCUCUCUCUCAUUAGCUACCACAUGGCAAUUCCCCAUCCAUUUUCUCUCAUUCUCUCUUCCUUUCUCUCGAGCUCUCUCAUUCUCAGCUCACUUUCUCUCUCGCACAAACUCUCUCUUCCUCACCCUGAUCUACGCACACCCCAAAUCAAUUCACGACGACGACAGCGACACAACCACACCCACCGUGUGAGCCUCUCUCUCUCCCUCCUUCUCCAUGAAGCCCAGGAACCCAACAAAAUUCCUCAGGCAAGCCCCGUGGCUUUCGAGCCAAAAUCCGGCCAACUCCAGCCACCACUCUUCGUGAAAUUGGUACGAAUCUCUUCCUCUCCUCAUAAGCUUCAAUUUGAUAGAUAAAUCACACCCUAGGGUUGAGAAUCGACAUUGAACGGAGCUCAAGAAGCUACGGCAUUCCCUUCCGUCGAAACCGGGUUGAAACGACCCAAACUCGGAGCCCAAGUCCUUUGGCCUAAAUUCUUGGGCUAGGCUUUCAAGCCCAAAGCCCAUUAGAACCUAAACCCAAAACCCCAUGUAAUCCAAGCCCUUGGGCCAUAUAGAACUCAGGCCUUAUACCCAUUAAACCCUCAAUACAAACCCUUUGAGCCCAAACCUGAAACCCUUUAACCCUAUUUCACCCAAAAUUAGGCCUCUGGGCCAUGUUAAUGUGAGCCUUAGGCCCAAUGAACCUAAGCCCAACCUUGCAGCCCGGUUCCUUAAACCCAAGCCUUUGGGCCGUGCAACCAGGCCUAGUUGUGAAGCCCAGGCCUAAUUGCCUCGGCCGACCCAAAGAACCCAGAAACCUAGCCGUGAGUAGGCCAUGCAUAACCCUACGCGUCGGCGUGCAUGGAGCACACGCACCUCCAUCCACUGCGGCACCGGUGAUUUUUCCAGCCAACUUUCCAGUGACCAAUUGCUGGGCGUGGCCGCUAGAGCCGCCACAUUGCAGCGGCGCGUAGGGGUACCCGAGGUUCUAAUUAUGUUUUUCAACGUCCUGAAUCUGUUUAUGAUGUACAUUUCCCUAAAUUCAAUCAUUAUGAUAGAGUUUUAUUAAUUGGACUCUUUAUGUGGUUAGGUGUGACUAUUAGCGGUGAUUUUGUCCUUCCUAUUUCGCACGGUUCAUCGACGAUGAAGUAUUUGUGAGUGAACCCCUUCUAAAAUGCAUGUUUUAAUAGUAGAAAUGCAUACAUGAAAAGCAUGAUUUAAUGGUUACGUUUUAUGAGUAAAUUAGAUUUACACUGUAUGUUUAUCAUGCUUUAGUGAGAAUAUUUUGGAAUACCAUACUUUAUCGAAAUUAUGUUCUUUGUAGUAUAUAUGAUGGAUGACUAUAUACUAUUUAUGAACAUGUUUUUACACUCUUUGUAGUAUAUAUGAUGGAUGACUAUAUACUAUGAAGAUGUUUUGAGAUAUAUGUAUUUAUGUCAGAAAGAUUAUAUUCAAUUAUUUUGUGCUUAUCUAGUGGUUACUAUAUAUGCCUUCGGGUGGGUGUUGUAGGAGUCUACGGAUGAUUGAUACUAUAUAUGCCUUCAGGUGGGUGUUGUAGGAGCCUACGGGCAAUUGAUAUGUGAAGUGUUCUGAAUGAAGGCCUUCGAGCGAAUGAAGUGUUCUAAAUGAAGAGUUCUAUAUAUGCCUUCGACCGAUCCUGAUACCAUUAUUUAGCACACUAUAUCAGAUUUACGUUUUACAAAGGUUUUAUGGCAUGCUAGGGUUUUCGGAAAACCUAUCACAUAUUAUGCUAUUAGUUUUCAUAAACUUUGGGGGUUAGUACAUUAAUGAAUAACUAUAUUUGUACUACUUAUAUAUCAACUUGGUCCAACCAUAUUUGUUUUGCGCUCCCUCAGGACAUAGGAAUGAGGCUUACGAUCCGAGCUAUGAGGCAUUCUCCUACUAGUGGCAUUGUGCCAUCCUUUCUGCUUUGACGUCAUUGUAAUCGCACCUUCCGCUUGUAUUCUGAAUUAGAUGUAAGCUCUGAACAUAUCAUGCACUAUCACUAUCUUUAUCAUUGUCGGCAGUUGAAUAUUAUUAUAUUAUUUUAUAAGGUUUAUGUGGGAAUAUUACAUUGCGUAGUUCGCGCAAAAUUUACAUGCAUGUUUCACAUUUUCUCAGCAUAUGCAUUCAUUAAAUGGCUUGCGUCACCCCCGGGUGUUGGCCAGCACGUGACCAUCCCAAUGUCCCUUGGACAUCGGGAUCAAGGCAUGUCACUUUCUCUGUAAGCUUUCUUUUGUAUUGAAUGAAUAACUCAUUACAUUGUGCAUGACAGUAUAUAUAGCCCUUGGUUAUUUACAUUCACACCUUUAACAACCUUAACUAAUCACAACAAUUAAUAUAACUAACUACAUUUAGUUAUAACAAACUAUUUAUCAGUAAUUGAAAUGGAUGACUUGCCAUUCUCCCCAAUACAUCCCCUCAAGCUAAAAUUGGGAUCAUAGGUGAUACCAAAUGGGAAGCUUAGAUUUCAAGUGAGCAAACCUGCUUUUAGACAGAGACUUGGUGUGUAUGUUAACCAAUUGAUAUUCAUUGCAAACAAAUUGCACUUUAACCAGAUUGGCAAACACUAAUUCUUUGAUAUAGAGUAGUCUAUAUCAACGUGUUUUGUUCUUGCAUGAAAUACAAGAUUGGAAACUAAAGAGAUAGCUGAGAUAUUGUCACACCACAAAGUAGGAAUUUUAGGGAGAGGAAAUUGAUGAUCAUGAAAGAUUUUUCAAAUCCAAGUGAUCUCUAUAGUCGUGUGAGCUAAGGAUCAAUGCUCAACUUCUGUGGAAGAUCGAACAACUAUGCAUUGUUUCUUGGCACUCCAACUUAUGAGAUUUCAUCCAAGUAACACACAAUAUCCACUUGUUGGUCGCCUGUCAAAUGUGCAGCUUACCCAAUCAACAUCUAAGUAUGUUCAAAGAUGAAUAAGACCUUUUUGAACCAUAAACCACAAGAGAUGGUGCCUUUAAGAAAUCUGAGUACUCAUUUUGCAGCUUGAAGGUGUUGAUCCCUUGGAGCAUGUAUGAAUUGACAUAUUUGGUUCACAUGAUAUGAAAGAUCAUGCCUAGUCCAUGUAAGAUAUUGCAAUCCUCUAACAACUGAAUGAUAUUUAGUAGGAUUGAGCAAAAGAGGCCCAUUGUGAUCCAGUUUCUUGGAACCAAGAGGAUUACAACAAGGUUUUGCACCUUCCAUAUUUGUUUUCAUGAGAAGAUCGAGCAAGUAUUUAGAUUGAUGAAGAAAAAUACCUUCAGAUGUUCUAUGCACUUCUAAACUAAAGAAAUAAUGUAAUGGUGCAAGGUCUUUAAUAGGAAAAUUGGCACAGAGUUUUUGAAUGAAAAUUGGCACCAACUUGACCCACUUGUAUCUCCUCCAUCCGAAAUUCAUUUUGGGUGAUCUUGAUGUCCAUUGAAAGCUUUUGACGAGCCCUACAUCUCUGUAGUGUUAGAUUUCCCAUUUUCUUUUCCAUCUUUGCAAUUCGAAGCCAAAAAGCCCAUGACUUUUCCGGCAGUUUUAUCAUUUUUCUGGUGAUUUCGGCAACCAUUUCCUUUGAGUGAGGUAUGAAACUUCAUCUACUCUUCAUAAUCUUCAAGUUGGUAUGCUUAGUUUGUGCUUUCGUAUUCAUUUUAGAGUUGGGUGUUUAGAACCCUAGAAAUAUGGUUUUCUCCAUUGAAUUUGGACUGUUUCUGGUUAGAAUUUAUCGUCGGCCUAGUUGUGAAAAAUAUUUCCCUUGUUGAGCUCUAGCUACCAUGUAAAUAUGAGCCCAUUUGGUUAAUGUUGAAAAUUCGGGGUUUCUAAACCCUCCACCUUGGCUACCACCUCAUGUGGCGGUGCGUGGGACCGUCCACGAGUGUUGUCUAAGUACCAAAAUUCAAUUGGACCACCACUUGUUUGUGUGAUUGAUCAAAUUGGACCACCAAAGUUCUAGUGACCCUGUGAACCUAUGUCUAGCUUGGUUUCCCAAAAUUCAAUUGUUUGGUGUGGUGAUCAAAUUGGACCGCCACUUGUUUGUGUGAUUGAUGACAAUCCGAUUGUUGGAUCAUAAUGAAAUUUUAGUAUGUUAUUCUAGAAGCAUAAUGUAGACUUUGGGAAGUUAUGGAUCAAAAAUCCAAUGUGCGGAUCUUCAGGAUCGAAUUACGUAGAGUUGUAGACCCUAUCGUUGAUCGAGAGUUGACUUGUGGAAGUCUAGUGGGCCUAUAUUGGUUAGAUAGUGACUUGAAUAUAUGAGAUAUGAUUAUUAUCUUAAUUUCUUAUAUUGGUAUCAUUUGUGAAUAUGAUUUGGUCUUAUAAAUAUGAUUUCUAUUGAAAUGUGAUUUUUAUAUAUUUAGCCAUAGACCUAUGCUUAUUACAUAUGAUUUGGCUUGUGUACUAAUGAUGUUUGUGAUAUAUAUGUGUUUACUUAUCUUUUUAAUAAUGUGAAUGAUAAUUAUGAUGAAUGUUAUGACAAUUAUGAAUUCUAAAUAUUGUUUGAUAAUUAUUUGGAUAUGAUUGCCAACUGAAUACCUAUUUGAACUUGGCAUUACUACCUAGCAUGAGAUGGAGACGAAAGUCAGGAGAUGAGUUAGGUACUUUAUUAGAUUUUUAGUAGAAAUAGUAAUUAAGGGAAUUCCUUGUGUUGUGCUCCAUAUGACUAGAUGCUAGUUGAUAUGUGGAAUCGAUAGCAUGUAUGCGUAUAAUUAUGUAUAAUGUGGGAUGAUGAGAUUGCACCAUGUAGUAGUGGUACAUGGAUGGUCUUGCUUGGUAUAUCCGUGAUGGGGGACCAUACACAUGCUAAGAGUGAUCAUGCUUGGUAUUAGGCCUAGCAAUUCUUGACACGACACAACACGAAAUUAAUAGGUGUUUGGGUUGACACGAUAACGAAUCGGAUCGUUAUCAGGUAACCCGAUAAGCAUCGAUUAAGAUAACGGGUUGGUUCGGGUAUACACGUGGGUAACACGAUACAUGAUAAGCAAAAUAUUAAUUUUGUAAUUUUAUAACCCUAAAAAAAAUACUAUAAUUAUAUAUAUAUAUAUAUAUUAAUUUAACAAUUUUAUACCCCUAAAAAUUAUAAUAAUUAUAUAUAUUAAAUAAAAUAUUAAAAAUUGGUGACCAUCGGAUCGGCUUAAAUAUACAUAUCAUUCAAUUUCUUAAGUGUUAUAUGUACAAAAUAAAUAAAUUUAAAUCUACUUAAUAAAUAUAUAUAUAUAUAUAUAUAUAUAUCAUUGAACUUGAUAGGAUACGAAUUCUACGAAAUCCAACCCUCAAACUUGUUUUCAUAUGCUUCGAGAUCGCAUCAGCAAAAACUCACAAAAAACAAACAUUCAGAGAUCAAGUAACGGGAUCAAACUUUUUGACGGUUAUCAAUGAAAAAUCACGAUUUAACGAUUAUUUUAACUCCGAUUUUGAUGAUUUUUUACAGCUACACUCCUUGACCCUAUAUGAAUAAAAUGAAUGAAUUCGAUCUUCAAUUUAAAAUAUUUACACUAGUGGAUACCACAAAAUCUUAUGUUAUACUUAAUGAAAGUAUAAAUAAAUUCUACGUGUUAGUGAAUCUAUCGUUUUGAUGGUAUAUGUGAUAUCCUGUCCCCAAAAUUAGUAUUUUAUUUUAUUCUUGAUGUAUUUCAAAGAUUUAAUUAAAACUAGUUCGUUAAUUCUCCAAUUUUGAGAAAAACAAAGUGAGGGGUACUUUAGUCAUUUCCAAUUUUCCCGACCUUUUCGGUCAACUCUUGAAUUGGUUAGGUAGAGUCCGAUUCCAUGAGCGUGUAGGCGUAAACGGAUCUCAAUUAUGAAAUAGAACGAAGAAGUUAGAGACGUUUGAAGUUAGAUGGCAUUUUGGUAAUUUGGCCAAAAUGUUAUAAAUGGAAGAAAACCUGCUGAAACUUUGCAGAAACGGAAAGGCUGAUUUCAGCUCCUUUUUGGGUUUUCAACCCGUUAACCCGCCAACUUGACCCGCUUGUAUCUUCUCCGUCCGAGCUCCGUUUUUGGGUGAUCUUGGUGUCUAUGGAAAGCUCUUGACGAGUCCUACAUCUAUGUAGUGUUAGAUUUCCCAUUUUCUUUUCCAUCUUUGCAGUUCAAAGCCAUAAAGUCCACGACCUUUUCGGUGGUUUAAUCAUUUUUCCGGUGAUUCCGGCAAUCAUUUCCUUCAAGUGAGGUAUGAAACUUCAUCUACUCUUCAUAAUCUUCAAGUUGGUAUGCUUGGUUCGUGCUUUUGUUUUCGUUUUAGAGUUGGGUGUUUAGAACCCUAGAAAUCCGGUUUUCUCCGGUGAAUUUGGACAGUUUCCAGUUAGAAUCGGUCGUCGCCAUAGUUGUGUUUCCCUUGUUGAGCUAUAGCUACCACGUAAAUUUGAGCUCAUUUAGUUAAUGUUGAAAAUUUAGGUUUUCAAACCCUUCACCAUGGCUACCAUCGUGUGUGGCGGUGCGUGGGACCGUCCACGAGUGUUGUCUAAGUACCAAAUACCUUCUAGUGACCUUAUGAACCUAUGUCUAGCUCGGUUUCCCGAAAUUCAAUUGUUUGGUGUGGUGAUCAAAUUGGACCACCACUUGUUUGUGUGAUUGAUGACAAUCCGAACGUUGGAUCGUCGCACAAUUUUGUGAGCACCAUAGUUAUCAGUUGUUAGACCUUAGGAACUUACUAGUGAAAAUCUAGUGGUUGGAUCUUACGGAGCAAGUGAUGUAAGAUGAUGGACCAUACCUUUGAUCGACGGUUUGAUUCUUAUUAAAUGUCGUUGUGGGAAACUUAUGAGAGUUUUGGGUAUGUGAAUUUAUCGAGAGAAAUCUAAAUGUGGACUUGUGCUUUGUUUUGGCAGUGACAGAGCUUGAUGCCUUGAAUUCCAUGCUAGAGUGCGUUAGUGUGGACCUCAGGUGAGUGACUUUAAUACAUGUGAUAUUGGUGAUUACCCUGUUUUCGUAAUUGUUAUCCUAUGUGGAUAUGACUUGGUUUUAUAAAUAUGUUUUCUAUUGAAUUGUUAUUUUUAAUGCUUAGCCAUUGAUUUAAAUUUAUAAAAGAGAUUUGACAUGUAUAUAUUGAAAUAUGGUUUAAUUGGUUUGCUUGGCAUGUUGUGAUGAAAUUGUAGACAUCAAAAUUUCGGUGAAAUAAAUGUUGACCAAUAAUUACAAUUUCAACGCUCAUGUGUCACAGAAAUUUUUACACGUAGCGUGUGACUAAACGAAAAAUCAAAAUAAAUCGGAAAGUCAUCAAAUAAGGACACGUGUCAACACCUGGCAGAAAUGAUUUAUUUCAUCUUAACAUUAUAUUCAAAAUUAGGCCUUCAAAAAAUUCUAUAAAUACAAGGCUAUUUCAUUCAUUUUAGGACACCAAUUCAUAACCAAUUCACAUCACACCAAAACCUUGAAGCUUUGAAACUCUAAAGCUUCCAAGUCAAUCCCGAAGGAUCAAGAAAUCUGUCUUCGUUCUUGGUUAAAUCCUCCUUCAAGAUCAAGCCCCAACGGCCCUUGAAUAACUUCCACCAAUUCAAGAUCAAGCCCCGAUGGCCCUUGAAGAAAGUGUUCAUUGUUCAUUGUCCGUUCAUCCUAAGAUCAAGCCCUAAUGGCCUUUUGGAUCAACAACAUCAACAAAUCCAAACAUCGAACCGUUCUUCAAGAUCAAGUCUAAAAGCCCUUGAAGAUCUGUUCACCCAUCAACCUUCAAGAUUAAGCCCAAAAGCCCUUGAAGAAAUUCGCACAACCAUUCUUCAAAAUUAAGCACAAAAGCCCCUUGAAGAUCCAUUCAUCCUAAGAUCAAGCGCCAACAGCCCUUUGGAUCAACAACAUCAACAAAUCCACACAUCCAAUCGUUCUUCAAGAUCAAGUCUAAAAGCCCUUGAAGAUCUGUUCACCCAUCAACCUUCAAGAUUAAGCCUAAAAGCCCUUGAAGAAAUCCGCACAACCGUUCUUCAAAAUCAAGCCCAAAAGCUCCUUGAAGAUCUGUUCGUCAACCUUCAAGAUCAAGCCCUAACGGCCAUUGGAUCAAUAGCACAAUCCAUAAAUCUACUCAUUACGAAGAUUAAAUCAAAGGCUAAAUUUGUAGAAGAGAUUGUAACCCCUAAAUCAUUAAUACAAAUAUUAUUUUUUACACAUGUUCUUGUCUCAUUCAUGGCAGGAAUAUUCGUGUUUACAAAUUUGUCAUGCCCGGUAAGACAAUCUCUACCUCUCAUCUCUAUCUGCAAAUCUGUAAAAAGCACAAAUGGCAUCAAGGAAGGCUCAAGCUGUUCCCAUAACCAACAUGAAGAACAAGAGCGUCCUUGCCGCAGGCGGUGUCACUUCGGGCAUCACAACUCAAAGCAAGGCAAGAGCUCUUUCUACCAUCUCUUCCACCCCUGCAUCAACUCUGUCGAAUGAACAAAAUCACACGAGGCACGAGCCCGUGAUCACUUUAGCCUAGCUAAGGGCGCUAAGGGAGGAAAGCCCGAGGAAGUACUCCAAGUUCUUGCUUUCCGAUGCCAACUCGAGCGUCAGCAUAGCUAUGCAAGUCAUGGCUAUCGGAGUAACUUCAAUUGAGGAGCAGCUAGCUCAAAUGAAUGAAGCGAUCGUAAAACUCACACGGACUAUGGAGGAAAAAAACUUGCAAAUUGCCGCACUUGUCAACCAACUAAAUGAAAAGCCCAACGUGAAAGUCGACCCAAUGGUUAAUCCAUUAAAGAAAAAAGUCGAUGUAGAAGAUAAGCCUCCAGCGAAGAAAGUCAAGAAGAAGCCGGAGCCAAACCAAGCAAUGGCAUUCAUGGGAUUUCUCUUUAUCCAGCAACUGUAGGAGAUGAUUGCCAGCACCAUCAAGGCGCAGUACGAAGGAAGCUCGCAUGACUUCGUACAAUACUCAAAGCCCUACUCCAAGAAGAUUGACGCUUUGAAGAUGCCGAGAGGUUAUUAGCCGCCAAAGUUUAUGCAGUUCGAUGGAAAGGGAAACCCAAAGCAACAUGUCACCCAUUUCAUUGAAACCUGCAAUAAUAUUGGAACGGAGGGAGACUACCUCGUCAAGCAGUUUGUACGCUCACUGAAGGGAAACACCUUUGAUUGGUACACCGACUUUGAGCUCGAGUCUGUCAACAGUUGGGAUCAGCUAGAAAGGGAAAUCCUUAACCGCUUCUACAGCACUCUCCGCACUGUAAGCAUACUAGAGCUGACUAGUACGAAACAGUAGAAGGAUAAACUUGUCGUCGACUACUUCAAUAGAUGGCAUUCAUUAAGUCUGGAUUGCAAAGAUCAGCUUUCUGAAACAUCUGCCAUUGAGAUGUGCGUUUAAAGCAUGCACUUGGGGUUACAUUACAUCUUCCAAGGUAUAAAACCGAGAACAUUUGAGGAGCUGGCAACUCAAUCCCACGACAUGGAGCUGAGUAUCGCCAAUCAUGGGAAGAAUGAGCUGAUCACCGACUUCAAGAAGGAUAAAGUGUUCUCCCUAAAUGUAGAUAAGGCUGGAAAAAAAACCCUCAAAUGAAGCUUUUACUGUCAACACCGCACCCAUCAAGACCUCCCCCGUGCCCAUCAAGACCUCCUCCGUGCCUAUCAAGAUCUCCUCCAAGACCAAAGCAAAGGAGAUAAAGAGAGGUGAGCCUCCUCGUACCCAAGACAAGUACAAAAACACCUUGAAGGAGCUGGACCAAAAGAUGUACCCUUUUCCUGACUAAGACAUGGAUCCAAUGUUAGACGACGACUUGCUGGAAAAGAAAGUGAUCGAGUUCCCAGAAUGCAAGCGCCCUGAAGAGAUGAAUCGCGUAAACAAUCCUAAGUACUGCAGGUACCAUUAUAUCGUGAACCAUCCUGUUAGCAAAUGCUUCAUCCUCAAAGAACUCAUCAUGAAGCUAGCACAACAAGGGCAAAUCAGGCUAGACCUUGAAGACACGGCCGCAACACAUACUACUACAAUUGCAUUUGGAUCCUUCGAUCCCGUGCCUUUCCAAGUGACACUUGACCAUUCCUGUCAAUGCUCAAGCUGCACCACACAUUCUGUACAACCAUCACUAGGGGCAAGCGACCAAGAUGCACAUACCGAUGACGAAGAAGAAUGGACAUUGGUGACCUACAAAAAGACAAGGAAACCAAAACCACAGCCACAAGGCCAAAGGUGGAACAAGGGAGAAAACACCGUCGUCGCAAUAAUAGGAAGCCCGAAAGAAACGUAAAAGCUGCUAAGCCAACGUACACUAGGGAACCUGCAGAGCAAGAGCCACGUAUUCCUAUUUCCUUACACGAGUACUUCCCGAAUGACUUCUUCUAACAGUUCAUUAUCGCUGCAUGUCACAUGGUCGAAGUAGAAACGGAAGAACUUUCAAAAGGCAAAGUCAUCGCUAUCGAGGGAGAAAUUACCCUCACACCUAAAGAAGGCAUGCCGACACACUUUAGCAUCGAGGAAGCACUAUGAUUGCCAAAGAAGAUGCAAAGAGCACUAGUAGCGGUCUUGGCAAGUCCCGACGACCACGAAGUGCAAGAAAGCAAGGACGAAGACUUGAAACUUCGACCACAUGAGUAUGUCAGUUGUUGUGCUACCCAUGACACAAUCUACUUCACCGAUGAAUACUUGCUGCUAGGAUCCAAGCCUCACAACCGUCCUCUCUUCGUCUCUGGGUAUGUAAGGGAGCAUAAAGUCAACCGCAUGCUUGUGGAUGGUGGAUCAGCCAUAAACAUCAUGCCGAAGUCAACAAUGACCACAAUCGGCAUCAAGGUGGAUGAAUUAUCCCUAAGCAGUCUACUAAUCCAAGGUUUUAAUCAAGGAGGAUAAAAAGCGAUGGGCAGGAUUCGAGUAGAAAUGACCAUUGGUGAACUUAAAUCAAGCACGAUAUUCCAUAUGAUUGAUGCAAAAACUUCCUAUAGCCUGCUCUUAAGAAGGCCUUGGAUCCACGUAAAUGGAGUAGUACCAUCCACCCUCCACCAAUGCUUAAAAUUCUACCGGGAAGGGGUAAAGGUGAUCCAAGGUGAUACAAAGCCAUUCACCGAAGCGGAAUCACACUUCGCAGACACCAAGUUCUACAUGGAUGAAGACAUGCCUGAAGCUCUUCCAUAAGAGAUCAAAUCCACAGGCAAAGCAACACCUAAAAAGCAAGAAUGGCAAGCCGUGCCAUUUUUAGGCAAAAACGAUGACGAGCUUGUUAAACCUGUAACAACCAAAGGGAGUAGGAUGCCUUCAGAAGGAUCGAACACACCAAUAUUUCAAUACAUCCCGAUGUCAAGAAGAAAGAAUGGUUAAUCCCCGUUCGAAACCAGAGCAAGCAAAGCUAACACAUAGUGGCACAAGGAUAAUGUGAAGUUGCUCAAGACGAAUGUAGUUUUGCCUCUAACACAGCUAGGUGGUGUUAAGGUUGGAAGACUACCACAAGGCUUCAUAAAAGCUCUGCCAAAAGGGGUGGAACCAAGCUUUCUUCCAACUAAGAGAACCAGAGAAGGUUUUGAUCCAAACGCCUACAAGCUCAUGUUGAAAGCUGGGUACAAUUCGUUUCCUCUUCGAAUCCUGGAGAAAAGGUUUCAAACACCAUCAUCGACAAAGAACAUAACCACACCAAGACUCAAAAGAAGUUGAAGGAGCAUGGUUACAGAGUUGACAACAACAAAGCUGGGCUCGGCUUCACACCAAAUGCACCCGUGAAGAUUUCAAGCAUAGUGAAAAAUGCUAGCACUCAACACAUUAGCGUGAGCGUUGAACAAAAUCAAGAAAAGCCUAAGUUCACUCCUUGGACGUUAGUCUUCGAUAUGAUGAAUCAUUCAAGGCUUAGAAUUUCGGCAUUUGAUGGCAUUGGUGGUCAAGACCAAACCUCCAUUUUCAAGAGGCUUAACACACCAACAUCCCAAAGCUCUGUUUUUGAAAGGUUGUUAAAACCCAAGCAACAUGGCUAACUCUCCUCCGUGAUGGUCAGCUUUGGAAAGACUUGAAGACAACAAGAAACCUUCUAGAAAGAAGGAAAUGAGGCCAAAGGAAGAAAAGCUCAACGGUCUGACAAGAAAAGAUGAUGUUCGAAGCUCUAUUCCUUCAAGGAUGAAACGCCAAGCAAUCUUGAAGGUUGACAUAAUUGGAUCACUGAAAGUGAGAAGGUGCACCAUUAUUUAUACCGGCCAAUCUUCACACCAACAAGCCCAAAAAGACGGUACUGAAGAAGAAGUCUAAGACGUCUUCCACAUCAUGAUCCAAGAAGGCAAAGAAGAUGAAAUCCCUGAGGAAGACGUCACUGCCGCACCACCAUAACUGGAGGAUGGGGGGCAAGCCAAUGUUUAGGCACAAAAGAAGAGUUGAAGCCUAUCUUUGUAAGUGCGCUGCUAAGUGCGGAUGAGACAGAAGAGUAUUACCAACUACUACUAGAGUACAAAGAUGUCUUUGCUUGGACCUACAAGGAAAUGCCUGGCCUUGACCCUGUCAUCGCUAUGCAUCAUCUUACAGUUAAGCCUGGAACGUGACCAAUAAAGCAAACUCAAAGGCGAUAUCGAUCGGAGCUUAUCCCACAAAUUGAGGCUGGGAUUAACAAGCUAAUCGAAGCAGGCUUCAUUCGAGAAGUGCAAUACCCCAAGUGGAUUUCCAACAUCAUCAUUGUCCUUAAGAAAUCUGGACAAAUACGUGUUUGCAUAGACUUCCGGGACCUUAACGAUGCUUGCUCGAAUGACGACUUCCCCUUGCCAAUCAUUGAAAUCAUGGUGAAUGCAACCACUGGCCAUGAAGCACUGUCAUUCAUGGACGACUCUUCUGGAUACAAUCAAAUUCGCAUGGCUCUCGAAGAUGAGGAACUAAUAGCCUUCCACACUCCAAAACAUAUCUACUGCUACAAGGUGAUGCCCUUUGGUCUAAAAAACAUUAGAGCCACAUAUCAACGCGCAAUGCAAAAAAUCUUCAAUGACAUGCUACACAAAAACGUAGAAUGUUACGUAGACGAUGUGGUGGUCAAGACAAAGAAAAGAUCAGAUCACUUGAAGGAUUUAUGAAUAGUGUUUGAAAGGUUGCAAAAAUACAACCUUAAGAUGAACCCGUUAAAAUGCGCAUUUGGCGUCACCUCUAGAAAGUUCCUCGACUUCAUUGUCAAGCACUGUGGCAUUGAAGUGAACCUAUCAAAGAUCAAGGCCAUUCAAAGUAUGCCUGAACCAAGAAACUUGCACGAGCUGAAGAGUCUACAAGGAUGACUAGUCUUCAUCAGGCGUUUCAUCUCCAACCUUGCAGGGCGUUGUCAACCGUUCAGUCGACUCAUGAAGAAGGAUGUUCCGUCAUAUGGGAUGAAGCAUGCCACAAUGCUUUUGAAAGCAUAAAAAAGUAUUUAUCAAGUCCACCUGUCCUGGGGGCACCUGUGCCCAAAAAACCGCUCAUAUUGUACAUUGCUGCUCAAGAAAGUUCAGUUGGAGCACUUUUGGCAUAAGAGAAUGAAUCCCAGAAAGAAUGAGCGUUGUACUAUCUCAACCGAACUCUCACAAGCGCCGAGUUGAACUACUCCCUAAUAGAAAAGAUGUGCCUCGCCUUGGUGUUCGCCAUCCAAAAGCUCAGGCAUUAUAUGUACCAUCCACCUGGUUACUAAGGCUGACCCAGUCAAAUACGUCAUGUCUAAACCAGUUUUGACAGGGCGACUAGCUAAAUAGGCGUUGCUUCUUAUCAAUACAAAAUCAUCUACAUCCCAGCUAAAACCGUCAAAGGAUAAGCGUUAGCAGACUUCCUCGCCGAUCAUCUAAUCUUAACCGAUUGGAAAAUCCCAGACCAAUUGCCUGACAAUGAGGUGUUCUACAUCGAUAUCUUCCCAACAUGAAUGAUGUUUUCGAUCCGCACGAGCAGACGGAACGGGGGCAGGAGUAGUAUUCAUGUGGCCACAAAGGCAAAUACUACCUUACCCCUUCCAACUAAGUGAACUAUGCUCCAACAACAUUGCUGAGUACUAAGCACUGAUCAUCGGGCUUCAAAUGGCGAUCAACAUGGAAAUCAUAGCCCUUGAGGUAUAUGGCGACUCCAAGCUCAUAAUCAAUCAACUCUUAACUGAAUAUUAGGUGAGGAAAGAUGAUCUCGUCCCAUACUUCCGGUUGGCAACUCAGCUGCUAUAAAAGUUCAAGGCCGUGACACUAGAACAUGUGCCAAGAAACGAAAAUCAAAUGGCAGACGCUCUCGCUACCCUAGCCUCGAGUACGACACUAGGAGAAGACGAAGUUGCAGACGUGCCAGUUUGCCAAAGAUGGGUGAUCCCGCUCAUUACUGAAAUGAUAUUGGAUGAUAUAAACGUCAUCUCGGUACUUCCAGUCGACACUGAAGAGUGGAGACAUCACUCUGAAAUAUGUCGAAUGGCACCUCGCUUCCUCUACUACAAAGAAACACUCUACCGAUGCUCUUUUGAAGGAGUACUUCUGAGAUGCCUAGGCGAGGAAGAAGCCAAUCAAGCCAUGGAAGAAGCACAUUCAGGUGUAUGCAGAGCGCAUCAGUCUGGACCAAAGCUACAUUUCCAGCUCAAAAGGAUGGGUUACUAUUGGCCAAGCUUGGUGAAAGAUUGCCUGGAACAUGCCAAAAGGUGACAAGCCUGCCAAUUCCACGCUAACUUCAUACAUCAACCGCCUGAACCAUUACACCCUACAGUUGCCUCAUGGCCAUUCGAUGCAUAGGGAUUGGACGUCGUAGGACUAAUUACGCCAAAGUCAUCUGCAGGAGAAGCUUACAUCCUAGUAGCAAUAGAUUACUAUUCCAAGUGGGUUGAAGCCAUACCUCUAAGGGAAGUCAAAAAGGAAACUGUUGUCCGUUUCAUCAAGGAACAUAUCAUCCACCAAUAUAGUGUGCCUCGCUACAUCAUCACUGACAAUGGAAAACAGUUCUCCAACCGACUCAUGGACGAGUUCUGCGAGAAAUACAAGUUCAAGCAGCACAAGUCUUCCAUGUAUCAUGCUCUAGCCAACAGUCUUGCGGAAGCAUUCAACAAAACAUUAUGCAACCUCCUAAAGAAGGUGAUCGGUCGAACAAAGAGAGACUAGAAUAAAUGAAUAAGCGAAACACUUUGGGCAUAUAAGACAAGACAUAGGACUCCUACCCAAGCUAUGCCUUAUUCUCUCGUAUAUGAUGUGGAAGCUGUUUUAUCGCUCGAGAGUCAAAUCCCCUCACUAAGGAUAGCCAUACAAGAAGGCUUGACUGAUGAAGAAAAUGCAAAGUUACGCUUUCAAAAGCUGGAAGCUGGAUGAGAGAAGGCUCGAAGCCCAGCAACAUUUGGAGUGUUAUCAAGCAUGAAUCUCCAAGGCCUUCAACAAGAAAGUUCGCCCUCGUUCUUUUCAAAUGGGAGAUCUAGUCCUUGCAUUGCAUAGGCCUAUCAUCAUAACUCACAAAACAAAGAGCAAGUUCACAUCAAAGUUGGAUAGACCUUAUGUAAUACAAGAAGUCUACACUAAUGGCACAUACUUAAUCAUGGCAGAAGACGACUUGAAAAUCGGCCCCAUCAAUGGCAGAUUCUUAAAGCACUACUACCUCUAAAACAAACGGACCAUGCUCCUGGCCCGCGAGAACAUAAACUGAGCACGGCACAUAAAAAAAAUCCAAAAAAAAAUGUAUUUGAACUACGUCAUGACUUGAUCCCUCCUCAACCGAGGGUACGUAGGCAACUUGAAACUUCAAAACUUCAAGUACAGUCACAUCAUCAAUAAAAACGCAAACACUUUGAAGAAUAAAUAACAAAUUCAAAAUGUGACUACUUUAUUUCUUUAAAAUGAAGGAUUUGGCUACAAAACUUUAUUACAAUGAUCAAUAGCAAACAAGGCUUAAGGAAGACAUUACCAGAGAAGUAUGUCUCUAAAACUAUGAAAACAAUCCUCAAGCAGGCCUUCCAAAGUCUUCAAAGUCUCCACAUAGGUGAGAGACAAGGUGGGCAACUUCAUCGCUAUGCCUUUCUCUUGCUCUAGGCAUGACAUUUCCUUCUGGUACUAAGAAAUUGUAGCUUCCUGCUUCUGGAGAACACUUUCAAGUCGUGCUGCUUCGAUUCCCAACUGCCCUCGCUCCUACCCCAACUUUUCUAGACCCACUCGGAUGGAAGCUAAAGAGGUCCCUGUAACUUGAUAAUCUUCCGAAACAGCUUGCUGAAAAGACCAGACUUGGGCAAUUGAUAAAUCCAUUGCCGCAAGUUGUUGAACUCUAACAUCUGGAUUUAACUUCUUCGAGGAAAUAGCAAGCAAGGAAGAAUACUCAGUCGAGGUGGCCAUAAGUUUGACAAUAUGGACCCUCAAGGGCGAGGAAUCAACAUUAAGGUUGUCAAUCGCAGAAACAAGUUUCGACAAAUCCUCCUUAAGCAACACAAGGUCUUCCCAUGGGAACUUUGAAAUCCUCUCCUCAAUAUGGUUUUUGACAUCCAUGGCCGCAUUAAGUCUUAUGCGAUGGAUAAGCUGCUUAGUACCACGAAGGUUCGGCCCACUUAAAGAAACCUCAGAGCUAACUGGAAAAUGUGUUGUACGCAUGACGGGCCCUUGCAUACCCUUACCUACACGCGGCAAACUAGGGUAACUUGGCGAAUUCAAAACGGGCUCUGCACCAGGCGGAUUCCCAAUCUCCCCGUCCGUAGGUAAAUUACCUUCAAAUAACAUAUCCAUAUAAGAAUGAAUGCCUGUGUUCGCUAAAUCAAAAGAACAAGAAGGCCUAGCCUAAACAAGACAAAGAAAGAUGUUAGAAAUCAAAGCUAAAACAAUGAAAGCAAAGUAAGUCACAAGAAAGAAUGAAUAUGUACAUCUUUAUCAAGUGACACAUGACCACCAAAUUGAGAAGGCUUAAACGCUUCUUUAAUUUUAGGACAAAAAUUGACGUCGCUAUUAGCCGAUCACCUUCAAAUGGUCGCUUGUUUAUAAUUUGUUGACGCUGCUGCAAAACAAAUCCAUCUUUGCAUGAAUCAACUUUAUCACCCGCCUCUUCAUAAGCAUCCGGAUGUUGAAGAGACAAGCACGGGCGCUGAGGAACUAAAACCAUAGGUCCAUCUUGCAAAGGAGUUGCACUCGCACAAUCAAGUGGUACCAUCUGCGUAGGAAUCAUAGAACAACCCUCUCUCAACGUAUCAUUACAUAAGCAAGAAGAAUUGGUACCACUUGCUAUCCCCAAGUUUUCAUAAUGUACCUUUGACCACCAAUUUACGUAAGCAUGAGUCACCAGAUUGUUCUUAAACUCAUCUUUGGCCAGCAGGGUGAUAGAAACAUUUAUACAUGCACAGGUACAAGACUCCGAAUGCAUAUACACGGCUUGCAAGGUUCCAAUCGGGAUUUUUCCUUCAGCUUGCCCGGCACAUUUUAGACAAAACCAAAUUGCCUAUUAAAACAGUGAAGACUAUACGGCUGAAUGAUGCAUCGGUUUUCUUGCCGUAAAGAAACAUACCCCGAGCGAAGACUUAUAAGAUAAGACAAGUUUGAGAAGCGAAGAUGUGAAUCAUCCAUGAUGCCUCACCGCACCGAGCCCACUCUCGCCAGAUUAUCCAUCCUCAAGCCUUCAUAACUUCUAAACAACGCUUGCGCCUGCAAAUCAUCAAGGCCCUUCAUAGAAAACACACCAGAAUACUUCAUCAUCAAAGGCCCCAACUUAACUGAAGUCAGUGAAGAAGGCCCUGACUUGUCUAAAGUUGACGAAGAAAAAUGAGUGACAAAGUACUCACCUAAUCAACCAUACACGUAGUGGUAGGGAAGUACCGCAGCACGAUCUUCAGUGCUGGCUGAGUUUGAAACAACACCCAAGCCAUUGUAAAUGUUGGCUAAGACCGAAAUAGCAAGGCUAAAAGAUUCACCUGCGGCCAUCUUGCUAGCAACUUUGAAGACUCCAUGACGGACGAAAUUGACGUUGUUUUUGGGGAAAACGAACUUACACAGCCAACAAGCUAAGAAAACGGCUAGAUAAGAUUCUUCCAAGUGCUCUGAAGCCACGCCAAGAUCCUCAAAUACCUUCAACUCGGUAGAGGUACGGCGCCCCAGCUUGACCAAUGACACUUGACGGAUCUGAGUCUCCCUUAGGCCUAGUUGUGUUGUUACGACCACUUUUCUUCGAACACCUCUGGUACUUCAUGACAUCCCAAUACCAAAAUUGGAUCCAUGAAGAUAUCUUCACGCCUGACUUACCCGAGGCCUCUUAGGAAAGCUUAUGGUACGCCCAAAACAAAUAGCGGCAACUCACAGGCAAUCAUCGACUGUUGCAAUAAGAAAACUCCUCUAUACUAGGAACAACCUCGUCAUAAAUUUUUCCUUGGAUCGGCAAGCCUCCUAUCUUGUGAAGAUCCCUAAGUGAAAUCGACAUCUCUCCUUGAGCCGUGUGAAGUGUGUUGGUUGUUGAACACCAAUGCUCAAAGAAUGCAUGAAGGAUGGAAAGAUGGCAAUCAUAACUGAACAAAGAUGCAUAUACAACAUGAUAAAGGCCCAUGUUGGUAAGCACAUAUUUGAAGUGGCUCAAAACAUCUUCAAGCCAUUCCCAGUAAAACUCAACGAAGGCGUUCCCCCAAUAGUCGACAUGGUGUUACUCCAAGCCACAGCUCCGCUAUGAAUACGAUCACCAAGAAGCUUAGAUGAGGCCAGAUGAUUGUCACGAACAUGGUGCGAAGAGUUCAAGAUAAGAAUCCUCGAGGUGCACGCCUUCUUCUUCGUAUCUGGUUAAACAGAAUCUACCACUUCCCAAGAUACUUCAAAAGACCACGACUUAAUAUGCAUGGAGUUGUCUUUUGCGGGAAGAGCAAGUGCCUUAGAACCAAUCAGUGGCGUGUAAAGCUUCAACGUCAUUCCCCUGUCUUGUGAAUCGCCUUCCUUUGUAAGAAUGGUGAUGGUGCUGCACUUAAAGCACUUGAAAAAUACCAUGACCUCAACCAAAAAAUAAAUAAAUAAAUAAAUUAGCCAUAAAACUUGAGCAGCACGGCAAAUAGGGUAGCUACAAGACAGUUUUUCCGAGUGGUGGCAAGAGGCACAAUGAAAUCACCGCUGAGGAAAGUCAUAACCAAAAUGCACUGAUGCGAAAAUUAACUUAACACACAAAUUUAACCCUAUUUUGACAAUUGUAGUAUAAGUAUAAGCAGUGAUCGUUCUGGACCGGGGAUUAGGAGGGCUUGCUAUUAACCUCUAAACUGACUUAAAAACAUAAAACUAAAUUUAAGAACACUUAACAAGACUCACAAGACUCAAAGCAAACUUAAAAUACUCAAAACAGCUUAAAACAACUAAAUAAACUUAAACUAGACACUAGGAAUGACUUUGGACGAAAAUUGACUUUUACUUGAAUCAAAAUAUUUAAAAACACAAAUUAAAACAGAUUUGAAACACUUUGAAACAAGAAACUAAAAGGGGGGUUUUGAUUUGGAGGAAGUUGUAACAAACAAACAAGUAUGAAAAACUAGACAGAUUGUAAAAUAAAAUUGAGAAAUAAGAUGAUGGAUGGGAUAGUUAGAGGCUUUUUCUCCACACAUGACAUGUAUGCAAAUAACUUGAUUUCCAGUUACUACUUCAUUGAAUUAUGAACGACAAUGCUCCAAAUUAACCGUGACAUCACUAAUUAACUCUCAAAUUUUCCUUGUUUUAUUGGAUUGGAUGACAUCAUUCGACAACCCAAAACAUUCUUCAAAAGUUCCCUACAUGACAUCAUAAUAGAGAUACAAUCAAAGAUCAUUACGUUUAAUGAAAAUCAUAAGCAUUGACAAAGCACUUGCAACUAUGACAUCAUGUCGCUUAUGCUAGGAAUUGAACUUAACGCGAUCGUUUAUAAGCGACCUUCACUACAUGUGAAUAUACGUUUGUAACAAUUAUGUGAAACUUCCUUAUAUUCUAGCAACGGAUUUAUGCAUGCCACUUAAGUGUUGACCCUUCAUUAACAAAUACAAAUAAGUUAUCAAUCAAAUAGUUAAGCUAAUUGCAUUCACGAUUCCAGAGUUCAUAACUGGAAUUUAUCAAAUUAUAUUGCACACAUAAUCAUGGCUUUGAAAUCACCCCUAGCCAAGAGGGGUUUAGGCACUCAUAUUUACAACAAAACGAAAGGAAAUGAAUUUAAACAUUAGAAACAAAAGAAAGAAAACACCUAAACGCUCCAACGAUCCAAGUUGGACAGCAAGCACGUCCAAGCACUUUCAUUCCCUUCCUUUGCUACGGCACAAGGUGUUGGUGAGUGUUUAAAGGUUUGUUUGUAUGGAGGAAUGAAUUUGAAGAUGAAUGGAUGUGUUUGGAUGAAGGUUGUGUUGAAAUGGGAGUGAAUGAUCAAGCAAAGUAUGAACUCCAUUUAUGUUACACACACUUCCUUUUAUAGAGGAAGUGCAAGGCAAAGCAUGGGUAAAAUGGAUUGGUGUUGAAAUGAUUCAAAGGUGAAAGUGAAGUAAUGAUGCAAAGCAUGGGUAAAAUGGAGUGGUGUUGAAAUGAUUCAAAGGUGAAAGUGAAGUAAUGAUGCAAAGCAUGGGUAAAAUAGAGUGGAGUUGAAAUGAUUCAAAGGUGAAAGUGAAGUAAUGAUGCAAAGUAUGGGUAAAAUGGAGUGGUGUUGAAAUGAUUCAAAGGUGAAAGUGAAUUGAUGAUUGAUGCAAGACUUAAACAUGGAUGGAGUGCAUGGCAAAGGUUUGUUAUGGUACAAGGAACCCUUAAUUUGUGUCCUAAAAUGCAUGUGAAACCUUCAAUGUUGCUGGAACUUAGGGACAUUUAGGAUUUAGGAAAGAUCAAACCAAAAUAGGAAACCUUGGCUUAACUUUCCUACUUCAAGUAGGAAUCCUCAUCUUUAGGUCUUCAAUUUCGUCCAUUCCUUUAGUUCCAAGCAUGUGAUAUUUAUUCCAAGCCCAAACUUGCUCCAAAAGGCUCCAAAAUGCACAUUUUUGCAUACUUUGUCCUUAGAACCUGAAAUUGCACAAAAAUGACUUUAAACACUAAAACAACUAAGGAAUAACAACAUAAAUGCAUGAGAACAAGCUAACUCAGUCACAUAAAUAUGCUCCUAUCAGGCACUACACAGCAUAAACUCGCUGCAGUCUUUUGCACAACCUCACACGGUAAAAGUGAUGCACUGCAACAAGCUCCAAGUAGUGGCAAGAGGCACGACGAACUCACCACCAAGGAAAGUCAUGACGAAAAGACACUACACAGCAUAAACUCACUGCAGUCUUUUGCACAACCCCAUACAGUAAAAGUGACGCACUGCAACAAGCUCCAAGUAGCGGCAAGAGGCACGACAAAGUCGCCACCGAGGAAAGUCAUGACCAAAAGGUACUACACAGCAUAAACUCACUGCAGUCUUUUGCACAACCCCACAUAGUAAAAAUGACGCACUGCAACAAGCCCCAAGCGGGGGCAAAAGAACCUCCGUCGAAACAAGCAAGGAAAUUCACCGAUAUACACUGUGUACCUUAAAAAAACAGUCACGUGAAAGUCUAACCCCACUAGCCGUGUGUGUGUAUAUGUGUGUGUGUGUGUGUGUGUGUUUAUAUAUAUAUACACGACAUCCUUUCGGUGCCCAGCAGGAAACCAAAAAAAAAAAAAAAAAAAAAACAAAAAAUCACAGCAAGACCUGAACUUGUGGCAACAAGUGUAAUAAAUAAAGCACAGCGACAAGUGAUCAGUGGUAGUCGUGGCACAGCCUAAGCAUUCUGCAACUUAAAGGAAAUUGGAUAUGGAUCAGAUACUUGUCUAAAGCCUUACAUGAGGGUCUAUUUAUAUACGACUAGAUUCAAGAAACUUGAUCGACAUUGCAGAACAGAUGCAAUGCAAUGAUGAUGCCUUUUCUUCCUUUUUGGGAAAGCAAAAGUUAUUUUAAUUAUUUUGUAAUUUUCUAAGUGCAAUUGGAUGGAUAAAUGCAAUGCAAUGAUGAUGUCUUUUCUUCCCUUUCGGGAAAGCAAAAGUUAUUUUAAUUGUUUUGUAAUUUGCUAAGUGCAAUUGGAUGGAUAACAAAAAAAAGGAGUCUUAGCACCAAAAGCAAGUGCAUGGAGACAAAUAGCAAGAUACAAUGCAACGAUGAUGCCUUUUCUUCCCUUUUGAGAAAGCAAAAGUUAUUUUAAUGGGUAAAAGACUGUUUACUACCCUCAUGUUUUGUGAUUUUCAACAUUUAGUACAUCAAGUUUUUUUCGUCUCAGAUUCAUACCUAAAGUGUAAAUUUUGGGACAGUCUCAUACAUCCGUUAGUCAAACUAUUAAGUCUCCUGUUAACUGUGACGUGGCGCACUGACUAGGCGCCACGUGUCAUACACGUUUUUUUUUCUUUUCUUUUCUUCUUCCUUCUUCUUCUUCUUCUUCUUCCUCAGACCGCAACUUUUUUUUUCUUCCUCCUUCUCCUUCUUCCUUCCUCCUUCCUUCCCCUUCUUCCUUCUUCUUCCUUCUCCUUCUUCUUCUUCUUCCUCCGAAAUCUGAGGAAGUUUGUUUUUUUUUUUUCUUCCUUCUUCUUCCCCCUUCUUCUUCCUCCUUCUACCUUCCCCUUCUUCCUUCUUCUUCCUCCUUCUCCUUCUUCUUCUUCUUCCUCCGAAAUCUGGGGAAUUUUUUUAUUUUUUUUUUGUUUGUUUUUUUUCUUUCUUUCUUCUUCUUCCUCCUUCUUCCUUAUUCUUCUUCUUCUUCUUCCUCCGACUGCAACUUUUUUUUUUCUUCCUCCUUCUUCUCCUUCUUCCUUCCCCUUCUUCCUCCUCCUUCCUUCCUCCUUCUUCUUCUUUUUCUUCCUCAAAAAAAAAAAAAAAAAAAACUUUCAUCUUCCCCCAGAUUCGGAGGAAGAAGAAGAAGAACGAAGAAGGGGAAGGAAGAAGGAGGAAGGAAGAAGGAGAAGAAGGAGGAAGAAAAAAAAAAACUGAAUCUGGGCAGAUUCGGAGGAAGAAGAAUGAAGAAGAAGAAGAAAGAAGAAGAAGAAAAGAAAAAAAAAAGAAAAAACUGAAUCUGGGUAGAUUCGAAGGAAGAAGAAGAAGAAGAAGAAAAAAAAGAAGAAGAAGGAAGAAGAAGAAGAAGAAGGAAGGAGGAGGAAAGAGAAGGAAGAAGAAGAACAAAAAAAAAAAAAAAAAAAAAAAAAAAAAAGCUUCCCCAGAUUCGGAGGAAGAAGAAGGAGAAUGAGAAGGAAGAAGAAGGAAAAAGGGGAAGAAAGGGAAGGAAGGAGGAAGGAAGGAAGAAGGAAAAGGAGGAAGAAAAAAAAGAAAAAAAAGAAAGUUGCAGUCGGAGGAAGAAGAAGAAGAAGAAGGAAGAAGAAAAGAAAAGAAAAGAAAGAAAAAAAAAAAAACAUGGAUGACACGUGGCGCCCAGUCAGUGCGCCACGUCACAGUUAACGGACAACUUAACAGUUUGACUAACGGAUGUAUGAGACUGUCCCAAAAUUUACACUUUAGGUAUGAAUCUGAGACGAAAAAAACUUGAUGUACUAAAUGUUGAAAACCACGAAACAUGAGGGUAGUAAAUAGUCUUUUACCCUAUUUUAAUUGUUUUGUAAUUUGCUAAGUGCAAUUGGACGGAUAACCAAAAAAAGGAGGAGUCUUAGCAAAAGCAAGAGCAUGGAGACAGACAGCAAAAUACAAUGCAAUGAUGAUGCCUUUUCUUCCCUUUUGAGAAAGCAAAAGUUAUUUUAAUUGUUUUGUAAUUUGCUGAGUCCAAUUGGACGGAUAACAAAAAAAAAGAGGAGUAUUAGCACCGAAAGCAAGAGCAUGGAGACAAACAGCAAGAUGCAGUGCAAGCAGCUGAGCAAAGAAGAGCGUCCACAGUAGAAGGAAGUUAUGGCCGUACUAUUUGGUUUAUGGCCAAUUUAUAUGAUCAACAUUGCUUGAAUAAAGCAAUUAAAUUAGAUGAUCACAAUAUCACAAUAUGACGAAACAGAUUCACACUUCAAAAAUAAAUAAAUAAAUAAAAGAAGGAUAAAAUAAUAAUAAAAAAAAAAGGUAAUAAUGGCCAUCAUUGCUUUGAAAGAUGGUAUCGUAUGAAACGAAAAAUAAAAAAUAAAAAAUCUAUAAUAAAGUAACAAAAUAAUAAUAAAAAUAAAUAAAUAAAUUGAAUGAAACGAAACUCGUUUAUUGAUUUCUCUAAAAAUUUACAUAAAUGUACAUUUUACAUGAGUUAAAAAAAAAAAAAAAAAAAAAAAAAAGGAGCCUUCACAAAGGUUAAUUAGGUGGCAUCUCAUCACUCGGCGGAACUUCAAGAAGAAGAGGCGCCGGAGGUUGAUUGUUUGGAGCCUCAACACUCGGUAAAACUCUAGAGGAUGAAGGCAAUAGGUGCCUUUGGAGUAAAGCCACAAACAUCUGAUGGUCACUCUGAAUCCGACUUUCGGAUUCCUGAAGCUGGUCAAGCUUUCUCUUCAUGCUUGUCGAGUAACUAUUGGAAAAGUCGUUGGAUGUCUAGGUGACUCCUUCGAAGUUGUCAAUGACUUGAUUAUGAUUUCAUAAAGCAUGAUUCUAUACUUGAUGUUUAUAGAUUGUGAUCGAUGACACUAAUUUUACAUGCGAGAAACCGAUUGAUAAUUUUGGUUCCAUUAAGUGAUCCGGAACCCGAUGUGGUUGGAUUCCGUUGAGUGGUCCGAAAUUCCUACUCUUGCUCAUUUCCAUAAGUUAGACUUGUACCCUGGAUUCGAGUGAAUGAGAAUUACCCAUAAUAGAUCUUGUGAAUAUAAAUUAGAAUUAUCCAGUUAUUACUUGAAAUCCAGGUAGGGAAUUAUGUAGAAGUUCUUUAUUAAUUUUGUGCAUUAAGGUGUGAUCUGAUUGACUGAUUAACAUAAUUAAAUGUUAAUAUCGUGCCUCCUUGAUAUCAUGGAAUGGGUUACUUGAGAUGAUCGUGGAAGGAUGUUAAAUAUAAUUGUUAUUAAUAUGAUUAGAUCAAUAAUCAAUGCGACUAGAGGAUACUAUUGUGCUUUGUUGAUUCUUUGAUAUAUUACAUGAUAUGAAUAGCGAUUUUAUGUUGAAACAUAAUGAUUUAUUUGAUGUAUGAAAUAGAAACCUUGAUUGUCAUGUAGGUUGUUAUGUAGUUUGAAUCGAAUAAUUCAUGCUUGUCAAGUCCAAAUGUUUGAUUGAGGAAUGUUAUGCAUUUUGCCUUAAACAGACUAUGUUAUAUGUUGAGUUAUAGCAAAGUUAAACUACGAAUGGCUUGAUCUCUAUUGAGGGUACGUAGGCAGUCUAACGAAGAGGUUAGAUGCAGCCAUAAAGUGUUCAAAAAAUUAUUAUGCAUCUGUAUCUUGAAUUAUACUUUGUACAUAUUCCGGAGGCAAGGUAUGUUAAGUUACGGGUAUUUGGUGACGUCAUGUGUCGAUCCUGGAAGUCUGUUAGGAUCGGUGCGUGACAGUAUAUGCAUUCUACGAAACUAAUUUCAAUGAUCCAACUGUCAAACUUGUUUGUAUACGCUUCAAGAUCGUACAGGCCAAAAAUCGAAAAAAUUAAACAUUCAGAGAUCAAGUAACGGGACAAAACUUUUCGACGGUUGUCAAUGAAAAAUCACGAUUUAACGAUUAUUUUAACUCCGAUUUUGAUGAUUUUUUACAGGUACGCUCCUUGACCCUAUAUGAAUACAAUGAAUGAAUUCGAUCUUCAAUUUAAAAUAUUUACACUAGUGGAUACCACAAAUUCUUAUGUUAUACUUAAUGAAAGUAUGAAUAAACUCUUAAGUGUUAGUAAAUCUAUUGUUUUGAUGGGAUACGCAUUCUACAAAACUAGUUUCAAUGAUCCAACCGUCAAACAUAUUUGCAUAUACUUCGAGAUUGCAUACUCCAAAAAUUGCAAAAAAAAAACAUUCAGAGAUCAAGUAACGGAACAAAACUUUUUGAUAGUUAUCAACGAAAAUUCACGAUUUAACGAUUAUUUUAAUUCCGAUUUUGAUGAUUUUUUACAGGUACACUCAUUGACCCUAUAUGAAUACAAUGAAUGAAUUUGAUUUUCAAUUUAAAAAAUUUACACUAGUGGAUACCACAAAAUGUUAUGUUAUACUUAAUGAAAGUAUAAAUAAACGUGUUAGUGAAUCUAUCGUUUUGAUGGGAUACUCAUUCUACAAAACUAAUUUCAACAAUCCAACUGUCAAACUUGUUUGUAUAUGCUUCAAGAUCACAUACGCCAAAAAUCGAAAAAACAAACAUACAGAGACCAAGUAACGGGACAAAACGUUUUGACGGUUAUCAACGAAAAAUCACAAUUUAAUGGUUAUUUUAACUCCGAUUUUGAUGGUUUUUUAUAGCUACACUCCUUGACGAAUACAAUGAAUGAAUUCGAUCUUCAAUUUAAAAUAUUUACACUAGUGGAUAGCACAAAAUCUUACGUCAUACUUAAUGAAAGUAUGAAUAAACAAAUAAGUGUUAGUGAAUAUAUUGUUUUGAUGGGAUACACAUUCUAUGAAACUAGUUUCAACGAUCCAACCGUCAAACAUGUUUGUAUAUACUUCGAGAUCGCAUAUGCCAAAAAUUGCAAAAAUGAAACAUUUAGAGAUCAAGUAACGGGACAAAACGUUUCGACGGUUAUCAAUGAAAAAUCAUUAUUUAACGGUUAUUUUAACUUCGAUUUUGAUGAUUUUUUACAGCUACACUCCUUGACCCUAUAUGAAUACAAUGAAUAAACUUGAUCUUCAAUUUAAAAUAUUUACACUAGUGGAUACCACAAAAUCUUAUGUUAUACUCAAUGAAAGUAUGAAUAAACUCUUAAAUGUUAAUAAAUUUAUUGUUUUGAUGGGAUAUGCAUUCUACGAAACUAGUUUCAACUAUCCAACGGUCAAACAUGUUCUCAUAUACUUCGAGAUCGCAUAAGCCAAAACUUGUAAAAAACAAACAUUCAGAGAUCAAGUAACGGGAUAAAACUUGUCGACGGUUAUCAACAAAAAUCACGAUUUAACGGUUAUUUUAACUCUGAUUUUGAUGAUAUUUUACAGCUACACUCCUUGACCCUAUAUGAAUACAAUGAAUGAAUGCGAUCUUCAAUUUAAAAUAUUUACACUAGUGGAUACCACAAAAUCUUAUGAUAUACUUAAUGAAAGUAUAAAUAAACUCUAAGUGUGACAUCCCACAUCACCCAGGGGAGUGAUCCUUAAAUGUAUAUUCUCAUCCCUACCUAGCACAAGACCUUUUGGGAGCUCACUGGCUUCGGGUUCCAUCGGAACUCCGAAGUUAAGCAAGUAGCGCGCGAGAGCACUCCCAAGAUGGGUGACCAACUGGGAAGUUGCUCGUGAGUUCCCAAAAACAAAACCGUGAGGACGUAGUCGGGGCCCAAAGCGGACAAUAUCGUGCUACGGUGGUGGAUCGGGCCCGGGGAAGUGGUCCACCCUGGGCCGGGAUGUGACACUAAGUGUUAUUGAAUCUAUCGUUUUGAUGGGAUACACAUUCUACGAAACUAAUUUCAACGAUCCAACCGUCAAACUUGUUUGUAUAUGCUUCAAGAUCGCAUACACCAAAAAUAAAAAAAAAAUAAACAUUCAGAGAUCAAAUAACGGGACAAAACGUUUUGACGGUUAUCAAUGAAAAAUCACGAUUUAAUAAUAAUUUGAACUCCGAUUUUGAUGAUUUUUUACAGGAACACUCCUUGACCCUAUAUGAAUACAACGAAUGAAUUCGAUUUUCAAUUUAAAAUAUUUACACUAGUGGAUACCACAAAAUCUUAUGUUAUACUUAAUGAAAGUAUGAAUAAACUCCUAAGUGUUAGUGAAUCUAUUGUUUUGAUGGGAUAUGCAUUUUAUGAAACUAGUUUCAACGAUCCAACCAUCAAACAUGUUUGCAUAUACUUCGAGAUCGCAUACGCCAAAAAUUGCAAAAAAGAAACAUUUAGAGAUCAAGUAACGGGACAAAACUUUUCGACGGUUAUCAAUGAAAAAUCACUAUUUAACAGUUAUUUUAACUUCGAUUUUGAUGAUUUUUUACAGCUACACUCCUUGACCCUAUAUGAAUACAAUGAAUGAACUUGAUCUUCAAUUUAAAAUAUUUACACUAGUGAAUACCACAAAAUCUUAUGUUAUACUCAAUGAAAGUAUAAAUAAACUAUAAGGGGGCGUUUGUUGCGCCGGACUAUCUCGGACUGGACUAGCUUCAAGGACUAAGCUGGAUUGGCUUAGACUAGACUAAGCUGGACUAAUUUAGUGAAGCGUUUGGUGUAGUGUUAGACUAAGAAGCUGGAUAAUAACAAAUUUUAAUAUUAUAUUAUUUAAUAUAUAAAUUAUUAAUAUUUUAUUAUGAUCUAGGUGACCGGAGAUGACGAGGAGUUUAUCGGGAGUGGUUGUUGAGCAUGACGAGGACGAGAGAGGAUAGUCUUAGCUAGUCCCAUGGUUAUUGGGGGGUCUCGCUAAGACCUCUUAGUGAAGGGUUUUGUCCAUGCUAGUCCCCUUUAGUCUCAUUAAUGUUAGUCCCAGCAUGGAACAAACACAGUAUUGGACUAACAGUUAGUCUAGUCCAGUCCAGUCCCACUUAGUGAGGGCAAACAAACGCCCCCAAGAGUUAGUGAAUCUAUCGUUUUGAUGGAAUACGCAUUCUACGAAACUAAUUUCAAUGAUCCAGCUGUCAAACUUGUUUGUAUAUGCUUCAAGAUCACAUACGCCAAAAAUCACAAAAAAUAAAUAUUUAGAGAUCAAGUAACUGAACAAAACUUUUCGACGGUUAUCAAUGAAAAAUCACUAUUUAAUGGUUAUUUUAACUCCGAUUUUGAUAAUUUUUUACAGCUACACUCCUUGACCCUAUAUGAAUACAAUGAAUGAACUUGAUCUUCAAUUUAAAAUAUUUACACUAGUGGAUACCACAAAAUCUUAUGUUCUACUCAAUGAAAGUAUAAAGUAUAUCUAUCGUUUUGAUGGGAUACACAUUCUACGAAACUAAUUUCAAUGAUCCAACCGUCAAACUUGUUUAUAUAUGCUUCAAGAUCACAUACGCCAAAAAUCGCAAAAAAUAAACAUUCAGAGAUCAAGUAAUGAGACAAAAAAUUUCAACGGUUAUCAAUCACAUAUCACAAUUUAAUGGUUAUUUUAACUUUGAUUUUGAUGAUUUUUUACAGCUACACUCCUUGACCCGUUAUGAAUACAAUGAAUGAAUUCGAUCUUCAAUUUAAAAUAUUUACACUAGUGGAUACCACAAAAUCUUAUGUCAUGAUGAUAGAUGAAAAUUGAGGAUUUUGUAAAAGGAAUAACAUGCAAGGAUUGAGUUCCAUUGGCAAGGUUUAAACUUUUGAGUAAGGCUUCACAACCUUGAAAACAAAAACUCUUUCCUUUUGCAUAUCCUUGCACAUGUAAUAUUUUGUAAUAGACUAGAAGUGUAUGUUUGUUUGUUUAUUGGGCUCUUAUUUUCGAGUGUAUAUGUAGUACUUAAACGACAAAUGUGUUUUAAUGUUUUCAAGUAAUAUUUAUGUGGCAUGACCAAUUAAAAUAAUAGUUGUUGCACGAAAACGAUACGAACAUGACAGACACGAUCCGUUUGCCAGGCCUACUUGGUAUAUCUGUGAUAGGUGAUCACUACCUAGAGUUAUAUGAUACAGUCCUGCUUGAUAUAUCCACGAUGGGAGACUGUUAGGGUUGAUCAUGCUUGGUAUAUCCGCGAUGGGGAACCAUACGCAUGCUAGGAGUGAUCAUGCUUGGUAUAUCCACGAUGGGUGGUCACUACCUAGAGCUAGGAUGUGGUCCUGCUUGGUGUAUCUAUGAACGGGAACUAUAUGUAUUCAGGGGUGAUCAUGCUUGAUAUAUCUGCAAUGGGUGAUCACUGUCUGCACGAUGAGAUUAUGCCUAUGGUUCUGCUUGGUAUAUCUGCGAUGCAGGACCAUACGCAUUCUAGAGGUGACGAUGAUUAGUUUUACUUGGUACAUUUGAUAGGCGAUCAUAUUUAGUUGGUUCCGUUGAGUGGUCUGGAACUCGAGGUAGUUAAAUUUUGUGGAGUAGUCUAAAAUCCCAUUAUUUGGAGAAGUAGGCUUGGCCUAACUAUGUCACUCUAGCUUUAGUUUUAUAUAUAUUUGUGUCAAUGGUUUCAAGAAUCUUGUGAAUUGAGUUAGAAAAGAUGUUGGACGUUUGAGUGACUCUUUCAGGAUUUUCUACGAUUCGAUUAUGAUUUCAUAAAGUAUGAAUUUAGAAGAUAUGGGAAUAAUUGUCAUUACUUUGACCAAAUUAAUUACUUAAUGCGGCUAGAGAAUGGUUUUGUGUUUCAUCGGUUCUUAAAUAUGAUGUAUGUUGUGAAUUGCGAUAUCAUGAUGAGACAUAAUGAUUUAUAUGUUGGAUAGGAGAGAAAUCAUGUUUUCAUGGGGGUUGGUUAUGUAGCCUGAGUCCAGGAAUUACAUGUUGUCAGGUUAUAAUAAAUGUUAUAGGAAUGCUAUGCUUUUCUACUUGAACUUAGUGGAAUAAAGGUCUGAUUUUGUGAUAAGUGAACUAUGAAUGGCUUGAUCCCUAUUGAGGGUACGUAGGCAAUCUAACGAGGAGGUUAGAUGCAGCCAUAAAGUAAACGAAAAAUUACUUUGCAAUUUGAUUUUCGAGUUGUGAUUUGCCAUAUCCCGGAGAUGAGGUAUGUCAGAUAUACAAGUAUUUGGUGAUGUCACUUGUCGAUCUUGGACGUAUGUCGGGAUCAGGGCAUGACAGCAGGUACAUUAAGAACAGACAGAGAUGCAUUUGAUGAAGAUUGCUUGAAUCCAAGAGUGAGAAGAAAUUGGAAUAGUUUGUCAAACCAAGCUCUAUGAGCUUGUUUGAGACUAUAAAGGGAUUUUGCUAACUUGCAAACAUGGCUUGGAGAUGUUGGAUCAACAAACCCUGGAGGUUGUUGCAUAUAGACAUCCACCUUUAAAUCUCCAUGAAGGAAGGCAUGGCUUAUGUCUAAUUGGUUUAAAAAUCAAUUGUACUAAACUACAAGUGUAAGCAAAACUCUAACAGUGACUGGCUUUGCAACUGGACUGAAGGUUUCUUGAAAGCCUACUCUUAUUGAACCUGUUCUCUCCCUUUAUUCCAACUUUUAUUAAUAACAAUAGUUUAUUAGGGAGAAUGCCAAGUCACCCGGUUCUGUCCCUAAUAAACUUUUGUUAUUAUUUAUUAAUAAAGUUGGAAUGAAGGGAAGAGAAUAGGUUCUGUUAGAGUAGCACAGAGCACACUAACGAGAGUGGUCAGUCUAGUACCAGGCAAAGUACUCAGGGUUUGGAGAAGUAGUGACCACUGGUGGAAGAACCGUAGAAGUAUCAUAAUCAGCAGAGGCAGCAGGGGAGGCAACUGUAGCAGUGGUGGUGAUAACCAGACGAGGACACAGAUACGAACCAUCAACAAAACGCCAAAAAUUUUGGCCAGUUUAAAAUUGCUUCACACGACUCUCCCAAGGAAGAUAAUUUGUUUUAGAUAGUUUGACAGAAGCCAAGGUAGAGAUAUUAGGAAAGGAAGAUGCGGUUGCGGAAGCCAUGGAAAGAAAAAGGACCAAGGCUCAAAUACCAUGUGAACUUUCCGUAUUUACAAUUAUGGGGAUAACAUAGCAGGAGAGGCUAACAACAUUCUCUACAAUUAUAAUCUUCAUUUACAUCAUCCUUCAGAAAGUACAAUUUGGACUCACAAAAAGGGAAAAUUAUUUGUACAGUAUGUUGAAAAUUUUGCAUUACAAAAAUGUAACGCAACUCAUGUAAUCCUAAAGUAUUCAAAACUGAGAAAUAAUAUCAAUGAAGAUAUCUUGUCUGCAGGGAAUUGUUAGACCACCCAUUGGAUGAUCAAAUCCAAAUUCUUGUUCAGCAUCACUUAGCAAGUCUUGGAAUGAAGGUUGGUUGAGGUAUGAUACAGGAAUGAUAAACUGCUGUCUCUCGUUCUCCCCAACAUAAACCGCUAAAUAACCUUUUGGGACAUCUGCUACAUUAUAUGAACCUCCUAGACUUGAAUUGAAAAUGACUGCCGAAGAAUUUUCUUUGCAUGAGUUACACCUGGACGACGGAAACCCAUGGUUUAUGUCUCUCUAGAGAAAUGCGCCCGGUGGAAGUUUAUUGGAGCAAGAAGAAGAGAAGAGUUGAGAAUAUUCAGAGACUUGAAUGGAAGGCGAUCGAAGUCUCAUGAAAUAUAUAUAGUUAAUAGAUUUAUGUAGGAAUUGUCCUCUGUUGAAAGAAAUAUUUGGUGACGAUUAAGACCAUCUUGAUAGGGCAUAGAAGGGACACUGAUCACAUGGUGCUGUUUUCCACCUCAACUUCAGUAUUUUAGGUGAAAUAUUGCUGGACUGAAUGCAGUACUUCAACAGAUAUAUAGUCUCAAUCACCACCAAUGUAUUUUGACGAGAUGAUAAAUUUGAAGACAGAGCCAUGUGAACUUGCAAAUGCUUCUGCCUUUAAUUAGAAUUUAUUUUUCUUCAUUUCUGCUCAUAUAUUUUUCUUGAUUAGUUGGAAAGACAAGUCCAUGUGAUUUUCCAUGAGAAAACUCGCACUUGGCUCUGCCACGAUCCUUCACUAAUCAUUUUUAUUUUCCGUAACUGAUGUCCUUGAAAAAUUGGAACACAUAGCCAUGUGAACAUAAUUGCUUGAGCAGCUGGGUCUCUGGCCAAUCCGCAUUCAAUUGCCUCCAGACCACUCUCUCCAACUUGUACACAUUAUUUUGUAGACCAACGUAUCAAUUUUUCGUACCUAUAUCCUAACCAAAGAGAUCAAGUCCUCACAUUUUAUAUGCUAAAACUGUUGAAAUAGUACCAAGGGAAAUUUUCUUGUGUCAAGCAUGUCUCCGAUUUUUUAUAGGCCAUCAACUACGAGAGGCAGGACACUGGGUUGCAUUUGUUUGGUCAUCGACUCACGAAGUGUUGUUGAUAACUUGUAGACAAGUCCAUGUGAUUUUCCAACAGCAAACUCUCUCACACUUGGGUCCAUCCCAGUGCUUCAUCACCAAUCAUUUUGUUGUAAGCUAAAAUAGAAAGGAACGAAGUUACCCGAAAAAAUGAAAAAGCCUUGAGUGGUGAAUGAUUCUUGGGAUGAGUCGCGGACUAAGUCGCUUUCUUUAAGACGUUUCGCGGCUCUGCCCAAAGUAUGCAAGCAGUUCACAGACACCAUGUCGUCCUCAGGAUAAAACAGCCCAGAACCUUAUUCUGAUAAGAUUCUUCCUUGCACACCGAAAGAACCUUCGAACUAAACCUUUUCGAUAUGUUGCUUUUUAAAUUAAUAUAUUUAAAACUUUUUUCUUCUACUAUUUCUACUCCACACCUAACUACCUUCUCUUUUUGUAUCCUUAUACAUAUAUAUAUAUAUAUAUAUAAAUAAAUAGAUGUUAGGGGGGGGGGGUGUAAAACCGUAAGGAUAUAAAGAGAGUUUAUGGGGUGCAAAAUGGUCGGUUGCAAUCAAAAUGCAAAACCGUAGGGAAUCAAAUGCAAAACUGUCUGCAAUCAAAGGAUGAUAACAAAUUAUGUUUUAUAUUUAAGGUUUGUAAUAAACCAAAAUAUAAAUAUUUAAAAUAUUUAAAUAAAAACAUAAAUGCUCCAACUUAUUCCUUAACCAUCCAAAAGCCAUAACUGACCUGAGCAUCACAUCAAGUGACUCAAUUAUGACAUUUUAUCAACAUUCAAUUUAAACAUUCCAUUAGUAGCAUAUCCCCAUGAAUAAAUAUGAUAUGCCAGAAACAAUUCGGUUAGUAGAAGGCAUGAUUUACAGAUCAAUUUCAAGUAAAGCUCAGAUCAAUUCGGUUACCACAAAUAUCUGUUCAUUCUAGAACCGAAAACAAAUCGCCAUUUUUCAUGUAUUUUUUUUUUUUUUUGAAUUGUAAACAUGAGAACUUUGACAUAUGAUUACAUCGAAGAAUAAGCUUACAAUGGUACACAAAACAGAUUUAAACAAAGCACAGCAGCCACCUAGUCAUCUCCAUCAAAAGACUACUGAUAAUAUCAACACACAUUGCAAAAAGAUCACAAAUAGAUUCAUUCACCAAGUCAAUUCACUCGUCCUACAGCGAAUGCACCUAGGCAGCUCAAAAAGCAUUCACAGUUGACAUACUAGUAACUUGAUAUUAGAUUAUAUAAUCACAAUGAUUUGCCACAUAUCUAAAACAAAGUUCUUAAAGAGUAACACUAACAGCAAUACAUAUAUUUUUCAGAUUCCAUGGCAGAUUGAUACAUCUUAACAUUGUUGUAAGCUGAAAUAGAAAGGAACGAAGUUACCCGAAAAAAUGAAAAAGCCUUGAGUGAUGAAUGAUUCUUGGGAUGAGUCGCGGACUAAGUCGCUCUCUUUAAGACGUUUCGCGGCUCUGCCCAAAGUGUGCAAGCAGUUCACAAACACCACGUUGUCCCCAGGAUAAAACAGCCCAGAACCUUCUUCUGAUAAGAUUCUUCCUUGCACACCGGAAGAACCUUCGAACUAAACCUUUUCGAUAUGUUGCUUUUUAAAUUAAUAUAUUUAAAACUUUUUUCUUCUACUAUUUCUACUCCACGCCGAACUACCUUCUCUUUUUGUAUCCUUAUACAUAUAUAUAUAAAUAAAUAGAUGUUAGGGGGGGGUGUAAACCGUAAGGAUAUAAAGAGAGUUUAUGGGGUGCAAAACGGUCGGUUGCAAUCAAAAUGCAAAAUCGUAGGGAAUCAAAUGCAAAACUGUCUGCAAUCAAAGGAUGAUAACAAAUUAUGUUUUAUAUUUAAUGUUUGUAAUAAACCAAAAUAUAAAUAUUUAAAAUAUUUAAAUAAAAACAUAAAUGCUCCAACACAUUUUAGGUAACCAACCGCUUGCAGCAUACCGCUUUAGCUAUAUAUGCACAUAUCAUCCAAGGUUAAAGAGAAAACCAACACAAGUCUUCUACUCCCAAGCAUAUCUUAUCAAAGCACUUUCUGUCCUGAAAUUCAUUUGAACUCUUUUUGUUCCUUUUUACAGAAAUUUUAAAACCAUGGGUUUCCAAUUUCCUGGUAUUGUACAUGCCAAGAAAAAUCAAGUUUCUUCAAAGUCAUUGGAUGUUCCAAAGGCUAUCUUGCCAUCUACGUUGGGGAGAGCCAGAAGAAGCGGUUUAUUAUUCCGGUGUCCUACUUCAACCAACCUUCAUUCCAAGAUUUGUUAAGCCUAGCUGAAGAUGAAUUUGGAUACGAUCAUCCAAUGGGUGUUAUCACAAUCCCCUGCAGUGAAGGCACCUUCCUUGGUCUCACCUCAGCUUUGGGGUAUAUGUAGAGCCUACAUAUAUGUCAACACGAUUUGACACCAACGGCAUUAGGAGCACUUGGCAAUUUUAAUCGCUUUUUGGCUCACUUGAAGGAGGUUCAAUUGAUUGAUAGUCCAAUGAAUCUUCGUGAUGGAAGACAACAUCAAAGUCAAAACCCUUAUGAGCUGAGAGGAAAAUGGCCAGCCUAGUGGACAUAAACUCACCGACACAAUUUUUCAAGAAUAGUUAUUGUCAACUGAAUGUACAUAGUUGUCCAGCAAGGAAAACUGAGAUUAGAAUAUUUCAUUACAGUACAACGUUUUCACAGUUUUAUGAUCUACUUUUCAUUUUAUUUGCCAUCUUCUUUCAAUCAAGUUAUGAACAGACGAUAAAUUUACACACAAGGGACUAAUUACUGGAAUAUUGACAGACGAAGUAAUGCAAGUAAACAUCUUAGGCAGAUUUUAAAACAUGUUAAGAAUGGACUAUUGUACGGAUAACGUUUUAAAUAUAACAAGCAUUGGAUGCACCCAGAAUAGCACUAAUCCCUGCUGAAAUUACCAUGAAAAUACCAAUGUGUGCAUUGAAUAUGCCCCAAAUUAAAUAGCACUAGUCCAUGCUUAAAUUCUCCAAAAAUAUCAAUGCGAACAUUUUAAUACAUUAUUCUAUUUCAUAGGAAACUCCGCCUGUGUAAGUUUAUCUUACAUUGCCGGUUCCAAGCCCGGGUAAAGGAGGAGGGGGAGGGCGUUAGGUAGUCGACAGCCGGCACUCCACAGUUAUGUCGAAUCCUUAUGAAAAUGAAUCCAGAACGAAAUCGCGCUAAAGCUAGGGCGUCACCUGUAAGUGGCGCGCUGUGUGGCCCGAGCACAGUGAUAAGUGAGCAAGGGUCACUGUAUUUCCAUCGGCACCCGAAUGUAGUGUUAAAUGAGCAAGGGGGCCAUAGAAACUUCUUUUCGAACGACUCCACUCAACGUUGUUUGGGAGCAUAUGCUCCUAUCAACUUUACACAGGACACACAAAAGAAGUACUUUGAUCCUAUUGGACGGGGGAGGGUGAAUAAGCUAGGACAGAAGGGUAGAGUUCAAGAGAGUAGAAUGCGUUUAGGAACGUGGAAUAUAGGAACCUUAACGGGAAAAUCUAUGGAAGUAGUGGAAGUUAUGGUGAGGAGAAGGAUAAAUAUUAUGUGCCUACAAGAAACUAAGUGGGUUGGUCUUAAGGCAAAGGAUCUAGAAAACUCAGGGUUUAAACUUUGGUAUUCGGGCACAAAUAGAACGAGAAACGGUGUUGGCAUCAUCGUGGACAAGACCUUGACACAAGAUGUUGUAGAUGUCAAGAGGGUAGGAGAUAGAAUCAUGGCAAUCAAGAUUGUAAUAGGACAAGAACUCAUCAAUGUCAUUAGUGCGUACACACCUCAAGUAGGGUUGGAUACAAGUUCGAAGGAGAAAUUUUAGGAAGACCUUGGAGACUUGGUGCAAGGAAUUGCCCAGACGGAGAAGUUAUUUAUAAGAGGAGAUUUAAAUGGACACGUGGGCAGGGAGACAGGCAACUAUAGAGAUUUUCAUGGUGGCCAUGGUUUUGGGGAGAGAAACGAGGAUGGGGAAGCUAUCUUGGAUUUUGCAAUGGCAUAUGAUCUAUUCUUAGCCAACACCUUCUUUAAGAAGAGAGAAUAACAUGUGAUCACCUACAAGAGUGGGUCGUCAAAAACACAAAUAGAUUUUCUUCUAAUGAGGAAAGGGGAUCGUAUAACUUGUAAGGAUUGCAAAGUUAUACCGGGAAAGAGCUUGGCUAAUCAACAUCACUUGUUGGUGAUGGAUGUACAUAUCAAAAGAGUGAGAAAAAAGAACAAGACUUGGAAGUGCCCAAGGACUAGAUGGUGGAAUCUAAAAGGAGAAAAACAAGCCAUUUUCAAAGAGAAAGUAAUCACCCAGUGUGGGUGGGAUAGAGAGGGGGAAGCUAGCCAAAGGUGGGAUUCCAUGGCUAGUUGUAUCCGAAAAGUAGCAAAAGAGGUAUUAGGAGAGUCCAAGGGCUUUGCCCCACACCAAAAGGAAUCUUGGUGGUGGAAUGAGGAGGUAUAAACAAAGGUGAAGGCUAAGAAGGAAUGUUGUAAAGCCUUAUACAAGGACAGGACCGAUGAAAAUGGUGAAAGGAAUAGAAGAGCGAAGCAAGAGGCGAAGAAAGCUGUGAGAGAAGCUAAGUUAGCGGCUUAUGACGACAUGUAUAAGCGACUAGAUACCAAAGAAGGAGAGUUGGAUAUCUAUAAACUAGCUAGAGCAAGGGAAAAGAAGACAAGGGACCUAAACCAAGUGAGGUGCAUCAAGGAUGAGGAUGGAAAGGUUCUUGCUACAGAGAAUGCGGUCAAAGACAGAUGGAGAGGUUAUUUUCAUAAUCUUUUCAAUGAAGGACAUGAAAGGAGUACUUCUCUAGGGCAGUUGAGUAACUCAGAAGAGAGUAGAAACUACUCUUUUUAUCGUCGAAUCAGGAAGGAAGAAGUGGUUAUAGCUUUAAAGAAGAUGAAGCAUAGAAAAGCAGUGGGCCCAGACGAUAUACCGAUCGAAGUGUGGAAAGUCUUGGGAGAGACAGGUACAGCAUGGCUCACUGACCUUUUCAAUAGGAUUUUGAAAACGAAGAAGAUGCCAACUGAGUGGCGAAAGAGUACUUUGGUGCCUAUCUACAAGAAUAAGGGCGACGUACAAAAUUGCAUGAACUAUAGGGGUAUUAAGCUAAUGAGCCAUACAAUGAAGCUCUGGGAGAGAGUCAUUGAGCAUAGAUUGAGGCAAGAGACACGAGUUUCGGACAACCAAUUCGGGUUCAUGCCAGGGCGCUCAACCAUGGAGGCAAUCUAUCUCUUACGAAGAUUGAUGGAAAGAUAUAAAGAUGGGAAAAAGGAUUUACACAUGGUCUUUAUAGAUUUGGAAAAAGCGUAUGAUAGGGUCCCAAGAGACAUUCUUUGGAGGAUUUUAGAGAAGAAAGGAGUACGAGUAGCAUAUAUCCAAGCUAUAAAGGAUAUGUAUGAAGGAGCAAAGACUGCCGUAAGAACUCAUGAAGGACAAACCGAAAGCUUCCCCAUAACUGUAGGAUUACAUCAAGGUUCAUCCUUAAGUCCUUACCUUUUUGCGUUGGUAAUGGAUGAGUUAACAGGACAUAUUCAAGAUGAUAUUCCUUGGUGUAUGCUUUUCGCAGACGAUAUAGUGUUGAUAGAUGAAACUCAGGAAGGGGUAAAUGCGAAGCUUAACCUUUGGAGAGAAGUGUUGGAAUCUAAAGGUCUUCGCCUAAGCCGAUCAAAGACAGAAUAUAUGGAGUGCAAGUUCAGUGCAAAUGGAGGCCAAAAUGAGUUAGGGUUGAGGAUCGGAGAUCAGGAAAUACCAAAGAGCGAUCAUUUUUGCUACUUAGGAUCUAUCUUGCAAAAGAACGGAGAAUUAGAUGGAGAUAUCAACCAUAGAAUACAAGCUUAAUGGAUGAAGUGGAAGAGUGCAUCCGGCGUGUUGUGUGACCGCCGUAUGCCAUUGAAGCUCAAGGGAAAAUUUUAUAGGAUGGCAAUAAGGCCGGCGAUGCUGUAUGGCACAGAAAGAUAGAAUUCUAGGGUUUUCAUGAAUAUGUUUUUCUAUAUUAUUUAUCUCAAAUAGAGGAAUAUAUAUAUACUUAUACAAUCCCCUACCAACUAGGAAGUAAAUAUCCUAAAUAUAUUAGGAUAUCAAUUACAUACUCAAAAUAUCCCUACAUUCCUUAUUUCAAAUAUAGACUCACGACAACACUCCCCCUCAAGUUGGUGCGUAGAUAUCACCGAAGCCCAACUUGUUAAGUGAGUCCUGAAACACUCUUGAUGACACGGCAUGAGUUAACACAUCUGCCAACUGAUCUCUAGACUUCACAAACGGAAUAUCAACCAAUUUAACAUCCAACUUUUCUUUAAUAAAAUGCCUAUCCACCUCAACAUGUUUUGUACGAUCAUGUUGAACUGGAUUAUUAGCUAUUUCUCUCGCAGCUUGAUUAUCACAAUACAGCAACAUAGCUCCAUGUGGUUUGAACCCAAUCUCGGUCAAGAGGAUUCUUAGCCACAACAAUUCACAAAUUCCAUGUGCCAUACCACGGUAUUCAGCCUCUGCAGUGGACCUAGCAACCACAUUCUGUUUCUUACUCCUCCAAGUUACAAGAUUACCUGCAACAAAUGUAAAGUAUCCUGAUGUAGAGCGCCUAUCAGUAACAUUUCCAGCCCAAUCAGCAUCUGUGUAUCCUCUUACUUCCAAGUGCCUAUGCUUCCUGAAGAUCAACCCUUUUCCAGGCGCACCUUUCAAAUAACUCAAGAUUCGCAUUACUGCAGCCAUGUGAUCCUCACUAGGAGAGUGCAUGAAUUGACUCACCACACUAACUGCAUAUGCAAUAUCUGGCCUUGUGAGAGACAAGUAAAUCAACCUUCCUACUAGCCUUUGGUACCUUUCCCUGUUUGCUGGAACUUGGUCAGGAUAAAUUGCUAGAUGAUGAUUCUGAACUAUAGGCGUUUCUGCAGGUUUACAUGCCAACAUUCCAGUCUCAGACAAAAGAUCCAGAACAUACUUCCGCUGUGACAAAUAAAUACCUUCACGGGAACGAGCAACUUCAAUUCCCAAGAAGUACUUCAAGCCUCCUAAGUCUUUCAUCUCAAACUCUAAAGAGAGAUGCCCCUGUAACUUCUUCAUCUCCUCGGUAUCAUCACCAGUAACUACCAUGUCGUCCACAUAAAUUAUUAACAAGGUGACCUUUCCUUCCCUUCGUUUGAUAAACAAAGUAUGAUCAGCAUUUCCUUGUCUGUAACCAUAUUUCUUCAUUGCAUCGGUGAAUCUCCCAAACCAUGCCCUCGGCGACUGUUUGAGUCCAUAAAGUGCUUUCCUCAACCUACACACCUUGCCUGUCCUGUUUGACACCUCAAACCCAGGUGGAAGUUCCAUGUAAACCUCUUCUUCCAUGUCUCCAUGUAGAAAGGCAUUUUUUACAUCAAAUUGCUUCAACGGCCAAUCAAAGUUAGCAGCUAAAGACAAAAGUACACGAAUAAUGUUCAUCUUAGCUACCGGAGCGAACGUUUCUUGAUAAUCUACCCCGAAAGUCUGUGUGUACCCCUUAGCAACCAACCUUGCUUUGUAUCUGUCAAUGGUUCCGUCUGCGUUGUGUUUGAUGGUGAAUACCCAUUUGCAUCCCACUGGUCUUUUCCCUUGGGGUAGCGACUCUAUGCUCCAAGUCCUGUUUUUCUGUAGAGCCUCCAUCUCGACUUCCAUUGCUUUUGUCCACCGAGAAUCUAGCAAAGCUUCUUCCACUCUUGUUGGGAUUUUGAUUCCAUCCAUUGUAUUCACCAUGGCUCGAUACUUAGAAGACAAUCGAUGUGUAGAGACAUAAUUUGCAAUAGCAUAUCGGACUUUCCAUCAGGAGAAUACCUGUCUGGUGGUUUCCCACGAUUUUGUCUAGAUGGCAACACAUAUGUACUUUCAAUAUUAGUCAAAUCACGAGCUUCAUUAGGUUGAGAUAAACUUACCUCAUGGAUAUCCUCGGGCACAUGGAUGGGUACAACUGGAGAGGGGUUAUUUCUUGAAGUGUACUGGUCGUCCAAACUGUGAGCUAAUGGUUGCAAUUCACUGUCGUCUUGAUAUGGUGGUUCUAACCGUGCACUGGGCUGUGCACCAAACUGCUCACCUGCUGCCAUGCCGUCAGGCCCACUCCCAGAUAUGGUCUCGCUGGCUGCUGCACAACCUUUCAAAGAUGGGGCCUCACCUACACUAAUGGGUUCAAGCCCGUGACUUUCACCAGAAGGCAGAAGUCGGCCCUGCUGGCUGUCACCGUGGCAAGCAUGCUGCUGGGUUUCACGUGGCAGCCCAGUACCGUGGCAAGCAUUCUGUUGAGUUUCACGUGGCUGCCCAGUAGGGAGAUCAAUCCAACUGUAAUCUUCAUGUGUAUUUAGCUCCCCCUGAAGGUUAUAGUUGGUGUGAUCAGUGACAAAGAACAUCUCAUGUUCAGAAAACUUAACAUCCAUGGUAACAUAGGUAUGCUUGGUGGGUGGGUGGUAACACCGGUACCCUUUUUGUUGGCCAGUAAAUCCCAAAAAAAUACAUCGAACUGCACAGGGGUCCAACUUGCUACGUUGAUUUUUGUGGAGAUGUACAUAGGCCACACACCCAAAAAUACGGGGUAACAACCGAAGGGAAGAGGUUAAUGUCACAUGGUCAGCAAAUACCUCCAAAGGGGUGCAGAAAUUGUGUAUUCUGGUGGGCAUUCGAUUCAUCAAAUAAACUGCAUAUUUAACAGCUUCUGCCCAAUAAGAGUGAGGGGCGUGAGCACCAAUGAGAAGUGCUCGAGUGGUUUCCAGAAUAUGUCGAUUUUUGCGCUCAGCGACCCCAUUUUGUUGUGGGGUGUGUGGACAAGAAGUCUCGUGAAGAAUGCCAUGAUCUUGGAAAAAUUGAGAGAGUUCAGUACUGAGAUAUUCACCAUUAUCUGAUCGGAGAACCUUAAGAGGAAGAGAGUAUUGUUUUUCAACCAUGUGAUAAAAUUGUUGAAAAAUUUUCCCAACCUCACUUUUAUGUUUCAGAGUAUAGAGCCAUGUCAUUCUGGUGCAAUCAUCAACAAAGAUAAUAAACCAACGAACACCAUGAAUAGUAGCAACUGGAGAAGGUCCCCACACAUCAGAAUGGACUAACUCAAACGGCACUGUUCUUUUAUUUAAACUCAAAUGAUAAGAAGUACGGUGGCUUUUUGCCAGAAUGCAAUCUUUACACUGAAAAUCAGAGUCUGAAAUACCACAAAAUAAAGACGGAAGUAGUCUUUUUAAAUAACCAAAAGAGGCAUGGCCCAAACGACGAUGUCAUAACCAGAUUGUCUUAUUCUUGUUUGACUGGCUACUGCGCACUUGGUUCACUCUGCUUGCGGACACAUCAUCCACAUAGUAUAACCCUCUCCUCUUAGUACCACGCCCAAUGAUCGCCCGAGUCUGGAUAUCCUGAAGUAGGCAAAAAGUGGGAAACAUUAACACAACACAAUCUAAUUGCUCAGUAACUUGACCAACAGACAGUAAAUGAUUGGACAAUGACGGAACAAGUAGUGCAUUGUGAAUAGACAAAUAUGGAGUAAGGGAAAUAGAACCAGCUCCCGUGACAGGAGCAAUAUCACCAUUGGCUGUGAUGACAUCCUCUUUAGAAGGUGACGUCAUAUGAUAAAAUAAUGAUGCGUCGUAAGUCAUAUGAUCUGUAGCUCCAGAGUCAAUUAUCCAACCAGUAUCCCUCUUGGUAGACGAUAUUAAAACAGUACCGAUUUUACCUGAGUCUUCCGAGUUUUCAUGCAUUGGAAUCUGGUUGAUGAGAGAUAAUAAUGGACCGGAGUCAUCAAUUUUGGAUGUUGUUUCAAUGACUCAGCCUGCUGAUUCGGCUUCUGCCGUGGCUAGAUGUGACACAUUGGGCCUCGGUUGGCCUGCGGCUACAGCUGCAAUGCCGCUGCUACCUGCCUUGUCUUGAUAGGUUUUGGGCCCAACGUGGCCGCCUACAUGUGUUGUCAUCCCCUGUUCAAUAGCUGCCACACGGACCUGACCCGAGGUACGUUUAUUCCCCUUAGUUUUUAAUUCUUUCUCUUUCCCAGUACCAUUCUGGGUAACCAUGAAUUUCAAAACAGGUUUCCUCCGUGUGUCGGGUUCCAUUACAGUGAUUGCAAUGGAGUUUAUCUUUAUCAAUAUCCUCCUGCACACGUGAUGACCGAGAGUUUCCAAAGGAUGGUGAACGAUAACUUUGCACUUUAGUUGCCAUAGCCAUAGAAGGUCCUGCCGUGAUGCUCUUUGUUCCCAUCAUAGUGGCCUGCCUCUGAGCUUCGCGUCGUACUAGAUUAAAACAUUCCUCGAUUCCAGGGAUAGGCUUUAUCCUUAGAAUCUCACUCCGUACUUGAUCGAAACCACUGUCUAACCCAGCAAGAAAAUCGUACACCCUAUCCUUCGCAAUUUCCUCUUUACGAGUUCUCAAAUCUGCUCCACAAACCAUACGAAGAUGACGUCUUUUGUCAAGAUCUUGCCAUACACCCUUUAAUUCAGUGAAGUACAUAUUAACUGGGCGUCCAUCUUGUCUUGUCCGUGUAGCCUUACAUCGGAGUUCAUAAUAUUGCGACUCAUCAGAGCCAUCAUAAAACAUCUGGGUGACACUCUCCCAAAUAUCUUUUGCUGUGGGUAGGUCGAUAAAGAGACCAAGUAGAUGUGGUUCCAUAGUUUUUAACAACCAUCCUCUCACAGUAGCAUCUUCAAUUGACCACUUUGCAUAUCCCGGAUCAUCUUCCUCUACCAUCGGAAUUUUCCCUGUUAGAUACCCUAGCUUGCCGAGCCCUGAAGCAUGAACCUCCAUCAUCUUCGACCAUACUUUAAAGUUCGAGUCACUCAACCGAUACCCGAAAGGAAUGGCAUUGAUGUUGGUAGAUUCGCCUUGGUUGGACACGGUAUGCACGGGAAUCAAGCUUGCCUUAUGUUCUUCAGCCAUCGCACAACUUUCUAGGAUAGGUUUUAAUUAGAUUUUCGCAGGCUUUGAUGUUUACAAAGGCUGCGAUUCAAUUUGGUUGUUUCUAACACAGUCUGAGAUUCAAACCGUGAGAGAGUUUUACUGGGUUUUUGUGAUUGUCAAAGGCAGGCCGAACCUGCUCUUGAUACCAAGAUAGAAUUCUAGGGUUUUCAUGAAUAUGUGUUUUUCUAUAUUAUUUAUCUCAAAUAGAGGAAUAUAUAUAUACUUAUACAAUCCCCUACCAACUAGGAAGUAAAUAUCCUAAAUAUAUUAGGAUAUCAAUUACAUACUCAAAAUAUCCCUACAUUCCUUAUUUCAAAUAUAGACUCACGACAACAUGUUGGGCGGUGAAGCAUCAACACGUACACAAAAUGGGUGUAGCGGAGAUGAGGAUGCUUCGUUGGAUGUGUGGGCACACGAGAAAGGAUAAGAUUAGGAUUGAGGAUAUCCGAGGUAAAGUAGGAGUAGCCGAAAUUGUAGGAAAAUUGAGAGAAAAUCGGUUACGGUGGUUUGGACAUGUGCAAAGAAGGCCUACUGACGCUCCUGUUAGAAGAUGCGACUACGGGACAGAGGUUCAGGGGCCGAAGGGGUAGAGGAAGACCUAGGAAAACUUUGGAAGAGACUCUAAGAAAAGACUUAGAGUAUUUGGAUCUAACGGAGGACAUGACACAGGACCGAGCACAAUGGCGUUCUAAGAUUCAUAUAGCCAACCCCACUCAGUGAAGAAUGUUUUGGUGUAUUUAACACAAUACGUUGAAAUGAAGCAAAGCUUAUUGAUUGAUAUCUCCGAUAAGUUACAAAUAUGUACAUAUACAUGAGUCAAAAAUAAACAAACAAGAGGGAGCCUUCACAAAGGUUGCUUAGGAGAAGAAGUCUAGAGCAGUCGGUAGAGCCUCAGAAAGAGAAGGCACCGGAGGGGGAUCAUUCGGAGCCUCAGUACUGGACAGAACCCUAGAAGGAGGAGGCAUCGAAGGUUGAUCAUUUGGAGCUUCAUUACGCGGUACAGCCCUAGAAGACGAAGGUAAUAAAUGCCUUUGGAACAAACCCACAAACCGAUGAUGAUCAAGUAAAACCUGACCAUCAGAUUCCUUCAUUUGGUCAAGCUUCCUCUUCAUGUUUAUAGCAUAGUCAUGUGCGAGCCGGUGCAACUGUUUAUUCUCAUGCUUGAGCCCUCUAAUCUCCUGUUUGAGACUCAUCACUUCAGCCGCCAAUGAUUCAACUUGGCGGGUUCGAGCAAAUAGGCGUUGGGCCAUAUUAGACACAGAACCUGCACACUGAACACUUAGAGCCAGAGAAUCUUUAACAGCCACUCACUCAUCAGGAACCGUUUGGAAAGUAGUCUGUUAUCUUUGGUAGUGAGAAGGUUCCUGGCCACCACCGCAGCAGUCAUAUCAUUCUUCAUCACGGAAUCCCCAACGGUAAGCGGACCAGUAGAGGAUAAGAAGGAUGGACGUCAUAUGUUGUCUGGAAAAGGCGUGGCUGCCUCUUCAAUGAGGUUCAAGUCAAAACGACGGUCGGAGGGGCCAGACAUUUUCAAAUGUGUUGAAGAGAGAAGAGGUCGGACAAAUCAAGAUCUUAGAAGUGCAAGAAGGAAGCUUCUACUGGUGAAGAUUCAAGUGUGCUUUGGAACUUAAUGUCAGCCUCUAUAAAAAUCUGCACUCGACGGAGCUUUCAGAAAUCGAAGAGAUGCCUGCCCAGAAAUCGAAUAGGGGUUUGCUUUCUUAAAAGCUGGGCUACUCAGAAACCACGAGGGCCGAUCUCAGAAAUCGAAGAGGCGUUUGCUUUCUCAAAAGCUGGGCUGCUCAAAGACCACGAAGGCUGAUCUCAGAAAUCGAAGAGGUGCUUGCUUUCUCAAAAGCUGGGCUGCUCAGAGACCACGAGGGCCAAUCUCAGAAAUCGAAGAGGCACCUGCUUUUUUCAGCCUUGUCAGCACCUGUCACAUGCACACUCAACUUUGCUGAAAUUACGGGCAUUCUGUUGAAGAUUUCUGGUGAAGUAGAAAGCACGUGAAUCUUACUGUUCAAUCAUCCACUUUCCACUCGCACCAUCAGCUCAUGGGUACCACAGAUAACUUUGCCAAAGAUCUCUGACAAAGUUUAGACACGUGAAGCUUGCAGCUCCCACUACAUCGCUAUGACCAAGAAGGGUAAAAGAAUAGCAAAGAAACAUCACUAACAAAGUUUAGACACAUAAAUUUUGAAGGUCUAACUACCAUAUUAUUACCUACAAGGGUAACGGAACAGCACCGCUGCUGGAUAAUUGGAAAGUCCUUGUGUGUCAACCUCUGUGCUCUGUGGCAAGGUAAACUAGCAAACAUGCCCAACCUUUACUUACAUUCAAGAAAACACUCCCAACAAGAUUGCUUGCUCCAAAAUCGAAGAGGCACUGUCCUCCGAAUCUCGAGAGCCAGACUCCCAACAUGAUUACUUUCUCAAAAAUCGAAGAGACACCGCUCUCCGAAUCUCGAGAGCCAGACUCCCAGCAGGAUUGCUCUCUUAAAAAUUGAAGAGGCACCGUUUUUCGAAUCUCGAGAACCAGAUCCCCGACGGGAUUGCUUGUACGAAAACCGAAGAGGCACCGUUUUCUCAACUUCGACAGCCAGAUCUCCUUGGAUAAAGCUUGUCUGUAAUCUUCACACGCAACAUCAGCUUUCCAGAUACCACAUAUCACUUUUUCAAAGUGCUCUGACACACGUGAAGCUAGCAGCUCCCACUACCAUGCUAUGACCAAGCAGGGUAAAGGAAUAUCAUUACUACUUGUUGUUAGGGAAACUCCUAUAUAUGUCGACCUCCAUCCUCAACGGACAGGCAGACCUGCAAAAAUGAUCAACCCUUCCUCAUAUCUGAGAGGCCACUUCAACCAAGCCUCUCGAAAUACUCAGCUUUCUUUCCUCCCGAUAAUACCUCUGCAAACAAGCUACACCAGAGCAAGAAUAUCUCAUAUCAUUAGGGUUAAAAGCAAGAGUAUCCCAUAUCAUGCUUUUUCCCUGUCUUUUCCUUUGGCCUUGUUCUUACCUACAAGACAAAGAGAAAGAGAGCAAUCAGUCAGCACUUGGAAUCAAGCUUCCAGUCAGGAACUGACUGCCUGGAACCCCUUACCUGAUUACUUACCUGGCAUUGCUCUCGAGUACCCAUCUUCAACAUCUUAUGCUUCCAGAAAAGAUACCACAUCUGCCUGAGGAACAGAUAGGGAAACUGAGAAGGAUACAAGGAAGCAUGUGGAUACAAGCGUAACAGAACAUAUGCCGAUACAUCCACUACUUUGUCAACAGCAAAAGUAUCCCAUAUCAGCAGCGUCGAACGUACUCUAGAUUUGAUGGACGUGUUUUGACCCUCAAAUUCUUCAGUCGGCCUUAUAUUAUUGAGGAAACUAGAAAAUCCUCCAGCCCAGUUCAAGAAUAAGCCUGUGGAAAGUUACUUCUUCAAAAGCAAAAGUAUCUCAUAUCAUCUAUUCUCAUUUUCUUAUCUUUAUCCUUCAUGUUGCCUGCAAGAUAGGGAGAAUGAGAGCAAUCAGCCGGAACUCGAAAUCAAACUUCUGAUCUGGGACUGAUUGCUUGGAGCUCUGAUUGCUUACCUUGUUUGUCACCUCUUUCAGCAGAUUCCCUAGCUCGGCGACUUGGGGGACUCCUACUACAUGGUUUGUAUCGCGCUUGACCAAGCCUGAAACUACAAGUAAGCUUCAAGUGAAAUUGAUACAUUACCUUGUGCAUUUCCACCAGUUAAAGAUACCACCCCUGGAUGGAGGAAGCGUACUUCCAGAGAAGAUGCCACAUCUACCUAUGAGACAGUUAAGGCAAGUGAAGACGAGAGCUUGUACCUAUGUCAUUUGUAUUAAAUCAUUCACUUGUACUCACUAAAGGAAAGCUUGAACCUAUGUACUUGCGUAAACCCUUCACAAUUAAUGAGAACUCCUCUACUCCGUGGACGUAGCCAAUCUAGGUGAACCACGUACAUCUUGUGUUUGCUUUCCUGUCUCUAUCCAUUUACAUACUUAUCCACACUAAUGACCAGAGCAAUCUAGCGAAUAUCACAAACUUAAUACUUUCUGUUGUACCAAAGUCCUCACUGAUUUUGUGCAUCAACAAUCCUUAAGUCCUUACCUUUUUGUGUUGGUAAUGGAUGAGUUAACAGGACAUAUUCAAGAUGAUAUUCCUUGGUGUAUGCUUUUCGCACGCGAUAUAGUGUUGAUAGAUGAAACUCAGGAGGGGUAAAUGCGAAGCUUAACUUUUGAAGAGAAGUGUUGGAAUCUAAAGGUUUUCGCCUAAGCCGAUCAAAGACAGAAUAUAUGGAGUGCAAGUUCAUUGCAAAUGGAGGCCAAAAUGAGUUAGGGGUGAGGAUCGGAGAUCAGGAAAUACCAAAGAGCGACCGUUUUCGCUACCUAGGAUCUAUCUUGCAAAAGAACGGAGAAUUAGAUGGAGAUCUCAACCAUAGAAUACAAGCUGGAUGGAUGAAGUGAAAGAGUGCUUCCGGCGUGUUGUGUGACCGUCGUAGGCCACUAAAACUCAAGGGAAAAUUUUAUAGGACAGCAAUAAGGCCGGCGAUGCUGUAUGGCACAGAAUGUUGGGCGGUGAAGCAUCAACACGUACAUAAAAUGGGUUUGGACAUGUACAAAGAAGGCCUACUGACGCUCUGGUUCGAAAAUGUGACUACGGGAUAGAGGUUCAGGGCCGAAAGGGUAGAGGUAGACCUAUGAAAACUUUGGAAGAAUCACAAGGCUAUUGUAGUAUAAACGGAUCUCGCAAGGUCGUCUCCACAGGGAUUAUUAAAUAAUUCGAACUAUUCAGAUUCCAUUUAAUUAUUGUAAAGUAGAAAUUGAAGUGAUUGAUUUUAUAACCUAAUUAAAAUAAAAACAAAAUUAAUGAAUUAAAAUAAACAAUAUGCAAUAUUAGAGCUAGAGAGAAGAAAACAGUUUUGGAAGAAUAAAAUUAAGAAAGCACUAGGGUUCCACCAUCACCUAGCAAUAAAAGAAUCCAACGUAUCAAUCGAGGCUUAGCAUAUUUUUUAGACAACAAAUAUUUCAAAGCUGCAUGAUCUGUAUAAAUAAUCACUUUAGGCUCAACUAAAUGCGAACGAAAUUUUUCCAAAGCAAAAACAACUGCCAACAAUUCCUUCUCUGUUGUUGCAUAGUUUAGUUGUGCAUCAUUGAGGGUUCGACUAGCAUAAUAAAUAACUUGGGGAAGUCUAUCUUUCCGUUGUCCAAGAACUGGUCCCACUGCAUAAUCUAAUGCGUCACACGUCAAUUCAAAAGGUAGGCUCCAAUUAGGAGCUGCAAUAAUGGGUGCUGUAGUGAAGAGUAUCUUUAACUUCUUGAAGGCCUCCAAACAAGCCUCAUCAAAAACAAAAGAUGCAUCCUUAGCCAAUAAAUUACACAAUGGUCAGCUAAUCUUGGAGAAAUCCUUGAUGAACCGUGUAUAAAACCCGGCAUGACCAAGAAAAGAUCAAACACUCUUAACAGUUAUUGGGGGUGGCAACUUUUCAAUUGCAUCAAUUUUAGCCUUAUCAACUUCAAUACCCCUGUUAGAAAUCAAGUGGCCUAGGACAAUUCCCUGCUUAACCAUGAAAUGAUACUUUUCCCAAUUUAAAACCAGGUUGGUCUUAAUGCACCUAUCAAGAACUAGAGAUAAAUUCUGCAAACAUUGGUCAAAAGAAUCCCCAAAAACAGAAAAGUCAUCCAUAAAUACCUCAACUACAUGUUCAACUAACCUGGUAAAUAUGCUCAUCAUGGAACGCUGAAACGUGGCAGGCGCAUUGCACAAACCAAAAGGCAUUCUUCUAUAUGCAAAAGUCCCAAAAGGACAAGUAAAGGUUGUCUUUUCUUAAUCCUCAGGGGCAACUGGAAUCUGGUUAUACCCUGAUUAACCAUCCAAGAAACAAUAGAAAGCACGACCAGCCAACCUUUCCAACAUCUGAUCAAUGAAUGGCAAUGGAAAAUGAUCUUUUCUAGUACCUACAUUGAUCUUUCUAUAAUCAACACACAUGCGCCACCCAGUAGUCAAACGAGUAGGUACAAGUUCAUUAUUAUCAUUCUUCACAACUGUAAUACCAGAACGCUUUGGAACCACUUGAGUUGGACUAAUCCACUUACUAUCUGAAAUCGGAUAGAUCAUCCCAGCAUCCAAAAGCUUCAUAACUUCAUUACGAACAACUUCUUUCAUAAUUGGAUUCAACCGACGUUGAGCGUCAAUGGCAGGUUUUACUCCAUCAUCCAUCAAAAUUUUGUGCAUACAAAUUGUAGGGCUGAUCCCUUUAAUGUCAGCUAUAGUCCAGCCAAUUGCAUCUUGAUGACUCCUUAAAAUGUGCAACAAUUUAUCUUCUUCUGUUGAUGAUAAAUCAGCAGCUAUAAUAACUGGCAGCGAAGAAUCUGCACCCAAAUAAGCAUAUUUCAAGUGUUCUGGAAGCACCUUUAACUCCAGUUUUGGUGGCUGUACUUUAGAAGGCUGCAACAACUUUUUGGGUUCCCCCAAACUCUAAAAAACGUGCCUCCAACGUGGGGGUUGAAAAGGAACACUUUUCAAAGCUGAAACAUACUCAAAAACCUCUUCAUCUUCUGUAUUUUUAUUCUCAAACCCAUGCAACACAUUUAACAAUGGAUCAGAUGUCAAACGUGGCAUAAUUUCAGCAUGUAAUAAGCUGUCAAGCACAUCAACACGCAUACAAUCAUGCACAUCACCUGGCCUUUUGGUAGCUUCAAAUAAACUGAACAUAACAGAUUGAUCUUGCACUCUAAGUGUAAGUGUCCCAGCCUCUACAUCAAUUAACGUUCUAGCUGUUGCCAUGAAGGGGCGUCCCAAAAUAAUCGGUGUUUGCAUAUCUUCAUCCAUAUCCAAAAUUACAAAAUCUGCAGGGAGAUAGAGAUUAUCCACUUUAAUAAUUAGGUCUUCAAUAAUUCCCCUAGGAUAAGCAACUGAUCGGUCCGCUAGUUGUAGAAUAACUGAUGUCUGCUUAAUUUCUCCUUGUCCUAGUCUCUGAAAAACAGAAAAAGGCAUUAAAUUAAUACUAGCACCUAAAUCAAUUAAAGCACGUUUAAAAUGAGAAUUUCCAAUUGUGCAUGAAAUUUUAAAACUCCCUGGAUCUUGUUUCUUUGGGGGCAAUUUGUGAAGCAGAACAGCGCUGCACUGUUCUGUAAGAAUCACUUUCUCAAAAUCAACGCACUUCUUUUUCUUUGUGCAAACAUCCUUCAAAAACUUGGCAUAAGACGAAAUGUUCUUGAUGGCAUCAAUUAACGGCAGAUUAAUCUGAACCUUAGACAAAGUCUUCAUAAAAUCUGUCAAUUGUUGAUCUUUAACUUUAGGCUUCAACCUUUCGGGAUAAGGCAUAGGUGGCUCAUACACACGAUCCGCAACAAUAUUUUCACCAUUUUCGGAACUGUUCAAGGACUGUUCAAAAUCUUUCAAAUUGCCAGAUUUUUCAACAAUUCCUGAAUUUGUUUUUGGCUGUGAAGCCACCCGUGAAUUUUGAACACAAUUUUCAUCCCUGUUAUCAAAACUUUUGCCGGAACGUAGAACUCUAACUGCCUUGCAAUCGGCACCUCCCCUAGGAUUUGGUUCGGUUUGACUGGGAAAUGUACCCGGUGCCCUUCCAGAAACCUGCAAAGCAAUCUGCCCCAUCUGUUUUCCAUGUUUUUCACUGUUGCCUGUAGAUUUUGAAUUUCUUGAGUGGUCGUAUUUGCCAAUUUUUCAAUUGCAACCUCCCAAGCAGCCUUAGGUGCAGCAGGUUGUUGUACCUGCUGUUGGAAUUGAGGCCUAGUGUGCUGUUCCUUGUCCCACCUUAGAUUAGGAUGAUCUCUCCAACCUGGGUUGUAGAAAUUAGAAUACGGGUCAUAUAUGGGGCGCUAGAAAUUGUUAAAUGCAUUAACCUGCUCUGCUGUAAAAUCCGGAGAAACAUCUUGAUGUGGGCAGCUCAUAAAAUCUUGAGUUAUCAUGUUGCAAAUGUUGCAGGCAGCUUGUAAGGGCUGCUGUACAGCAACCUGGGAACUUGGUAUUCUCUGUAAUAACAUGUCAAAUUUUGCAUCAAGCCUUUUCUCCAUUUUUUCAAUUUGUGCUGUAACGUACCGAGAGCCGUUAGACAUCUCAAAAACAGACCUAGAUUGUGGCUGCUCAACUGCCCACUGUUGUGUAUCCACUGCCAUUUUUUCAAAUAACAGACAAGCCUCUUGUGCAUUUUUAUCUUUGUACGAACCUCCGCAUGAAGCGUUGACAAGAGUUUUUGUAGUCAUAUUCAACCCUCUGAAAAAUAUAUGCAUUUGAUCAGUAGUGUUAAUACCCGAAUGUGGACGUUUUCUAAUCAACUCUUUGAACCGCUCCCACGCCUCAUGAAACUCCUCAUUUGGUUUUUGGGCAAAAGAUAAAAUCUGAGUUCUCAUGUCAAGAGUCUUAGAAGCCGGAUAAUACUUGUUUAAAAAGUUUUCACUGAGUUGGGCCCAAGUUGUGAUGCUUCCUGAUGGGAGUGUGAAGAGCCAUCUUCUUGCUUGAUCUUUUAGUGUGUAUGGAAAUAAACGGAGCUUAAUAGAUUCGGCUAUAAAUCCCCUCACCAAAAUAUUCUUGCACCCCAUUAAAAAUUCUGCAAUAUGCAUAUUAGGAUCAUCAGAUGAUAACCCAUGAAACGUAGGUAGAAUAUUCAACAUGUGCUGUUUUAUUUCAAAUGCAGUCCCUUCCUCCACUGCCGGAUAAGUAAUGCAACUUGGUAUAUUUGUGGUAUGGGCAGUCAAUGAAUCACCCAGAGGCAGACCUGCCUCUGGAAUUACAAAUGCCAUUUUAUCUUUGUUGUGCAGGUCCCUAGAAUUUAAAGGCUGUAGAAAAAUUCCCUGCAAAGGAGGAACCCUCUGCAAAGUUCGCUCCCUGCGUUUCCUCCUUAAAUUCUGCUCAAGUUCUGGAUCAAAUGGAAUCAAUUUCUGGACUGUUGAACGGGUGCUAACCAUGCACAGAUUAAAUAAAAACGAAAAUUAAAUUAAAAUAAAAUAAAAACGAAAAUUAAAUUAUUAUUAUUUUUUUAUAUGUAUAAACAGCAAUAACUAAUUGAAAAUCUGAUUCGUAGGGAUUAUUUUAAAUAAUCCCCGGCAACGGCGCCAUUUUCUUGAUAGGAUUUUUACUACUCAUAUGAACGGACUUAAAUCUCCUAUUUUACUUGCAAGAAUCACAAGGUUAUUGUAGUAUAAACGGAUCUCGCAAGGUCGUCUCCACAGGGAUUAUUAAAUAAUUCGAACUAAUCAGAUUUCAUUUAAUUAUUGUAAAGUAGAAAUUGAAGUGAUUGAUUUUAUAACCUAAUUAAAAUAAAAACGAAAUUAAUGAAUUAAAAUAAACAAUCUGCAAUAUUAGAGCUAGAGAGAAAAGAAAACAGUUUUGGAAGAAUAAAAUUAAGAAAGCACUAGGGUUCCACCAUCACCUAGCAAUCCUAUGAAUUUUUACCAAUUACUUAUAAUCUACACAUGCCACUUUGAAGGUUAGAUUUUCCUAAUUCAUAUUCUACUUGGAACCUCCAACAUAGAACGUAUAUAUAACAUGCAACCUGUCCGGACGUUCGGAUCAAAUCUAAACAUGAAAGACUCAUUAUGCUUUAUGAAAAUCCUUUGAAAAAUCAUGCAAUCCUUAAGACGUGAUAUUCAUCUUAAGAGAAAUUACAAUUAUUAAUCACAAGAAGCCAGCGUCAAUUUCAGGGAAUCUUCCGACCAAAAUUGCAUCAAAUUACUUUUCUAAAGAUCCUAAUGGUGAUCAGGCAUUACGACAAUUAGAUAGUUUUUAUCCCGGUGAUUAACAAUUCAAAGUACGCAUGCAAUCAAUCAUAAGCAAUUAAAUAAAAAUCACAUAUUCAUGCUAAGGCUCAAGGCUUCGCCCUAGCAAAAGAAAUUAGUUCCGCAUAUUCAUAAUUGAAAUCAUAGAAAAUAUAUUCAAGAAAAGGAUUGAAAACACCUUCAAGUAAAAAGUCUUCAAAACCCUAACAAUUCUCUCUGUCUCCAAAAUUGCAUAAAAGAAAGCGUAACAAAAUAUGGUAGACGGCCAAGCCAUAUAUCUGCCAAGCCUCCCACACAAACCCUAGGAAACUAAAAUUAAUUCAAAUCCCCCCAAAAACUUAGGAACAUAACCCUAAAUUAAAUGAUAAAAUUCGUCUAAAAUCUGAACAGCCACGUUUUGACCCAUAAGCUGCUCCAAAACUGGCCCAAUAUAGCUGGAUUUAAUGUUUGGGAUAUUCUGAACACUUUUCCAGAAGGCCACGAACCCAUCCGAGGUCAUCUUGGGCUCCAAAAAGGCAAUUUAAGCCCAAAAACGUCAUUUUCCAGCACUGCGCACUGCUUCUUUAUUUCAUCGUCAGAAAAUAACCGCUUGGUGGAAAAAUCCCAAUUUUUUAUACGAUCAAGCUAAGUGACUCAUGAACGUCCUCCAACUGGAAUUAUUCCAAAAUUUAUCCAUUUGAUCCUGUUUUGCUCCAGAGGAAGUCGAAAGUCCUAUAUUGAAAAUACAAUUCAAAGUAUCAAAAUUCUUCCAAUAUAUUAACCAAAAUAUACUAAGAUUAGGGUAAAAUAUAUAAUAUAAAAUCUACUCAUCAGUAGACCUAUGAAAACUUUGGAAGAGACCCUAAGAAAAGACUUAGAGUACUUGGAUCUAACGGAGGAUAUGACACAAAACCGCGCGCAAUGGCGUUCUAGGAUUCAUAUAGCCGACCCCACUUAGUGGGAAAAGGCUUUGUUGUUGUUAUUCUAUUUCAUAGGAGUUUUCUUUUGGUUGACAUUAAAAACCUAUUCAGGAAAAUCCCUAAGACAUGCACCAAACGUAUUAACCAUGCUAGUCUCCCAAGAUUUCCAAAUCUUUAUAUGAUUAUAAUACUUACUAGCCUGGUCAAAAAGUUUCAACUAUACAGAUAAUAGCAAAGCAAAGAUAGAGUCUCAAGCAGGCUCUUUACUGCAAGUGAUCAGCCUAAUUUUUUGCCAGUUUCAACAACUACGAUUCUUACCUUCCCAGAAAUUGGUCUGAUUACUUGCAUAAAUGGACUCUGUGCGUAUUAAAAAAUUUCCCUUUAUGGGAGCUACAGGUGUUUGGCUACCUAAUUCAGUUCUCACUUGUGUUAAUUCUCUUAUGGAUUAGAUCACAUGAUCGGUGAUUAAGCCAAAAAAACUAGGGACCGAAGCCAUUUGGAAGCUCCUGAGUCAAUAUGUCCAUCUUAUUAGAGAAGCACGAUGUCCACUAUCAGCAGCUGUAUAGAUGUAACUAAAACUGACUGACAAUAUAUCCCACCUUUAAGAUAAUUCCCUAGCUAAUUAAAAAACAGACGGGCUUACUGAAGGUUCAACGUUUCUUUCAUUCUUCUGUUUUGUAUGGUGACUCUUAUACAUCUCCUACAUCAAGUAUCAAUAAAAGUCGAAUGAUUGAACUAUGUUUCUGCCAAAAAAAAAAAAGGAAAAGAAAAAGAUACGUAGUUGUUAUGAGUGUGAAAUCCCGUCCCUGGAAUUUCACUACUAACUACGUAUUUCCGUUAUUAAAUUUCGUAUUUUGGGUUACAUUUUUUUUAGUUAAUCUUUAAUUCCGUAAAUUUUAGGAAUUAAAUCGAAUAAUUAUCGGGUUUGAAUUUUCGUAAUUACUCUUUAAAAUUUGUUAACCUUUUGAAGUCACAAUUAAUGUUUUCAUAUAGAUUUUGAACCACAAACGCAUAGACAAAAGUCAUUUGUGAGUCCGGAUUAUAACGAUAUAGUUACGGACGUUUGAAAUCAUUUUACAAAACUAUAGGUAGUUUUGAAUUAAUUAUAUUCCCACUAUAUGGGAAUUAUCAGAGGUCUUGUUUUGGCUCAAUCAGGUAUGUGUUGUUGAAGGGACCAAGCAAGUUAAAAGAUCAAAUGACCAAUCAGAAAAAAGGAGAAAAGAAAGGACCAAUUAGAAGAGGAGAGAGAAAGGGUUAUCUCCCUUUCAGCCCGUGUACACCCACGACCAUCGGGUUUCAACCCAGUGUAAUUCCGGCCACUUCCACCAUUUUUUUUCAAGUGAAAUUCAACCAUCGACCAUUCCACAACCUCCCCUCUACCAUUUCCACCCAAAAUCAGUAGAAAUUUAGUUGUAGUUUGGUGAAAAAUCCACCGUGGGUGCCGUGGGAAACCUUGCCGAGAUCCACCAUUUGUGAAACGAUUUUUUUCAAUCACCACCACCAAAACACUUCUCUUGAGGCCUGGAACAAAGACCAAACAACUAUAUGGGCGGCGGAUCAUCGGAGGUGACAGAUCGAAGCAACCCACCUUAGGGUUUUCGACAAGUGCCAGCCAAAUUGGGGCUAAUCCCGACCAAAUUGGACUUGGCCACAGGUAUAAAACUUGCUCUACUCAUUGAGUGGUCCAGAAUCCCGUUGGUAUUAUGGUUCCGUUGAGAGGUCCAAAACCCGAUUAAUUGCUUUGUUGAUUCUUUGGAUUGAGAUAGCUUCAAAGACGUAAGCUUCGGCCGAAUUGUGUCACUCUAGCCCUACUUUUCCUUGUGUUGUAUGAGACUAUGAGUUUAUGGUUGUGAGCUUUUGUGACUUGUUUUAGACGAGCCGUUGGAUGUAUGGGUGAUUCCUUCGGGAUUUUCAGUGACUUGAUUAUGAUUUCAUAAAAUAUGAUUUUAUAUUUGAUGUUUAUAAACUGAAUCAAUGGUUGGUUUUUAAUAGUGUCGCAUACGUAGAAUUAUUGUCACUCACAUGAGCUUCACGGCUUAUAUGGGUUGUUGUUUGCCUAGUGCACCAUUCCCAUGGUGUAGGGGCGAUUGUGCAGGUUUUAGUAGAUACAAGGAGCUUUGGGGUAGCAGAAGAGUUCAGAGAAUUUGGAGUGUUAGGUUACCCCUAUAUUUUUCCUUAAAAAGAUGUGAUUAUUGUUAUUUUCAGUUCAGUAUUUUAGUUUGUAUUUCCUGGUAUCCCCCUACAAUCCACCGUCACGUGUCGAUUUCGGGCGUAUCUCGGGAUUGGGGCGUGACAACGAGAAACAAGGUUGGUUUGGACGUUUUGCCCCAUUUUGGUAUCUCGUUUUGUUCUAGUUCUAUAGGUAGCAAAAUCUUGAAUAAAUUUCUUCUUCAGAUUUUCAUGGUUGAGUUUCCAUUAGAAUCUCUUUAAAUAGCUAUUGUUAUGCUAAUGUGUAUACUACUAGAAAUCUCGACCAAGCACACCCUUUUUGAAGUAAUUGCGACUCCUUGUUAAUUACUUGAUGUAUAUGAUGAAACUGAGAAUUUCCUACAACAUUCAGAAAUGUAAAAUAAGUUAAUCCUUUCAAAAUUAUUUAGUAACAUUAAGUGCAUGAGCACCACAUUUCACCGUUAGUUCUAAAGGACACAAGCUUCCACAAAAGCUCAUCGUUUCCAGCGCAAUCCUGAAUCGCAGCUUGAGCAGUGUGCUGCUAAAUCUGAACCUGGUGCGACCCCCCCAGCUUAUGUGCAACCCUGAAUUGUAUGUUGACUAAAUACUGCGGUUUUCAACAAGGAAUUUGGUUGUGAAGAAGUGUGAACGCCAUAAACCAUGACAUAUAACCAACAAGAAGAAUAGGGGAAGCUAACCACAAAAUGAUGAAAUGGGAGGAGGGGGGGGGGGGUACUAAUUACAACAUAUGUACCUCUUGAUUAAUCAGAAAAUGGUUCAAUGAGUGUUUUCCUCGCAGCAAACUAACCCCAAGAAGAUUUUGAUAUUACGUGUUUCAUAGUUGUAGCCAAGUCUAGGGGCAUAUUUUAUCUUUUCAAUCACAUUGGCCUGAGCAGAAAUGAUACAGCCAUGUCCACGGCUAGUGAGUCACGCAGCGUUUGCUUUUAAAAGCUAGAGACUACAGUAAAAUAGUGUACUUUGUUGUUGAGAGCAUAAUUUCAUGUUCCAAUGGGGAUACGUUAAAUCAACACAUUCGGUGCCCCUUAUAGAAUUGACUAUCUUACAGGUCUUCUGAGAGGUCUAAUUAAAGGGUGGCUUUGUUUGCUUGAAGGAUUAGCGCUGCAUCAACAUCAUCCGCUGACACCACUAAAUGUGGACUUAUGGUGCUCAUACACUUAAUUUAGCAUCAGUCUUAUUGAAGGUCAAACGUUUCUCUUAUUCUUCUGUUUUGUAUGGUGACUCUCAUACAUCUCCUACAUCAAGUAUCAAUAAAAGUUGGAGUUGCAAUUGGAUAUAUGGAUGAGAAUUAUACUCAUAACUGUAAAAAAGGACUACUACUUAACAUAUAAGCAUUCUUUUAACUGUAAAAAAGGAUCCUAAUGGGAAACUCAUCACAAGAGAAUCUGAAGAAAUAAAUCCAAGAUUGUAGGUUAUGUCUUUUUUUCCUUCUCUUUUUUAUGAAAGAAAAACCCAACAUUUCAUCACACGACCGAGAAAUGUCUUGUUGGUCAUUAACAGCAGAUGACAACAGCAGCAGCAACACACCUGGUCAUAUAAUUUAAAGGGAUGCUUUCCAUAUUGUAAUGUAAUAAGCUAUGAAUAUUGCUAGUCUCCAUUUAGGCAUUUACCUAAUCUGAUUCAAGGGGAACAGUAUGUGUCUCCCUCCUCGAUCGAAAAAAAAUGUACAAAAUCUGGAAUUUUUUUGGUUUACAAAAUUGUAACAAUCACACAGUUCGUGUAAUUGCUCUCCACAAUCCACUACCCUAUCAUACUGCACUCAAGCGAGAUAUGAGAACAAGGAAAGCAUCUUGUCCGCAGGGAAUUGUUAGACCGCCCAUUGGAUGAUCAAAUCCAAAUUCUUCUUCAGCUUCACUUAGCAAGUGUUGAAAUGCAGGCUGGCAGAGGAAAGAUAUGGGAACCACAAAUCGGUGCUUCUCACUCUCACCAACAUAAACUGCAAAAUAACCUUUAGGGACAUCUGCUAAAUUAUAUGAAGCUCCUUGACUUGAAUUUGAAAAAGACCGUCGAAAAAGUUUCUUAGCCGGAAUUACAGCAGGCAGACGGAACCCCAUUGUUGUAAGUCUUUGGAGGAAAGACUAGCAAUAAAGUUUAUAAGAACUUGAAGAGGAUCUCAAUGAACUUGUAAGUGCAAAACAAGAAAGCUGUAUACUUGAGAACUUGAAAAUUUAAUUUGGUGGUCAUCAUCCCAUUCAUAUGGUAUAUAUAGAUGAAAAGUAUUGUGUAAUAUCUUCUACUAGAGGAAAAAUAUAUGGUAAAGACAAUGACAAUCUGGAUGGGGUAUAGAAGGGAAUAAGAGCUCAUCAGGGAUCACAUGGUUCUGUCUUCAAAUUAAUCAAGCAUUUAGCCAAAAUAUGUGGAGCCUCCAUCACUACCAAGGUUUGUGAUGAAUUGGAAGACAGAGCCAUGUGAACUUCUAAAUGCUGAUAUCUAUAGCCACUCAAUUUCGUUUCAGUUUGGAUAUAGUACUUCAACAACAAAUCAAUUUGUAUUGGGUCCACAUAUAUAGUAUGUUCAACUAGCAACCUGCAAGAAAAUGCCUGUUUUCUGCAUGUUUCUGAUUUUAUACUAGUCAUGUAUCUAUUCUUCCACAUAUAUAGUAUGGCAUCGGUUGUUUUAACUUUGAGACAAGUUCAUAUGAUUUUCCAUGAACUAAUCUCUCUCAUGGUACUAUCAUGGUCCCUCAAUGAUCACCACUCAGAGAAAAGUAUAUGAAUUUGAAGACAGGCAAGUGAACUUGCAAAUGCUUCUGUCUUUAGAAUUAUUAUUUUUUUCAAUCCCAUUCAAAUUCCUUCAGACCACUCACUCAAACUUUCUUAUAACAUUAUGUUGAUUGUUAGGAUUACGACUGAUCUUGCCAGCAUACCUGAUCUUGCCAGCAUACCUUCUGAACAUGAGUAGGACAUUCUGUUUUAUUUUAGUUUCAAUACGUUUUCAGUUUGUGCAGUUAUUAAGAGAUGUAGCUGUUGGGUAUUGUGAUUCUUCAUUUCUGCUCAUACAUUUUUCUUGAUUAGUUGGAAAGACAAGUCCAUGUGAUUUUCCAUGAGAAAAUGACUAUCACUUGGCUCCGUCAUGGUCCUUCACCAAUUGUAUUUUUUUCCGUAAAUGAUGUCCUUGAAAAAUGGGAAAUCAUAGCCCUGUGAACAUUUAAAUGCUUAAGCUGGGUCACUUGACAAUUCGCAUUCAAUUGCCUCCAGACCACUCUCUCCAACUUGUACAGAUUAUUUUGUAGACCUCACAUUUUAUAUGCUAAAACUGUUGAAAUAGCACCACGGGAAAAAUUCUUGUCUCAAGCAUGUCUCUGAUUUUUUAUAGGCCAUCAAUUAAGAGAGGAAGGACAUUGGGUUGCGUUCGUUCAGUCAUUGACUCGUGAAAUGUUUUUGGUAUCUUGUAGACAAGUCCAUGUGAUUUUCUAUGAGCAAACUAUCUCUCGCUUGGGUCCAUCCCAGUGCGUCAUCACCAAUCAUUUUAGGUAACUGAUGGCUCGCAGCAUACCACUUUGGCUAUAUAUGCAUACAUCAUGCAAGGUUCAGGAGCAAACCAACACAAGUCUUCUACUCCCAAGCAUAUCUUAUCAAAGCUCUUUCUGUACUGAAAUUCAUCUGAACUCUUUAUUGUUCCUUUUUACAGAGAAAUUUUAAAACCAUGGGUUUCCGAUUGCCUGGUAUUUUACAUGCCAAGAAAAGUCAAGUUUCUUCAAAGUCACUGGAUGUUCCAAAAGGCUAUCUUGCGAUCUACGUUGGGGAGAGCCAGAAGAAGCGGUUUAUUAUUCCGGUGUCCUACUUCAACCAACCUUCAUUCCAAGAUCUGUUAAGCCUAUCUGAAGAUGAAUUUGGAUAUGAUCAUCGAAUGGGGGGUAUCACAAUCCCCUGCAGUGAAGACACCUUCCUUGGUCUCACCUCAGCUUUGGUGUAUAAGUAGAGGCUAGCUACAUAUACGUCGACACGAUUUUGACACCAACAGCUGUAAAAGCAGUUGCAAUUUUAAUCGCUUUCUGGCUCACUUGAAGGAGGUUCGAUUGAUUGAUCAUCCAGUGAAUCAUCAUAAUGGAAGAGGACAUCAACGUCAAACCGCUUACGAGCUGAGAGGAAAAUGGCCAGCCUAGCGGACAUAAACUCACUGACACAAUUUUUCAAGAAUAGUUAUUCUCAACUGAAUGUACAUAGUUGUCCUGCAAGGAAAACUGAGAUUAGAAUAUUUCAUUACAAUAGAACGUUUUUACAGUUUCAUGAUUUACCUUUCAUUUUAUUUGCUAUCUUCUUCAAUCAAGUUUUGAACGGACGAUAAAUUUAUACACAAGGGACUAAUUACUGGAAUAUUGACAGACAAAGUAAUACAAGUAAACAUCAUAGGCAGAUUUAAAAACAUGUUAAGAAUGGACUAUUGUACGGAUAAAGUUUUAAAUAUAACAAGCAUUGGAUGCACCCAGAAUAGCACUAAUCCCUGCUGAAUUACCAUGAAAAUACCAAUGUGUGCAUUGAAUAUGCCCCAAAUUUAAUAGCACUAGUCCAUGCUUAAAUUCUCACAACAAUAUCAAUGCGAGCAUUUUAAUACAUUCUAUUUCAUAGAAGUUUCGCUUGGUUGACAUUAAAAACCUAUUCAGGCAAAUCCCCAAAGACAUGCCCCGAAGUUUUUAACCAUGAUAGGCUCAAAGAUAUCCAAAUCUUGAUAUGAUUACAUUACUUAUUAGCCUGAUCAAAAAGUUUCAACAAUACAGAUAUUAGCAUACAAAGAUAUAAUCUCAAGCAGGUUCUUUACUGCAAGAGAUCAGCCUGGCUACUUAAUUUUUGCCCGUGUCAAGAACUACAACUCUUACCUUCCCCAAAAUUGAUCUGAUUACUCGAAUAAAUGGUACCUGUACAUACGAAUGUUCUAACUUGAUUUUGUGUGUGGACAGUGGAAUCUGUACGCAUUAAAAGAUUUCCCUUUAUGGGAGCUAUAGGUGUUUGGCUAGCUAAUGCAGUACUCACUUGUGUUAUAUCUCUCAUGGACAGUGGAAUCACAUAAUUGGUGAUUCAGCCAAAAGAACUAGGGACCGAAGCCGUUUGGAAGCUCCUGAGUCAAUGUCCAUCUUAUUAAAGAAGCACCAUGUCCACUCUCAGCAGUUGUAUAGAUGUAACUAAAACUGACUGACAAUAUAUCCCACCUUUAAGAUGAUCCCCUAGCUAAUUAGAUCACAGACAGGCAUAUUGAAGGUUAAACGUUUCUUUCAUUCUUCUGUUUUGUAUGAUGACUCUUAUACAUCUACAUCAAGUAUUAAUAAAAAGGUGGAGUCGUAAUUGGAUAUAUAGAGAACAAUAUAACUCAUACAAAAAAUUUCAUAGUGGAGUUGUUUGAAUGAACAAUUCGCAAUUUACCCUACCAAAUGACAUACUAGUCAUGCAGAGAAAACUAAGGUUAUUGUCCAAACUGUUGAGGGUGUUGGUGAAACAUCCCAACCCCACUUUUAUUUAAAAGUUGUUUUAAGGCCUUAAUUGGUGAGCCGUGGGGGCCCACCUUGUUUUAUUUUUUUGUUUUCCGGUCUCUCCUCUCUCAGUUCGCUCUUCUCCCUCACCUCUCCCGUAACUCUCUUUCUCUACACUUUCCAAUCUCUCAAAACCCUAUCCUUCCCUCUCUCGCCAUGACCACUCACUCAUCCUUGCGCAUGCAUAGCCGCACCCCGCUCGAGGAAACCAUCAUCACCAUCUAAAUCUUGUUCUCUCUCUCUCUCCCUCUCAUCUUUGCGAGGUCGACAAACCCAGGAAGGAUCUCCGGCGAGUCCCUUCUAUAUUUCCGGUUAGGUAAGCCUCGGGUUUCCUUCCUUCCGUUUUAGAUUGUUGAUUGGAUGUGAUUAUUGAGUUUAUCUCAUUAUUUCAAGGUUGAGGACGAAACCAUCGCGGGGGAAGGCACACCCAACUUCACAGCGGACCCGUGUCCUUCAAGGGUUUUUCAGAGCACUCACGGCCAUUUCACGGCAAAGAAAGGGUAUGGAAAUACUCUACCCUCUUCCCUCUUCAUUUUGGUGUAUAGUUUGAACCCUAGUUUGCUAGAAAACCGCCGCCCGGAGCUGUAGCAGCUUCGGCUUUCUCCUCCGAUCACCACGUAGGCUCUUCAGGCCACCCAAAGCACCCUGGACCUUAGGCCCGUGUUUGGGCCAGCCCAAAAACACCAAAACCCAGCCCAAUUAUAAAUUUUAUUUCCUUUAUUUAUUUUGUUGACCCACUGGGCCUUAGGGCCUUUUCCUUUUAUUUGGGGCUUAAAGCCCGGUUUUUGGUAACUAGGCCUGCGGGCAGUGCCUUGUGGGUGUGUAUGGGCUGUGUGUGUUGUGUGGUAUGUCCGUGUGUGUGUGUGUGUACGUGUGUGUAAUUGCAUGAGUGCAUGCGUGUGGUGUGUGUAUGUGUAUAUGCAUGUAGUGCAUGCAUGUGCAUGCCGUGCAUGUGUGUGUUUGUGUAGUGUAUGUGUGUGUUGGUUGUGUGGCCCAAACCACCAUUUUCACCCAAAACCCUUUUAACCCAAAAACCUUAGGAUCCUAAAACCUAUUAGGGUCUAACCCAUCCAACCCAAAUCCUUUCAUUUUAUUUAAUUCAAGCCCAAAUUCUUUAGAAAACCCUUUUAUUUAUUUAUUACUAUUUUUGUGCUUAGGUGCAAUUAUUGUGGCUUUUGCAUAUUCGCUAGCUGCGCGGCUUUCGAUGGCAAAGUACUGUGAGUAGACCUCUUCUAAAAUUAUAUGAUUUUAUAGUUUAAUUGCAUAAAUGAAUAGCAUGCCGUACGAGUUUAUGAUUUGAUUUAUGUUAAGUUUGUUUAUUAAAUAUAUUGAUUUUCGUCUCGUGUUUUUGGUGAGGAAUUAACUGUUGGCCUGUAUUGAGCUGUAUUUUGGAAUAUCGUAUUUUCUAUAAAAACCAUGAACUGGUAGACUAUCUGAUGGAUGACGAUAGGAUGCUAGAACAUGUUUUAGAAACCCCUCUUUAUAGUAUAGACGAUGGAUGACUUUAUACUAUGAGGUGGUUAUUUAUGAGAGACGUAACUAUUUGUGCGUACCUAGUGGACACUAUGCUGCCUGGGGCAAGGAUCUGGUGUUGGCAGAUAGGCUGAGAGAAAUAACCCCUAGCUACGGGCUGAAGGACAUGGAGAAGGCAUUGGGCCGGGAGUUGGUAAUCUCUGGCUACAAGCGCAGAGACCACGGAGCAGGCAUUGGGCUAAGAGUUAUAUUUAUUCAGUGAUCUUUCUAGCAGCACACCGCGCUUACGAGACGAUCUAUAAGACGUUACUAUUUUGAUUUCUACGAUGUUAUUCCGCGAUAUGACUUUUAAGAUAUAUUUGGCAUGCUAGAUUUUUUAUUAAAUCCAUCACUUAUUAUGUUAGUAGUUUUCUUUAUAUAUAAACCUGGGGGUUAGUAUGUUCAUAACUGUUUUUGUAUUAUGUAUAUAUAUGAACUUGGUCCACUCACCUUUGUUUUGCGCCCCCUUUCAGGAUUUAGAAUCGAGGCAUACGAUCCCGACAUCAACGCUUUCGCAUAGGCAUAUUCGAGUCCUCUUUGGUGUAGGACCCACAUCCUUUUAUUUAUUCAAUUUUAUAUUAAUUCUUUUAGAGCUCUAGUUAGUUGUAUGCUCUGAACACGUUCCUAAAUUUUUAAUUCAUUAUAUUUUAAAUUCAUAACCUUUAUUUAUUUCUUAUUCUUAGCUUUUGUAUCAAUUAAUGGCUUUCGUCACCCUCGGGUGUCGGCCAUCAUGUGUCUAUCUUGGUAUUCGAGGAAUAUCAGGGUCGGGGCGUGCUAGUUGGAUUUUUGGAUCGCCGGGCCCCCCACUCUAACGAUACCGAUAUUGUCUCUAACCUUACCACCUACCCAAUCUGUCAAGUGUGAUGUUUUACAACAAAAAACUUCGGUAUUAGUUAGAGUAGGGUAAUCCUAUUUAAACCCCUUGGUUUUCUUUCUCACCACCGAUGUGGGACUUAAACACUCCCCCUCAUGUGUAACCCCAUUUAGUGGUUCACACGUGAAGAUCCACAUUGGUAAUUGAAACUCAGAGGUCGGCUCCAAUGGAGUCCAAACUUGUUUCCAAUGGAACUCAGCGGUCGUCUCUAUGUUAAGAGUUCAGACUUGUUUCAUUUGGUGACAAGCUCAUUGUUGGCUUGCACGGGUCCGAAUCGUGGACUCUGAUACCAUGUUGGAUUUUUGGAUCGCUGGGCCCACCCCACUCCAACGACACCGAUAUUGUCCCUAACUUUACUAGCUGCCCAAUCCGUCAGGUGUGAGGUUUUAUCACAAAAGGCUAGGGUAAUCCUAUUUAAACCCCUUGGUUUUCUUUCCCACCACCGACAUGGGACUUUAACAGAGGGGGACUACUACUUAAUCACGAAAGAAUCCUAAUGGGAAACUCAAUCACGAAUGGGAAACUCAAUCACGAAAGAAUCCUAAUAAUAUCUUUCUCUUACGCAUGCACACUAAUAAUGCUUAGUUUUUAGGCCGGCAUGGUUAUGCUUAUUAUAUGAUGCUAAAUCUGGAAAACUAGCCAUGUUAAGGUUUCCCAGUUUAUUUGUAAUGAUUUGCUUGGCUACAAGAAAACUUUUUGUUUAUUGAAUUGCUUGACUUUCUUUAAGAGAAUGCUGCUAGACAUAUACGUUCCCCAGUUCGACCUAAGUAGGCUAGUUGUUUCUUUUCAUAUUCUUUUCAUAUUUGUGCUUUGAACAAAUAUAGCAAUAGCCAUGCACCACAUACUAUAUUUGAUAGCCAUUCCUUCAUGUCAUGUUUCAUUUGCAACACUGUUUUUUCAUUCUCUCAAAUACAAAAUAUCUGUAUACUAGUCUUAUCACUGCCUCUUGAUUUCAGGAUGUUCACGAUAGGUUUCGAACUGAAUCCCAUUCUAAGGCUACUGGGCGUUUUAACGAGCGUUUCUUAUUAUCGCUUGCGUCAUGCAAAUCAUGUGUAGUCAUGGAUGAUGAGCUGAAUAUUUUACCAAUUUCAUCUCAUAUGAGGUCAAUUACCCCGGUUCCAGUUAAAGAGGUAACCUUUUGGCAUCUUAAAUUGAAGGAACUGAUAAACCGAGGCAUGCUUUAUUUUUGUAGCAUCUUAUGCCAGGUUGAAAAAAGAAUCCUAAUGGGAAACUCAAUCACGAAAGAAUCCUAAUGGGAAACUCAAUAUGUAUAAAAAUAAAAAUAAAAAUUAAAAAAAAAGGAUCCUAAUGGGAAACUCAAUCACGAAAGAAUCUGAAGAAAUUAAUCCAAAAUGAGAAAUUUUAUUUGAACCCAUAUAACCUGUUUCUACACCAAACUUACUCCUUAUACCCAUAUUAUUUUUAAUUAAAGAAUCAAUCUCUCUUUAAACCUAAAUUUACUAUCUAAACUACCUUCACAAACUCAAUUCAAUAUAUAAAAAUUCAUCUUUACACCCAUUUAGAAAAUAAAAUCCCAAAUAAGUGAAUGAAGAUUUAAGAUUUUGUCAUGGCAACCAAUUGUUAUAGAUGAAUUGAUCAGCAGCAUCAAUUUUUUUUUUAAACUUUUUUGACAUCGGUUUGGAGUGCAAGGUUGUUAGGAAAUGAUCUUCGCCAAGCUCUUAAUAGAGUAGUCCAAGUAGCUAGCCUGGAUGUGAUUCGUGGAAUUGAGUGAUGAAUUUGUAAUUCAAGAUUAAACAGUUCAGUAGCUGCUAGGUAAGCAGUUGAACUAGUACUUUUGGAAUUUGCAUCAUGUAAAAUUAUGUGGCCACCUUAGUGAAAGUAAAUUUCAGUAGAACUUCUCAUAACAUUUUCUUAAAGGAUCAUGGCAAUAAUUUUCAUUUGAGCAAUAUAUGCUGCUUUUACAGGCAUACAUAGUUGAAUGAAGCAGAACUAAACAAAUAGCGAGAAGAGAACUCAUACUUUAAAUAUGCACUCGUAAUGACAUGGAAAACAUUUCGAUGUGUUGAAAGCUUUCUGACUCUUUUGUUUCUUGUGGUGAUAUUGCUUAUAAUUAUUGCUCUUCCUGAAUGAGUUAACAUGAAGCUAGAGAGGAAACAAAAAGCAACCGGAUUUGAAUAUUAGGUGAUCGUAGGGUUUUAUGGCAGCUCUUAGAAUUUAGUCAUAAUGAACGUAGGAUAAAGAUUGUGUGAUGGUAGAACUUGAUUAUUGAAUAUGGAUUUAUUGAUAAAAUUUAGUUUUAUUCUUAAUUUCAUCUUGUACUUGAUGGUAAUUAUGCAAUAAGAUAAAAUAAACAAUUCAUAUUUAUAAUUUAAGUUGAGUGUUGGGUUCAAAUAAAAUUUCUUAUCCAAAAUUGUACAGGUCACGUUUUACUUCUCUUUUUUAUGACAGAAAACAAAAUUAGUCCUUAUGGUUAAAUCACUGUUCAUCCACGACCAAGAAAUGUUUUCUUGAUCAUUAACAGAUGACAACACCAAGCAGCAGCAACACACCUGGUCAUAUAAUUUAAAGGGACGGAUGCUUUCUAUAUUGUAAUGUAAUAAGCUGUGAAUAUUUCUCCAUUUACACAUUUACAUAAUCUGAUUCCGGGGGAACAAUAUUUCUCCCUCCUAGAUCGAAAAAAAAAUGUACAAAAUCUGGAAAUUGUUUGGUUUAAAAAAAUUGUAACAAGCACACAGUUCAUGUAAUUGCUCUUCACAAUCCACCACUCUACUAUACUGCACUUAAGCGAGAUACGAGAUCAAGGAAAGCAUCUUGUCUGCAGGGAAUUGUUAGACCGCCCAUUGGAUGAUCAAAUCCAAAUUCUCUUCAGCUUUACAUAGCAAGUGUUGAAAUGCAGGCUGGCAGAGGAAAGAUAUGGGAACCACAAAUCGGUGCUUCUCACUUUCACCAACAUAAACUGAAAAAUAACCUUGAGGGACAUCCGCAAAAUUAUACAAAGCUUCUUGAAUUGAAUUUGAAAAAGACCGUCGAAAAAGUUUCUUAGCAGGAAUUAGCAGGCAGACGGAACCCCAUUGUAGUAAAUCUUUGGAGGAAAGAUAGCAAUAGAGUUGAUAAAAACUUGAAGAUCUCAAGGAACAAGCAACUGCAAAACAAGAAAGCUAUAUGCUUGAGAACUUGAAGGUUUAAUUUGGUGGUCUUGAUCCCAUGCAUAUGGUAUAUAUAGAUGAAAAGUCAUGCUGAAUUAAUAUCUUCGGCUAAAGAAAAAAUAUAUGGUAAAGACAAAGACAACUUGAUGGGGUAUAGAAGGGAACAAGAGCUCAUUAGGGAUCACAUGCACGGUUCUGUCUUCAAAUUAAUCAAGCAUUAAGGGAAAAUAUUUGGAUCCUCAAUGACUACCAAGCCUUCUGAAGAAUUGAAAACAGAGCCAUGUGAACUUUGAAAUACUAAUAUCUAUUGCCACUCAAUUACCAGGAGAAUACCCACACGGCCCCUCGCGCCAACUACUAGAGAUUUUCUUUCCCGACACAUCCAUCGUUUUAUCAGUUUGGGUAUGGAAACUUGUUGCUAUGAUAUAGUAGUUCAACCACAAAUCAAUUUGUAUUGGGUCCACAUAUAUAGUAUGUUGAACUAGCAACCUGCCAGAAAAUGCCUGUUUUCAGCAUGUCCCUGAUUUUAUAGUUAUGUAUCUAUUCUUCCAAAAGGAUUCAAUUAUGCAAAUUUUAAGCUGAUCUGAUGGUAUCGGUGGUUAUAACUUGGAGACAAGUUCAUGUGAUUUUCUAAUCUCUCUCAUGGUGCCAUCGUGGUGCCUCAAUGAUCACAUUCAGUCGUUUCAGAUAAUAGAUGGUUUAUGGCAUAUACCCAUUUAUCUAUAUAUUUUAUGAUCAGGCUCAGAAGAAAAUGUCAAACAAAGCCUUCUCUCAUUUUUAGAAGUCAACUGAAAUUUCCAUUGUUGCUUAAUUUUCUCAUUAAGAAAUUUUAAACUAUGGGUUCCUGGUUGCCGGGCACUGUUCAUGCUAAGAAAUUCCACAUUUCUUCAAAGGCCAUGGAUAUUCCUAAUGAGAACUAUAAUGUAUUAUUACUUUUUAUUUUACUGCUUGUGGAUGCAAAUUUCUUCCUCCUCGAUCUUGGACGAUUUUGCACCUACAAAACAACUAGCACCUUAGGUUAAGGCCAAAAGCCUCACGCGCCCACGAUGAAUGGGGGGGCUUUGGCCGAAGAACCUCCGAUGCCAAAGUUAGAAUUUUAGAGAGAAAUAGUGUUUAGAGCAUUUGGGAUUUUUUGUAAGAGAAUUGGAAUGAAUAUUUGGGGCUAAAUAGGAGCCUAUUUAUAGGGCUAGGUUGGUUCACUUUAGAGAGGAAAUGUGGCCGGCCACUAAGUAGGGUUUUUAGGUUUUAUUUUGGUUUAAUUAGCCAAUUAAUUGGCUAAUUAAACAUAAAAGGAAAUGUUUUGGUAGUUAUGGAAUUAAUUGGCUAAUAAAAGGGAAGAAAUGGUGAAAAAAGGUAGACAAAGUGAUGGAUUAGGUUUUGAAUGGGGAUAGCCGGCCCUUUAGUAUUUUUAGGUGUGAAUGGGUGUUUUAAUUGAUAAUUAAGGGAUUGAUUGGGUAAUUAAUCCCUUAAUUAAUCAAAUUUUAGGAAAUAUGAAAGGAAAAUAUUAUUUAGCUAAUUGAUUAGCUAAAUAAUGGAAUAAAAAAUAUAUAGAAUAAAUUAGGUUUUAGGAAUUACCUUAUAAAAAGGAUUUGAUGAAAUAGGCUUUAAAUUGUUACCUAUUUCGGGCACUUUUGACUUGGUUGAGGAUGAUUGUCCGCCACUCGCACGUAGGAUUCUAGGUAUGCCUCAAGGGUAUUUUUGUCCUCUUUUACCCAAAAAUCCAUGCGUCGCCUUGUGAUUAUUUUUGGCUCCAUAAAUGCCCCCACACCUGUUGGGCUGCUCGCAGGAAAUGGCGGUAGGUGUAGAGAUCUUCUUGCUUUAGGAAACUUAAGACUGCUUCCUAUUUUGAUGUUGAUUCUCUCUUUAAUAGGAAAUUAGAUCCUUCUAGGAAAGGUAAAUAAAUUUCUCUCAAAGCCUAUUUAAGUCCACCUUAAGUGGGUUAUUAAAUCAACUUUGGAGAGCGAUUUAUUCUACCCUACAAGAGAGAGAUAACUUAGAGGAUAUUUGUUCCCUUUCCUCUAGCAAUCUUUUACAUCUUGCCCAUGCAAAGGACCGUCUUUCGUUGCUUUCUUCGUCUUCUUCGUGCCACACUGAGGUAAGAAAAAAUUAAUUUUCCUUGUUUUCUUCUUGGAUGGUGCUACCGCGGGGCAGCUGUCGAGGAGAUGCGGCACUUCGGCUAGCAUGGGCCAGGAGUCGGCUCGGCAUGGGCCGAUGAGGUAUUGUGGCAGGGACCACUACUUUAAGCUACUCGACUUGGCUAGAACCAAAGGCAGCUUAUGUGGCUGGGGUCGCGAAUUGUGGCGAUGAGGCGCAGUACUAGGCGAGUCACAUGGCUCAUGUCAUUUUAGGCUUUUGGACAUGACGCGAGUUAGGCCGUUGAUUGAGAGAAAUGAAGAGGUUGCGGGCCUCAUAAGCUGCUAGAAUGUUGGGUUGAACUCCCCUGCUAGGUACCACGAAUGGCGUUGGCUACUUUAACUCUCUUCGUCAGGAGAAACGUGGGCUGCUCCCAAAAGAGGAGGUGAAUAGGAUCAAGGCGGAUGCAUUGGCUGGCCCAAUCACUGUUGUGGAUCCUGCUACAAGUGAAGGUGGGAAAAAGGAUCUUCCCUGCCUGCUCAAGAGAUGCCGGCUGAGAAAAAGCCAAAUACUUCUUUCGCUGCUCGCGCGGGUUCGUCGACUGCUUUCAGGCUUGUGAUUGACUUAAGUUUUUCCAAGAGAAUGAAAAAUAAGGCUGCUAGAUCUGAGCAUGUGGCGCCUACCAUGUCAAGAAUGGCUAGUACGAUUGCUGAUAGAAUUGUUCGACAUAAAGGUCCUGUCAUGCCCUUAGUGCUGAAUUUUGUACUAAGACGUCUGUUGGGAGCUAAGUCCGGUUCACCUUUGGAGAGGCUUGCUUUUAUGAAGAGCGAUAAGGUGGACUCUGCUGCUAAAGUGGCGCCAAGGCUUAUUCUUUAUGCUGCUGAGACUGAUUCGCCUGUUAGGAAUGAGGAGACUGCUCGCGUAGGCAGCUGUGAGAAAUCCAGUAAGCCUGCUUUUGGGAAGGCUGCUAAGAUCUAUGUGCUUUUGAAACCAGAUCUCUUGAAAACAUGGACGCUUGCCAAGUUUGUUGAUGGCGUUAAAAAGGUUGUUUGCCCAAGCUCAUUUACCAAGCAUACGACCCAAUAUAGAAUGACUGCUUUGCUUACCAUGAUACAGAUAUAGCAAGGCUGCUAAGGAGAUGACAAAUACUAUGGUAGAUUUCGAGAACUUCUCUAUUUCUCCAGAAGACUUGCUUGAUUUUACUUAUAAGGCUUCCCUUGGUGAAGUAGUUUGAGAAGUUAGUGCUCAGGCUAGGGUAGCCGGGGCUGAAAUGUCGGAUGAUACCGCUGCUAAGAGCAUCGCGGCUGCUGAAGGUGUGGCAACCGAGUAGUCGUGGGAUGUCCAAGCUGCUAUAGUCUUCUAAGUAGCCUUUAGGAUUUUAUUUGUUUUUCCUUGUAGCUCUUGUUUUGAUUGAACUCCUUUCAGCCUUUGAUAGUUGUUUAUAAACAUGUUUUCCUUCAUUUUUCUUCAUCUUCGCUUCUUUUGUUCAUGCCCUAACCUUUAGACUUGAUAGACUAGUGGCAGGCAUGCUAUUUUUUUAUAAGCAGACAAGGUCGCGUAGCCUGUGCAGUUGUAGGUGUUGGUGUAGAACUUUGCAAAGUUGUUAGCCAUAGGGUUGGCAGACGGAUGCCUUACUUAUAGAAGCAGACAAGUCUGUGUAACCACUAGGCUGUUAACCUUGGCUUUCUCCAAUUCUGUAGGUUACGUAGCAAGUAUCACAACACUUUAGGACUUGGUGUAGGUUGUUCCGCGCUUGGCAAAGGUGAAGCUUAUCGACUACGUAGCAUGUCGGCAGUGGAUAAAACUUUGUAUAUGCGCGCUAGCUUGUUUAACCUUUCACAAGAAUGUGCGGUUGUAUAAGUUUAGUGCAGCUUUACUGCUCGAAGGGCAAGCCGUAGGUAGUCUUCCAGAAUCCGUAGGCUACCUUAGUGCACUUGGUAGCAGCUUUAGGGUUACAAGGCAGUCGUUUGUAGGGCAUACUGCGUAAUGUGCCAUCUCUGUCUCUAGGGCCCGGUUCCCCACGGAUUAGGCCAAGAGACCAAAAAUCCUUCAGUUAGUUAAGUCUUGACAAAGACCAUUGUGGCUACUUCUAGGAAUCCCAGCGCAAGCCAUCGUGCAUCUAGUUAUACUAGGGCAGCCAGGCUCAUCCACGUCUGAAUAUUUGGAGUGUAAAGUUUAUCCUCCCAUCUUGGAAAGCUGACCCAUAUGAGUGUCAGAGAAUUGGUUUACCCUCUCGCACUGAAGAGCAAUUAGUUUACCCUCUCGCAUUAGAGAGCAUGGUUGGUCAUUCAGGGGGCGCAAUUCCUGCGAUGAGUCCCUAAGUAGGGCGCAGUCUUCUUUUGAAGUGCAGGAUUGAUCAGUUGUUGUAAGUAUGCAGCUGAGCCAAUUUGUGAUUACUUCUGAAUUCCUCAUUGAAAAAAUGAGUGAAACGAACGAGAACUUAGCUGUAAGGUAGGAACUGCAUAAUAACUGGAUAGUCCUCAGCUUGUGAGGUGGUGCCCAUUGAGCUUCUUAAGUCUUCAAGUUUUGAUGUAGUGUGAGGUCACACAUGGUACUUUUUCACCAUCCACUGCUUUUUGAUGUUUUUGUCAUUUCAUGGUGGCGAGGGUAUAAUUACUCUUGCCGCCUUCUUUGCUGAUCUUGUACAGACCUUCCCAGAUGAGAUUAAUCUUUUUGGAGCCUUCUCUGCGGGCAGUGAUGAAGGCCUUAAGACUAGAUCUCUGGGCUGGAACUGUCGGAUCUUGGCCCUUUUGUUGUAACUGGAGCGGAAUUGCUGCUGGUAAGCUGCGAUGCGGGUGAUAGUCUGCUCGCACUUCUCCUCUGUCAGAUUUAAGCUUGUGGCCAUCUCCUUUCGGUUGCUCGUCUUUUGGUGGUGCGAUAUGCCCAUAGACAUCCUUGGAGUUCGGCUGGCCAUUUUCUUUUCUUAUUGGUAGGGGAUUUCUUGUGGCAGUCGUGGAUCAUCUUAGUGGAUGCUUUGGCCUGCCUAUUGCCUUGAGGAUAUCUUGGCGUAGACAUGUGCUGCUUGAUGCCAUAUUUUUGGAAGGACUUUGCUAAAUCUUUGCCCACGAAUUACGGGUCGUUGUCGGUGAUGAUGGAUUAAGGGAUGCCAAAUUGGCAAAUGAUGCUCCUUCAUAUGAAGCGCUAUAUGUCCGUCUGAACCAUAAUCGUUAUGGGUUCUGCUUUUACUUAUUUGGUGAAGUAGUCGGUUACCACGAUUAUCAUGCCUUUGCCCCUAGUAGUCUGGCUGGUGAUUAACUAGGACUUGGAAUGAAUUGAAAGAUUUUUCACCACCAAGUCUUUUGUCAUUCGAAGGCCUGCUAGUGGGGCUUCGUACUCUGCUUCGUUGUUAGAUGCUUUGAAGCUUAGAGUGAUCGCCUGCUCGAGCAUUGAAAUGUCUAGGGUGGCAAGAACCACGGCUGCUCAUGAGCCUUCGUAGUUGGAUGCGCCAUCUACAUGCAAACGCCAAAAAUCUCCAUUGAGGGAGCAGGUGUGGCUAAAGUGUGCUCGGCUUCCUGCGGGGCGUCGUUGGGCUGCUUUGUUGCAUUGUUAAGUCUAGGCUUGAAGGCGCGGUAGGGAGCUGUGGAGCUAGGGCCAUGUUACAUGUAGCAGGAGAUGCUCAACUUCCGGUAUUAGGCCACUCUAGAGUUGAAUAAUGGAGCAAAGGUCGGCUAAGGCCGUGUGACGCACAGUAGGAGGUAAUGUUCGAUUGCCAGUACAUGUUGCUCUUACGUAGAAUCUUCUGGGGUGACGAGGAUAAAACUUGCUUCUGAGUGUUCCUUCUAGUGUUCGUCUACCCUUGGCGUGUCUUUUGGGCCUAGUUGUUACAUUCGUCAGAAAACUUUACAUCUACCAGCGUCUACGCCUUUAUCGUCGCGGGUUUGGAUUCGAUGGAAUAGUGCAUCAUGAUAAUGAUUGCGUGCGUUUGAAGGUAAAACUUAAGCAUUUGGGUUACAACAACUAUCGCCAAAGUUAGCUUUUGAAUUUUUAAUAGCAUUGAUGAGAGCUUUUAAACUGUAGAAUACAGGUAGUCGGGCCCCCAGCUUUUCUUACAUGAUGGUAGAGCUUAUUGCUACUUUAGAUACCGUCAAACAUGCGAAUAAGUCCUCCGCUGCUUCUAGGAAGGUGAUGUCGGGUACUUCUUCAGGUUCUUGAAUGUGCAUUGGCGAGCCUCGUCCCAAAGUGCAUGCUUCUCUGCCAAUGCAAAAGAGUCUGCCAGAGUUAGAUCUUCUUUCAUGAUCAAUUUUUCGAAUAGCAGGUGGUCUGCUGGAAGGCCUUUUUGGAAGGCUGUUUUAGCUAUCGAGUCGUUGCAUCCAGCUAUCCUUGCUUUCUCUACUUUGAAUCUCCUCACAUAGUCACGAAGUGACUCCUUUACGUUUUUCUUGACGUCAAACAAAUGGUCGGACUUCUUUUUGAUCGAGCGAUAGGAUGAAUAUUCUUUGGUGAAAACCAAAGAAAGUUCGUAGAAAUUCCAGAUGGAUUGUGGCGGCAGGUGUAGAACCAAUCUUGCUCUUCGCCUUGUAGAGUGGUGGCAAAUAUCCUGCACAUGAGAUCAUCGUUGUUUCGAUAAAGGAUUAUUGCGCUUCGGUAGCGCUUUAAGUGUCUAUCCGGGUCUUCAUCCCCUUUGAAAGAUGUGAAAUGUGGCAUGCUGAACUCGCAUGGAGGCUCUGCCUACUCGAUCUCAUCCGUGAAGGGUGACUUACUUAUGUUGGUCAUGCUUUGUCGUAGUGCCUCGUCGGUGACCUCGUUGCAUUGGAAAUCAUGCAAUCACUUAGUCAAGAGCCUCUCUACUUCUUCCUGAAUUUGCCUUUAUUGGGGUAGUGGAGCUCUCGGCUGCCCCCAACCAUGACUUGCUGGUCUAGGCUGCUCUUCCAUGUGUUUGGAUCGUCUAUACCGCGGAUGCAGUGCAUGUGGUGCGUUCCUAGCAAGCGAGCGAGUUCUUCGCAAGUUGCUAGUUGAACUUAAGCUGGAUUGAGUGACUACUUCUCUCCGUCCAUCGUACUGCCUACUUCGAUGUGAGGUGGAUGAUGCUCCUUGCGGGCUUAGCUGUGAAUGAACACUUUGCCCGGAAGGUUGCUCAUGUUGACUAUCGGAGUGUUACCCUAACCGUGAAUGUAUGCUCACCCAUGGGCCUAGUCGAGAUUGCAUGCUCCUCCGCACGCUAAGAUGAGAGUAUACGUUAUCUCGGGAGUUCAAUCGGGAGUAUGCACUGCACGAAUGCUUGGCUCGUGGCUGCUUGCCGGGACGCUGCUGGAAAGGUUCGUUUGCCCUUAUCCUACUUUGGGAUACCUCGUCCGAGGCAUAUUGGAUCCUGGUGUGUUGUAAAAGUUGAUUCACCAAGGUUGUCUGCUAUGUAAAGGCGCUCGUCAACUCUAUGAUUUGUCGAGACAAGUGUUGUUCGCCAUUUGGAUUGGAAGAGCUUAGAAGGAAUGUGCCUCCUUGGGCAGUGGAAGAGUGGUAGACUCCGAGCUCAAGAUUUGAGUUAGGAAAUGUCAAAUCCGUAAAAAAAUGUAGUGAGAAUGCCCCCGGCUCGAUGGUAGGUCUGGAUGGUUAAGAUAGUCUUGGGCCAACUUGGGCUGCUUGGAAAGCUAUGAGAGCAGACUGGGCCACGAGAGCAGGCUGAGCCACAAGAGCAGGCUUGGCCACGAGAGUAAGCUGGGCCAUGAGAGUGGACUACUCGGCGGAAGCAGACUGCUCGGAGUGUGAUGCACAUGGGUGCGAGGCAUGGGCUCGACUUGGCAACACAUUGAGUUCGCGUUGGGCUUGGACUGACAUGGCUUGGGUCGUGGCCUUGGUGCCGUGAGCCUUGGAUGACACGGCUCGGGCCGUGGUUGCGGUGUCAUGGACCUCGCUGCAGGUAGUGGUGACCGUGGUGGCCACCGUGGUGGUUGCCAUGGUGGAGCCCCGUAGCAAUGGUGCUGCUCCUAAGAUCACAUUUAGCCUCGUGGAUCGCCGUGGUCCCAUUUCUUGAAUAUUAGAAUUUUCACUUGUGGAAUUUUCUAAAUUUCUAGCCAUUAUAUUUUUCUUAUACGUUUUAUCAAAGAACCUUUGCAAAUAAAAAUUCUAAUAAUAAGAACGUAUGAAAAAAAUAUUCAAAUGGACUAGAAAAUAGAGAAAAACCUUUUUAUGCGAGAGUCUUCUACGAGUACGGAUCUCAACUCUCAAUGAAAGCUUCAAUUUGUGGAUGCAAAUUUCUUCCUCCUCUAUCUUGGACAAUUUUGUACCUACAAAACAACUAGCACCUUAGGUUAAGGCCAAAAGCCUUAUGUGCCCACGAUGAAUGGGGGGGCUUUGGCCGAAGAACCUCCGAUGCCAAAGUUAGAAUUUUAGAGAGAAAUAGUGUUUAGAGCAUUUGGGAUUUUUGGUAAGAGAAUUGGAAUGAAUAUUUGGUGAAAAUAGGAGCCUAUUUAUAGGGCUAGGUUGGUUCACUUUAGAGAGGAAAUGUGGCCGGCCACUAAGUAGGGUUUUUAGGUUUUAUUUUGUUUUAAUUAGCCAAUUAAUUGGCUAAUUAAACAUAAAAGGAAAUGUUUUGGUAGUUAUGGAAUUAAUUGGCUAAUAAAAGGGAAGAAAUGGUGAAAAAAGGUAGAAAAAGUGAUGGAUUAGGUUUUGAAUGGGGAUAGCCAGCCCUUUAGUAUUUUUAGGUGUGAAUGGGUGUUUUAAUUGAUAAUUAAGGGAUUGAUUAGAUAAUUAAUCCCUUAAUUAAUCAAAUUUUAGGGAAUAUGAAAGGAAAAUAUUAUUUAGCUAAUUGAUUAGCUAAAUAAUGGAAUACAAAAUAUAUAGAAUAAAUUAGGUAUUAGGAAUUACCUUAUAGAAAGGAUUUGAUGAAAUAGGUUUUAAAUUGUUACCUAUUUUGGGCACUUUUGACUUGAUUGAAGAUGAUUUUCCGCCGCUCAGGCGUAGGAAUCUAGGUAUGCCUCAAGGGUAUUUUUGUCCUCUUUUACCCAAAAAUCCACGUGUCGCCUUGUGAUUAUUUUUUGCUCCACACUAGUUAUCUUAUAUAUCUUAUGUUUGGGUUCUAGUGAACUCUUAUGUAUUUGUUCCUACGCCUUUCUAUCACUCGUCAAUUUUGGGUGUAUCUCAAGAUACAGGCGUGAUACCUCAACCAUGAUAGAUCUAACAUAAAAGGAGAGAUUUGUUAGCCUAUGACUUUAUAUGCUCCAUUAUUGAUUUAGUACUUUGUAUCCAUACAAUCUCUGCUAGGUAAUAACCUCAAUGUAGUAAGGCUUAGCUAAGUUGGUUAGCUAAUGCAAUGAGCUCCUAAACUCUUCGGUAUAAUUAGGAAUGAAACUGUGUAAUUAUAAUUUGUAAAUCCCGAUGUAAGAUUUCAACAUUAACAUGGUAUAGCACAAUUCUAAAUAUUGUAAAAUGGAGCUGUUAUUUUCACAGAAAAUAGUAUUUCCCUUGAAAAAAUGUUGUGAUCAUUUACUAAAAAAUUACACUUUUAUAUACAUAUACAGUUUUUACUUCUCACAAAAGUUUCACAAUUACUUCCUACAGCCAGUGUUACCAAAUCAUGUAAUUCUUCAUGGACCAUGGUUGACCUAGACAGUAGUAGAUAAGAGAUACUCGUAUUGUAAGCAAACUAUAUAGAAACUGAAAUCUUUCUCUGUAAGCUUUCUUUUGUAUUGAAUGAAGAACUCGUUACAUUGUACAUGAUAGUAUAUAUAGCCUUUGGCUAUUUACAUUCACACCCUUAACAACCUUAACUAAUCACAACAAUUAAUAUAACUAACUACAUUUAGUUAUAACAAACUAUUUAUCAGUAAUUGAAAUAGAUGACUUGCCAUUCUCCCCAAUACACUCCUUCAAGCGAAAAUUGGGUUGAGAGAUGAUACCAAGUGGGAUGCUUGGGUUGCAAGUGAGCAAACCUACUUUUAGACAGAGACUUGGUGUGUAUGUCAACCAAUUGAUCUUCAUUGCAAACAAAUUGAACUUUAACCAAAUUGGCAAAUACUAAUUCUUCAAUAUAGAGUAGUCUAUCUCAAAGUGUUUUGUUCUUGCAUGAAAUGCAAGAUUGGAAGCUAAAGAGAUAGCUGAGAUAUUGUCACACCACAAGGUAGAAAUUUUAGGGAGAUGAAACUGAAGAUCAUGGAAGAUUUUUCACAUCCAAGUGAUCUCUGCAGUUGUGUGAGCUAAGGAUCAAUACUCAACUUUUGUGGAAGAUCGAGCAACUGUGCAUUGUUUCUUGGCACUCCAACUUAUGAAAUUUCAUCCAAGUAACACACAAUAUCCACUUGUUGUGAUACGCCCGACCCUGAUAUUCACCAAACACCAAGGCAGGCACGUGCUGCCCGACACCCGAAGGUGAUGAAGCCAUAUUAAUAUGCAUGAGAAUAACGAAUAACUAAGACUUAUAAAUUUAAAUGUAAUUAAUAUACAUUUAAAGAAUGUGUUCAGAACAUAUAACUAACUAGAAUACUAAAAAGAAAUAAUAUAAAUUGAAUGAACCAAGAGAUGGGUCCUACACCUAAAAGACUUGAACAUGCCGAUGCGGAAGUGCCUUGACGCCGGGAUCGUACACCUAGGUUUUAAGUCUUAAGGGGGCGCAAAACAAACAUGAGUGGACCAAGUUGAUAUAUAUAAUACUGAAACAAUUAUCAACAUACUAUCCCCAAAGUUUUAUGAAAACUCAAUAGCAUAAUAUGUAAUAGGUUUUCCAAAAACCCUAGCAUGCCAUAAAACCUUUCAUGAAACAUAUCUUGUAUGUAAUGUGCUAACUAGUGGUAUCAGUAUAUGUGGAUGCAAAUUUUCUCCUCUUCGAUCUUGGACGAUUUUGCACCUACAAAACAACUAGCACCUUAGGUUAAGGCCAAAAGCCUCACGCGCCCACGAUGAAUGGGGGGGGCUUUGGCCGAAGAACCUCCGAUGCCAAAGUUAGAAUUUUUAGAGAGAAAAAGUGUUUAGAGUAUUUAGCAUUUUUUGCAAGAGGAUUGGCCUUACUAUUUGGUGAAAAUAGGUCCCUAUUUAUAAGGCUAGGUAGGUUUACUUUUUAGAGAGGAAAUGUGGCCGGCCAUUCAAUAGGAAUUUUAGGUUUUAUUUGGCUAAUUAAACCUAAAAGGAAAUGUUUUGGUGGUUAUGGUAUUAAUUGGCUAAUAAAAAGGAAGAAAUGGUGAAAAAGGUAGAAAAAGGUGAUGGAUUAGGUUUUGAAUGGGGAUAGCCGGCCCUCUAGUAUUUUUAGGUUUGAAUGGGUGUUUCAAUUUGAUAAUUAAGGGAUUGAUUAGGUAAUUAAUCCCUUAAUUAGUCAAUUUUUAGGAAACAUGAAAGGAAUAUAUUAUUUAGCUAAUUGAUUAGCUAAAUAAUGAAAUAUAAAACAUAUAAGAUAAAUUAGGUUUUGGGAAUUACCUUAUAGAAAGGAUUUGAUGAAAUAGGCUUUAAAUUGUUACCUAUUUUGAGCACUUUUGACUUGGUUGAAAGAUAAUUUCCCGCUGCUUGAGCGUAGGAAUCUCGGUAUGCAUGAAGGGUAUUUUUGUCCUCUUUUGUCCAAAAGUCCACAUGUCGCCUAGUGAAUAUUUUUGGCUCCACAAAUGCCCCCACACCUGUUGGGCUGCUCGUAAGAAAGGGCAGCAGGUGUAGAGAUCUUCUUGCUUCAGGAAACGUAGGAUUGCUUCAUAUUUUGAUGUUGAUUCUCUCUUUAAUUGGAAAUUAGGUCCUUCUAGGAAAGGGAAAUAAACUUCUCUCAAAGCCUAUUUAAGUCCACCUUAAGUGGGUUAUUAAAUCAACUUUGGAGAGCAAUUUAUUCUACCCCACAAGAGAGAAAAAGUUAGAGGAUAUUUGUUCCCCCUCCUCUAGUAAUCUUCUACAUCUUGCCCGUGCAAAGGACCGUCUUUCGUUGAUUUCUUCGUCUUCUCCGUGCCGCACCGAUGUAAGAAAAAUUUAUUUUUUUCUUACCUUCUUCUUGGAUAGUGCUAUUGCGGGGCAGCUGUCGGGGUGGUGCGGCACGUCGGCUGGCAGGGGCCAGGAGUUGGCUCGGCAUGGGCCGAGGAGAUGUCGUGGCAGGGACCACUGCUUGGGCAGCUUGGCUUGGGUUGAGCUAAGGGCAGCUUGUGUGGCUGGGGUCGUGGAUUGUGGCGUUAAGGCGCAGUGCUAGGCGAGCCGUAUGGCUCAUGUCCUUUGGGCUAUUGGACCUGACUCGGGCCAGGCUGGCGAUUGAGAGAAAUGAGGAGAUUGUGGGUCUCAUAGGCUGCUGGAAUGUUGGGUUGAGCUCCCUUGCUGAGUACCAUGAAUGUCGUUGGCUGCUUAGUCCUCUUCGCUGAAAGAAAGGUAGGCUGCUCCCGAAAGAGGAGGUGAAUAGGAUCAAGGCGGAUGCAUUGGCUCGUCCAAUCACUAUUGUGGAUCUUGCUGCAAGUGUAGGUGGGAAAAGGGAUAUUGCCUGCCUGCACAAGAGAUGUCGGCUAAGAAAAAAAAAACCAAAGACUUCUUUCGCUCGCGCGGGUUUGCCGACUGCCUCCAAGCUUGUGAUUGACUUGACUUUUUCCAAGGGGACGAAAAAUGAGGCUGCUAGAUCUGAGCAUGUGGUGCUUGCCAUGUCAAGAAUGGCUAGUACAAUUGCUGAUAGGAUUGUUCGGCAUAAAGGUCAUGUCAUGCCCCUAGUGCUGAAUUUUGUACCAAGACGUCUGUUGGGAGCAAAGUCCGGUUCACCUUUGGAGAGGCUUGCUAUUAUGAAGAGCGAUAAGGUGGACUCUGGUGCUAAAGUGGCGCCAAGGCCUAUUCCUUAUGCUGCUGAGACUGAUUCGCCUGCUGGGAAUGAGGAGACUGCUCGCGUAGGCAGUUGUGAAAAAUCCACUAAGCCUGCUUCUGGGGAAGUUGCUGAGAUCUAUGUUCUUUUGAAACCAGAUCUCUUGAAAACAUGGACGCUUGUGCCAAGUUUGUUGAUGGCAUCAGAAAGGUGUUUGCCCAAGCUCGUUUGCGAAGCAUACGACCCAAUUAUAGAAUGACUGCUAUGCUUGCUAUGAUGCAGAUAUAGCAAGGCUGCUAAGGAGAAGACAAAUACUAUGGUAGAUUCUGAGCUCGUUGCUUUGAAGGGAGUGGAUGAGCUGCAGCGCGUCCGUGUUAGUCUGUUUAAGAAGAAUGAGCAGCUGAAGGGUGAGAAGGAUAGGUUUCAGGUUUUAAGACAUUCUCUAUUUCUCCGGAAGACUUGCUUGCUUUUACUUUUAAGGCUUCCAUUGAUGAAGUAGUUGGAGAAGUUAGUGCCCAGGUUGGGGUAGCUGGGGAUGAAGCGCCGGAUGAUGCCGCUGCUAAGAGCGUUACGGCUGUUGAAGGUGUGGCGACCGAGUAGUUGUGGGAUGUCCAAGCUGCUGAAGUGUAGUCAUCUAGGUAGCCUUUAAGAUUUUCUUUGUUUUUCCUUGUAGCUCUUGUUUUGCUUAAACUCCUUCGACCUUUGCUAGUUGUUUAUAAACAUGUUUUCCUUAGCUUUUCUUCAUUUUUGCUUCUUUUGUUCAUGCCCUAACCUUUAGACUUGAUGGACCAGUGGCAAGCAUGCUACUUUUUUUAUAAGCAGACAAGCUCGCGUAGCCUAUGCAGUUGUAGGUGUUAGUGUAGAACUUUGCAAAGUUGUUAGCCAUUGGGUUGGCAGCCGGAUGCCUUACUUACAUAAGCAAACAAGUCUGCGUAACCACUAGGCUGUUAACCUUGACUUUCUCCAAUUCCGUAGGUUGCGUAGCAAGUAUCACAACACUUUAGGACUUGGUGUAGGUUGUUUCGCGCUUGGCAAAGGUGAAGCUUAUCAACUACGUAGCAUGUCGGCAGUGGAUAAAACUUCGUAUAUGCGUGCUAGCUUGUUUAACCUUUCACAAAAAUGUGCAGUUGUAUAAGUCUAGUGCGGCUUUACUGCUCGAAGGGCAAGCUGUAGGCAGUCUUCCGGAAUCCGUAGGCUACCUUAGUGCACUCGGUAGCAGCUUUAGGAUUCCAGGGCAACCGUCCAUCGGAUGUACUGCGUAAUGUGCCCUCUCCGUCUCUAGGGCCCGGUUCCCCACGGAUUAGGCCAAGAGACCUAAAAUCCUUCAGUUAGCUAAGCCUUGAAAAAGACCAUUGCGGUUACUUCUAGGAAUCCCGGCGCAAGCCAUCGUGCAUCUAGUUAUACUAAGGCAGCCCGGCUCAUCCACGUCUGGAUAUUCGGAGUGUAGAGUUUAUCCUCCUGUUCAUGGAGAGCUGACCCAUAUGGGUGUCGGGGAAUUGGUUUACCCUCUCGCGUUGGAGAGCAAUUAGUUUACCCUCUUGCACUGGAGAGCAUGGUUGGUCCCUCGGGGGGCGCAAUUCCUAUGGUAAGUCCCUAAGAAGGGCGCGAUCUUGAAGUUCAAGAAUGAUCAGUUGUUGUAAGCAUGCAGCCAAGCCAAGUCGUGAUUACUUCUGAAUUCCUCAUUGAAAAACGAGUUAAACGAACGAGAACUUAGAUGUAAGGUAAGAACUGCAUAACAACUGGAUAAUCCUCGACUGAUGAGAUAGUGCCCGUCGAGCUGCUUGAGUCUACGGGCUUUGAUGUAGCAAGAGGUCACACAUGGUACUUCCUCAGAUUGUAGGCGUUCCACUGUUUUUCGAUCUUUUUGUCAUUUUAUGGUGGCGAGGGUGUAAUUGUUCUUGCCACUUACUCUACUAAUCUUGUACGGACUUUCCCAGAUGGGAUCCAUAUUUUUGGAGCCUUUCUGCUGGCAGUGAUAAAGGUUUUUCUUAUGACCAGAUCUCCGGGCUGGAACUGCCGGAUCUUGGCCCUUUCGUUGUAGCUGGAGAGGAGCUGAUGCUGGUAGGCUGCAAUGUGAGUGAUAGUAUGUUCGCGCCUCUCUUCUGCCAAAUCUAAGCUUGUGGCCAUCUCUUUUUGGUUGCUCGUCUUUUAGUUGUGCGAUAUGCCUAUAGACAUCCUUGGAGUUCGUCUGGCCGUUUUCUUUUCUUAUUGGUGGGGGAUUUCUUGUGGCAGUUGAGGAUCAUCUUAGUGGAUGCUUUGGCUCGCCUAUUGCCUUGAGGAUAUCUUGGCGUAGACAUGUGCUGCUUGAUGCCAUAUUUUUUGAAGAACUUCGCCAAAUCUUUGCCCACGAAUUGCGGGCUGUUGUCGGUGAUGAUGGAUUAAGGGAUGCCAAAUCGGCAAAUGGUACUCCUUCAUAUGAAGCGCUCUAUGUCCGUCUAAACCAUGAUCGUCAUGGGCUCUGCUUCUACUUAUUUGGUGAAGUAGUCGGUUGCCACGAUCAUCAUGUUUUUGCCCCUGGUAGUCUGGCUGGUGAUUAGCUAGGACUCGGAAUGAAUGGAAAGCUUUUUCACCACCAAGUCUUUUGUCAUUCGAAGGCUUGCUAGUGGGGCUUCGUACUCUGCUUCGUUGUUAGAUGUUUUGAAGCUUAGAGUGAUCGCCUGUUUAAGCAUUGAAACGUCUGGGGUGGCAAGAACCACGGCUGCUCACGAUCCUUCGUAGUUGGAUGCGUCGUCGACAUGUAAACGCCAGAAAUCUCCAUUGAGGGAGCAGGUGUGGCUAAAGUGUGCUCGGCUGCCUUUGGGGCGUCGUUGGACCGAGUUAUUGCGUUCAUCAGAAAACUUUGCAUCUGCUAGGGUCUACGCCUUUAUCGUCGCCAGUUUGGAUUCAGCGGAAUAGUGCGUCAUGAUGAUGACUACUUGCGUUUGAAGGUAAAACUUAAGCUUUUGGGUUACAACAAUUAUCGCCAAAGUUAACUUUUGAAUUUUUAAUAGCAUCGAUGAGAGCUUUUGAACUGUAGAAUACAGGUAGUCGGGCCCCCAACUCUUCUCGCAUGAUGGUAGAGCUUAUUGUUACUUUAGAUACGUCAAACAUGCGAAUAAGUCAUCCGCUGCUUCUAGGGAGGUGAUGUCGGGUACUUCUUCAAGUCCUUGAAUGUGCAUUGGCGAGCCUCAUCCCAAAGUGCAUGCUUCUCUGCCAAAGCAAAAGAGUCUGCCAGAGUUAGAUCUUCUUUCAUGAUCAAUUUUUCGAAUAGCGGGUGGUCUGCUGGAAGUCCUUUUUGGAAGGCUGCUCUAGCUAUCGAGUCGUUGCAUCUGACUAUUUUUUCCUUUUCUACUUUGAACCUCCUCACAUAGUCGCGAAGCGACUCCUUUGGGUUCUUCUUGAUGUUAAACAAUUGGUCAAACUUCUUUUUGAUCGAACGAUAAGAUGAAUAUUCUUUGGUGAAAACCAAAGAAAGUUCGUAGAAAUUCCGGAUGGAUUGUGGCAGCAGGGUGUAGAACCAAUCUUGUGUCUCGCCUUGUAGAGUGGUGGCGAAUAUCUUGCACAUGAGAUCAUCGUUGUUUCGAUAAAGGAUCAUUACGGUUCGGUAGCGCUUUAAGUGUCUCUCCAGGUCUUCAUCCCCUUUGAAAGAUGUGAAAUGUGGCAUGCUGAACUCGCGUGAAGGCUCUGCUUGCUCGAUCUCGUCCGUGAAGGGUGACCUACUUAUGUUGGUCAUGUUUCGUUGUAGUGCCUUAUCGGUGACCUCGUUGCGUUGGAAAUCAUGCAAUCGCUUGGUCAAUAGUCUCUUUACUUCUUUCUGAAUUUGCCUUUGUUGGGAUAGCGGAGCUCUCGGCUGCCCCCACCCAUGACUUGCUGGUCUAGGCUGCUCUUCCAUGUGUUUGGCUCGUUUAUGUCGCAAAUGCAGUGCAUGUGGUGUGUUCCUAGCAGGCGAGCGGGUUUUUCGCAGGCUGCUGGUUGAACUUGAGUAGGAUUGAGUGACUGCUUCUCUCCGUCCGUCGUGCUACCUACUCUGAUGUGAGGUGGAUGAUGCUCCUUGUGGGCUUAGCCGCGAAUGGACACUUUGCCCGGAAGGUUGCUCAUGUUGACUAUCGGAGUAUGACCCCAACUGUGAAUGUAUGCUCAUCUGUGACCCUAGUCGGGAGUGCAUGCUCCUCCGCGUGCUAAGAUGGGAAUGUACACUGCCCAAACGUUCGGCUCGUGGCUGGUCGAGUGGCUGCUUGCUGGGACGCUGCUGGAAAGGUCUGUCUGCCCUUGUCCUACUUCGGGAUACCUCGUCCGGGGUACAUUGGAUCCCAAUGCAUUGCAAAAGUUGAUUCACCAAGGUUGUCUGUUGUGCAAGGGCACUCGUCAACUCUAUGACUUGUCGAGACAAGUGUUGUUCGCCAUUUGGAUUGGAAGAGCUUGGAAUGAAUGCGCCUCUUUGGGCAAUGGAAGGGUGGUAGACUCCGGGCGCAAGAUUUGAGUUGAGAAAUGUCAAAUCUGUGAAAAAAUGUGGUGAGAAUGCCCCCGACUCGAUGGUAGGUCCGUAUGGUUGAGAUAGUCUUGGGCCGACUUGGGCUGCUUGGAAAGCCACAAGAGCAGGCUGGGCCGUGAGAGUGGGCUACUCGACUGGAGUUGGCUGGGCCACGGGAGUGGGCUGCUCGACUGGAGCUGGCUGGACCACGGGAGUGGGCUGCUCGUCAGGAGCCGGCUGGGUCACGAGAGCAGGCUGUUUGGGAGGAGCAGGUUGGGCCACGAGUGUGGGCUGCUCGUCGGGAGCAGGCUGGGUCACAAGAGCAGGCUGGGCCGCGAAAGCAGGUUGCUUGCCGGGAGCACGCAGGGCCACGGGAGUGGGCUGCUCGUCGGGAGCAAGCUGGGUCACGACAGCAGGCUGCUUGGCAGGAGCAGGCUGGGCCACGAAAGUAGGUUGCUUGGCGGGAGUAGGCUGGGCCGUGAGAGCAGGUUGCUUGGCGGGAGCAGGCUGCUUAGAAUGUGAUGCAAGGGAAUGCGAGGCUUGGGUCCAGGCCCAUGCAAACUUGGAUGGCACGACUUGGGCCGUGGCCUUGGUGUAGUGAGCCUUGGAUGGCACGGCUCGAGCCGUGGUGAAGGCACCAUGGACCUCGCCACGGGUGGCUACCGAGGUAGCCACCGUGGUGGUUCCCAUGGUGGAAACUCGUGGUGGUGGUGCUGCUCCACUUAUUGUCGCAUUUAGCCUCACGGAUCUCGGCAAUCCCAUUUCUUGAACAUUAGAAAUUUCACUUGUGGAAUUUUCUAAAUUUCUAGCCAUUAUAUUUUGCUUAUACGUUUUAUCAAAGAACCUUUGCAAGUAAAAAAUUCUAAUAAUAAGAACGUAUGAAAAAUAUUCAAAUGGACUAGAAAAUAAAGAAAAAACCUUUUUGUGCGAGAGUCUUCUACGAGUAUGGAUUUCAACUCUCAAUGAAAGCACCAAUUUGUGGAUGCAAAUUUUCUCCUUCGAUCUUGGACGAUUUUGCACCUACAAAACAACUAGCACCUUAGGUUAAGGCCAAAAGCCUCACGCGCCCAUGAUGAAUGGGGGGGGGGCUUUGGCCGAAGAACCUCCGAUGCCAAAGUUAGAAUUUUUAGAGAGAAAAAGUGUUUAGAGUGUUUAGCAUUUUUUGCAAGAGGAUUGACCUUACCAUUUGGUGAAAAUAGGUCCCUAUUUAUAGGGCUAGGUAGGUUUACUUUUUAGAGAGGAAAUGUGGCCGACCAUUCAAUAGGAAUUUUAGGUUUUAUUUGGCUAAUUAAACCUAAAAGGAAAUGUUUUGGUGCUUAUGGUAUUAAUUGGCUAAUAAAAAGGAAGAAAUUGUGAAAAAUGUAGAAAAAGGUGAUGGAUUAGGUUUUGAAUGGGGAUAGCCGGCCCUCUAGUAUUUUUAGGUUUGAAUGGGUGUUUCAAUUUGAUAAUUAAGGGAUUGAUUGGGUAAUUAAUCCCUUAAUUAGUCAAUUUUUAGGAAACAUGAAAGGAAUAUAUUAUUUAGCUAAUUGAUUAGCUAAAUAAUGGAAUAUAAAACAUAUAAAAUAAAUUAGGUUUUGGGAAUUACCUUAUAGAAAGGAUUUGAUGAAAUAGGCUUUAAAUUGUUACCUAUUUUGAGCACUUUUGACUUGGUUGAAAGAUAAUUUCCCGCUGCUUGCAUGUAGGAAUCCCGGUAUGCCUGAAGGGUAUUUUUGUCCUCUUUUGUCCAAAAGUCCACGUGUCGCCUAGUGAAUAUUUUUGGCUCCACAGUAUCAGUAUCAGUAUCUCUCGACCCGAAGCCAGUAAUAUAUAUCUUCUGCUAACCAUAUAUCUCCCUCAGCCUUAUUUGUCCCUCGCCCGUAGGCAGAACAGUGACCAUUAGUUACGCACAAAACCAUUGAGCAUAAUCUUUCUAAACACAGGUACAUAUAUUUCAAAAACAUCUUCAUAGUAUAAAGUGUUACACCUCACCCCUACUUAUAUGUAUAAUUCCGUAAUUUUCCCCAAAGUUUAAUGGAAUUAUCAUUUUGGUCCCCUAUCUUGACUAAAUCUAGAUAGAGGGUCCAUAUUUAGUCAAGAUAGUAGACCAAAAUGAUAAUUCCAUUAACUUUUGGGAAAAUUACAGAAUUAUAGCUACCCAGACACCGUGCUUAUGUCGUAUGUUGGGAGAAAUUUAUGACGUUCAAUCAGCCUAGAUGACCAUCGAUCACGUUUCAGGGUGAGCGACGAAUCUUUCCUAAUAGUAUUAUUUCUCUUAUCCAAGCAAUUAAGUUGUUGCAUAAGGGAUGUGUGGGAUUCCUAGCCCACGUAGUGACGAGGGAUAAAUCUUUGUUGAGUCCUGAAGAGGUGCCAGUGGUAAAGAAAUUUACCAAUGUAUUUCCGAAGGAUUUACCAGGGUUACCACAUGCGAGGGAAAUCAAAUUCACCAUCGAUUUACUUCCAGGUUUUGGAAAGCUUUUUAUACUGCUAUAGGUACUCAAUUGUUGUACAGCACAGCCUACCAUCCACAAACCGAUGGUUAGUUUGAGCGGACAAUUAAGACAUUGGAGGACAUGUUGAGAGUGUAUGUUCUCCAGUGGAAGGGUAGUUGGGAUAACUUUUUGCCGUUGGUUGAGUUUGCAUACAAUAACAGCUACCAUUCGGGUAUCGGCAUGGCACUUUAUGCGGCUUUAUAUGGAAAAACAUGUCGAACACCUUUGUGUUGGACAGAGGUCGGCAAACGAGUGUUAGUGGGACCAGAGAUUGUGGACACCACAAAUGCUAACAUCCAGCUGAUUAAGAGAAACCUACAGGUAACAUAAGACCGACAGAAAAGCAUUGUGGAUAAACAUUCCAGGAACCGUGAGUAUAAGGUUGGUGACUUUGUGUUCUUGAAGUUGUCUCCCUAGAAAGGGGUAGUUCGUUUUGGUAAGCGAGGAAAGUUGAGUCCUCGAUACGUCGGUCCCUAUCAGGUUACUGAGAGAAUUGGUGCAGUGGCCUAUAGGCUGGAGCUACCACCGGAGUUGUCAUUGAUUCACAAUGUUUUCCAUGUUUCCAUGCUUCAGAAAUAUGUACCAGAUCUUUCUCAUAUCAUUCAAUUAGAGUCGCUGGAAGUACAUCAGGAUGCUAGCUAUGUCAAAGAACUAGCAGCUAUCCUUGAUCGAUAGGAUAAAGUUUUGAGGAACAAAGUGAUUUGUUGGUGAAAGUGCUUUAGAGGAACCAUGCUGUGGAGGAAAUGACGUGGGAAACGAAGGAUUUGAUAAAAAGUUAGUAUCCGUUUUUAUUUGGUUAAGGUUGUAAAUUUCGGGGACAAAUUUUUUAUAAGGGGGUAGAUUGUUACACCCCACUCCUACUUAUAUGUAUAAUUCUGUAAUUUUCCCAAAAGUUUAAUGGAAUUAUCAUUUUGGUCCCCUAUCUUGACUAAAUCUGGACCUUCUAUCUAGAUUCCUAGAGUCCCUCAAGCUGCCAUGUGGCAACACCCUAACUCUCCCCACUUCUCUCUUUUUUCCCCCACCUCGAGACCUUACUUUCAACUCUCUCUGCACUUCCUCUUCCUCUCUCAAAACCCUCUCACUCUUGCAGCUAUCGACCCACGUAUCCAAGAGCAUCCACACCCUCCCCGACGUCAAUAUCACCAUCACCAUCAACACCUCAUCUCUCUCUCGUCGCUGUGAGGACGGCGAAACCCAGAAAACUCUUCAGCGAGAUUUUCUCGUCUUUCCAGCUAGGUGAGCCUCGGGAUUAUCUCUCUUUGUUUUAGGUUGUUGUUGAGAGAUUUAAUUUUUGUUGGCAAGGUUUAAAACGAGAUCGGCUUGGGGAAACGAAAAUUAUCUCCGGUGAGCCCCGUGGGUGUCGAGGAGUUUUCCGACUACCACCAGCUGUUCCACGGCGAACCAAAGGUAUCAAAUCACUCAUUUCACUUUCUUCUACAUGUUAUACCUAGAUCGGAGCCUAGGGUUUUUGUUUUCCAUCGGUCGAAGCUGGGAAAGCUCUGGCGUUGACCUCCAUCAAGCACAAACCUUUCAAGCCAUUUUAAACCCUCGGGCUUUAGGCCCAUUAAGAACCUAGCCCAAAAUCAUUUUUCGUUUCUUUUUUUUAUUUUAAUUGUUUUAAAACCUAAAGGGCCUUCGGGCUGUUUCCUUUAAGGCAUUUGGCCCAUUGACCCAACCCCAAAAACCCUUAUAUUCUGGGCCCGUGUGUUUAAAACCCAAGUUUCCUUAGGGCCAAAUAGAACUUGGGCUUCCAGCCCAACCCUAAGCCUAUUUCCCUAAACCCUUAGGGCCCAAUCAGUCCAACCAUAACCUUAAACCUGGUUUGACUCGACUCGUUGACUUUGACCCAAUCGGUUGACUUUGACCGAUCAACGGUUAACGUUGACUUUGACCGUUGCCUUUUCGGGUUUUCGUACGGGACCCAUCCUAGGCUAAUUUUGAUGUCCUAAACUCGUUUCCAAUGUCCAUUUUCCUAAAUUAAUCCGUUUGAGUAGAGUUUGACUAAAUGUACCCUUUAUAUGCAUAGGUGCAAUUAAUAGCGGGGAUUCCGUUAUUCCUUUUGGUAUGGCUUUGCACUAACAGUGUACGAUGAGUGGACCCCUUCUAAAAUGCAUGUUUUAAUAGUAGAAAUGCAUACAUGGAAAAGCAUGAUUUAACAAUUAUGUUCUAUGAUACGCUUUGAGAUAAAAUGCGUACUAAGGCUAGAUUGAAUUACUACUAUUUUUCCUAUAACCCGUGUUCUUUAUAGAAUAUCUGAUGGAUGAUGAUAUACUAGUUAGAACAUGUUUAGAACACCUCUUUGUAGUAUAGAUGAUGGACGACUUUAUACGAUGAAGUUGCCUUUCAAAUAAAUGUAUGUUCAAUGGUUUUAUACUUACCUAGUGGUCCUUAUUCCGUUACGGGGUGAGGGAUAGAUUCUGUCCUGGGCGACAGUUACGGUGUUGGCAUAGGGUCUGAAGUGUUUUUCCUCUGGCAAUUAGCACAGGGACGAGGAGCUGGCACGGGGCCUAGGGGUAAAUUUCCUCUGGCAACUGGCAUAGAGACAGGGAGCUGGCAUGGGGUCUGGGGGUAAUCGGACAUUCACUAGUGAUUAUUAUAUAUACAAGAUAUGUUUUGAGACAUUGCACGGCAUGCUAGGUUUUGGAAAACCGAUUUUUAUCAUGUUAUAUGAGUUUUCAUAAAACCUGAAGGUUAGUAUGUUGAUAAUUGAUAUAUAUAUAUAUAUAUAUAUAUAUAUAUAUCAACUUGGUUCACUCAUGUUUGUUUUGCACCCUCUUCAGGACCUACGAACGAGGAUUACAAUCUGAGCUACGAGGCAUUCCCCUACUAGUGAUAUCGUGCUAUAUUCUCUCUACUUCAGCAUAUGUUGUAAUAGCACUCUCUAUCUUAAUUUCCACUUGUACUCUGUAUUGGACAUAUGCUCUGAACAUGUCAUGCAUUAUCUUAAUAUUAAACUGUUAGCAGUUGAACUUUAGUGUUAUGUUUUUCGUCCCUAUUGCAUGAUUAGUCCUAACUUAUAUGCAUGUUUAGCAUGUUCACAACAUUUGCAUAAAUUAAAUGGCUUUCGUCACCCUUCGGGUGUCGGCCAGCAUGUGACCAUCCCAAUGUCCCAAGGACAUCGGGAUUGGGGCAUGUCAUAAAGUCAUCCAUCAUCUAUACUAUAAGGAAGUGUGUAAAAACAUGUUCUAAAUGGUAUAUCAUCAUCCAUCAUAUAUCCUACAAAGAACAUGGGUUUGAUAGAAAGUAUGGUAUUCCAAAAUAUUCUAAGUAAGCAUAAUAUCUCAUAAAAUGUGAUCAUUAGAUCAUGUUUUUCAUGUAUGCAUUUCUACUAUUAAAACAUGCAUUUUAGAAGGGGUCUACUCACAAGUACUUCAUCGUCGAAGAGCCACAUAAACUAGCGAAGACGGAAACGCCACAAAUAAUUGCCCCCAAGCAUAUAAUGGGUAAAAUUAAUAAAGGGGAACUUUAACAAAAAACUUCCGGUAUUGUUCACUUUAACAAAAAACCAUAUUUUUACACUAAAAAGUCAAUCUUGGUACUAUUCACUUUACCUUUAUUUUGUCCUUAUCGUUAAAACUCAAAGUUUUCAAGCCCUUUUUCAUUAGUUUUCAUUUAAUAAAACUCUAUCAUAACGAUUAAAUUUGGUAAAACGGAUGUCAAAAACAGAUUUAGGACGUCGAAUUACCUUAAGAAGGGUUCCGGGUAAAAUUCUAAAAGGUCAACACAAGAAUAUUCCAAAGAAUAUUCUAAGAAUAUUCUAACCGGAUCUAGGCUGGUGGGUUUAGGCCGAAAGGUCCUAGGCCCAAAGGCCUAGGUUAUAAGGGUUAAUGGGUUUAGGGCUGGGCUCGAAGCUUGGCCCGAUUGUUUUUGGGUUUUUAAAAGAAAACAAAAUAAAUAAAAAUACAAAGGGUUUGGGCUUAAAUCUUUUGGGCUUGGGUCUUGGGAUUAGUGAGCCUAAGGCAUGAGUUCUAAAGAGCUUUGGGUUUGCAAAAAGGGUCGGUGCCAAAGGCCCAAAAUCUUGGUUUGGUUGUUCUUGCCGGAGAAGGAAGUCGGUUCUUGGUCGGGAACUUCCUUAGCUCUGACGGAGUUUGAAACAUAACAUUUUCCAGCAAUUCAAAACACCAAAAUGAAGCCUGGGAAAUAAAGAGUCGAAAUAUACCUUCCUUGUGGCCAGCAGUGGCUUGGAAGUGGUCGGAAAAAAGCCUGAAAAAUAUGGCAUCCUCAUCGGAAUCUAGUUUCCUUUAGUCCCGAUUAUUCAAUGCAAUUAAUGAGUGAAACCACUCAACAACUACUUCACUCUAACCCCAAAACGCAAUCCAAAAGGAUCAUGGACUCACCUAGGCCACAGUGGUGCAGCAACGGUGCACGGGAUACGGGGAGGGUUGAGUGCUCUUCCUUUGUUCCAGGAUUCAUGGAGCUCGCAGGGGGAAUAGAGAGGUCCAUCACGGUGGUGAUGCCGUCGCUAAAGUUUGGGUGGUCCUCGGGAAGGAGAGGGUGCAGCGAAAGGAAGGGGGUGAGAGAGGGAGUGAACUCGGGAUAGAAUGAGAGAAAAGGGAGAGAUGAGGUGGGGGUUGCCAAGUGGCAAGCAAAGGAGAAGGGAGAUUGGGGAACCAAAAAGAGAAAAGGGUCUCACCCGGCUCACAAUUUAAGGUCCAAUAACAACCCCAAUACAAAAUAUUUAGCCCAAGGUGUAAAUUUAUGAAAAUAUCUCUUCGUUCCAAUAAAUCCGGGACAAGUUGUUACAUGUUGGUCGCCUGUCAAAUGUGUAGCUUGCCCAAUCAACAUCUGAGUAUGUUGAAAGAUGAAUAGGACCCUUUUUGAACCAUAAACCAUGAGAGAUAGCACAAAGCAUACUAACGAGAGUGGUCAGUCUGGUACCAAUCAAGGUACUUAGGGUUGGGAGAAGUAGUGACCACUGGUGGAACAACCGUAGAGCAUAAUCAGCAGAGGCAGUAGGGGAGGCAACUAGAGCAGUGGUAGUAAUGACCAGACGAGGACACAAAUACGAACCAUCAACAAAACGCCAAAAAUUUUGGCCAAUUAAAAAUUGCUUGACCUGACUCUCCCAAGGAAGAUAAUUUGUUUCAGAUAGUUUGACAGAAGCCAAGGUAGAGAUAUUGGGAAUGAUGAUUGAGGAGGGAGAUGCAGUUGCAAAAGCCAUGGAAAGAAAAAGGACCAAAGCUCGAACACCAUGUGAACUUUCCGUAUUUCAUUGAUUAUAAAACAGAGCUUAGCAGCUAACACAGGUUACAACAAGAAUUGAAAAUACAGGAAAGCCUAACAACCUUAUCUAUAAUUAUAAUCUUCAUUUACAUCAUCCUUCAGAAAGUACAUUUUGAACUCACAAAAGGGAAAAAUAUUUGUACAUUAUGUUGAAAAUUUUGCAUUACAAAAAUGUAACGUAAAUGUAUUCACAAUGUAUUCAAAACUGAGAAAUAAUAUCAAUGAAGAUAUCUUGUCUGCAGGGAAUUGUUAGACCACCCAUUGGAUGAUCAAAUCCAAAUUCUUGUUCAGCCUCACUUAGCAAGUCUUGGCAUGAAGGUUGGUUGAGGUAUGAUACAGGAAUGAUAAACCGCUGUCUCUCGUUCUCCGCAACAUAAACCGCUAAAUAACCUUUUGGGACAUCUGCUAAAUUAUAUGAACCUGCUCGACUUGAAUUUGAAAAAGACCGCCGAAGAAUUUUCUUUGCAUGAGUUACACUUGGACGACGGAAACCCAUGGUUUUAUGUCUCUCUAGAGAAAUGUCCGGUGGAAGUUUAUCGGAGCAAGAAGAAGACAAGAGUUGAGAAUAUGCAGAGACUUGAAUGGAAGGCAAUCAAAGUCUCAGGAAAUAUAUAUCGUUAAAGUUUUAUGUAGUAAUUGUCCUCUGUUGAAAGAAAUAUGUGGUGACAAUUAAAGCCAUCUUGAUAGGGCAUAGAAGGGACACUGAUCACAUGGUGCUGUUUUCCAGCUCAACUUCAAUAUUUUAGGUGAAAUAUUGCUGGACUGAAUGCAGUACCAACACAUGUACAGUCUCAAUCACCACCAAUGUAUUUUGAUAAGAUGAUGAAUUUGAAGACAGAGCCACGUGAAAUUGCAAAUGCUUCUGUCUUUAAUUAGAAUUUAUUUUUCUUCGAUCCCAUUCAAUUUCCUGCAGACCACUCACUCAAACUUUCUUGUAACAUUAUGCUGAUUGUUAGGAUUACCAGUGACCUUGUCGGCAUAUCUUCCGAACACGAGUAGGACAUUAUGCUUUAUUUUAGUUUCAAUACGUUUUCAGUUUAUGCAGUUAUUAAGAGAUGUAGCUGUAGGGUAAUGUGAUUCUUCAUUUCUGCUCAUACAUUUUUCUUGAUUAGUUGAAAAGACAAGUCCAUGUGAUUUUCCAUGAGAAAAUAACUCGCACUUGGCUCCACCACGAUCCUUCACUAAUCGUAUUUUUUUUGCUUACCUGAUGUCCUUGAAAAAUUAGAACACAUAGACGUAUGAACAUAAUUGCUUGAGCAGCUGAGUCUCUGGCCAAUCCGCAUUCAAUUGCUCUCUCCAACUUGUACACAUUAUUUUGUAGACCAACGUAUCAAUUUUUCGUACCUAUAUCCUAACCAAAGAGAUCAAGUCCUCACAUUUUAUAUGCUAAAACUGUUGAAAUAGUACCAAGGGAAAAUUUCUUGUCUCAAGCAUGUCUCUGUUUUUUUAUAGGCCGUCAACUAAGAGAGGCAGGACACUGGGUUUCUUUCAUUUGGUCAUCGACUCGUGCAGUGUUGUUGAUAACUUGUAGACAAGUCCAUGUGAUUUUCCAUGAGCAAACUCUCUCUCACUUGGGUCCAUCCCAGUGCUUCAUCACCAAUCAUUUUAGGUAACUGACUGCUUGCAGCAUACCGCUUUAGCUAUAUAUGCACACAUCAUCCAAGGUUCAGGAGCAAACGAACACAAGUCUUCUACUCCCAAGCAUAUCUUAUCAAAGCACUUUCUGUCCUGAAAUUCAUUUGAACUCUUUAUUGUUCCUUAUUAAAGAAAUUUUAAAACCAUGGUUUUCCAAUUUCCUGGUAUUGUACAUGCCAACAAAAAUCAAGUUUCUUCAAAGUCAUUGGAUGUUCCAAAAGGCUAUCUUGCCAUCUACGUUUGGGAGAGCCAAAAGAAGAGGUUUAUUAUUCCGGUGUCCUACUUGAACCAACCUCCAUUCCAAGAUUUGUUAAGCCUAUCUACUGAGUAAAAAAAAAAACUAGGGACCCAAGCCGUUUGGAAGCUACUGAGUCAAUGUCCAUGUUAUUAGAGAAGCACGAUGUCCACUAUCAGCAGCUGUAUAGAUGUAACUAAAACUGACUGACAAUAUCUCCCACCUUUAAGAUAAUUCCCAAGCUAAUUAGAUCACAGACAGGCUUAUUGAAGGUUCAACGUUUCUUUCAUUCUUCUGUUUUGUAUGGUGACUCAUAUACAUCUCCUACAUCAAGUAUCAAUAAAAAGUUGGGAGUCGUAAUUGGAUAUAUGGAAAAGAAUAUAUACUCAUACAGAAUUUCAUUGUGGAGUUGUUCGAAUGAAAAAUUCGCAAUUUCCUCUACCAAAUGACAUACUAGUCAUGCAGAGAAAACUUAGGUCUGUUGGGGGGACUAUACUUAACAUCUUAGUAUUCGUAUAACUAUAAAAAGGAUCCUAAUGGGAAACUAAAUCACAAAAGAAUCUGAAGAAAUAAAUCCAAGAUUGUACAAGUUACAUCUUUUUUCCUUCUCCCUUUGUUGAAAGAAAACAAAAUUACUACUUAUGCAUGGUUAAAUCAGACGGUUCAUCACACAACCAAGAAAUGUUUUGUUGGUCAUUAACUGAAGACAACACCAAGCAGCAGCAACACACCCGGUCAUAUAAUCUAAAGCGAUGCUUUAUAAAUUAUAAUGUAAUAAGCUAUGAAUAUUGCUACAGUCUCCAUUUAAGAAUUUAUAUAAUCCGAUUCUGAGGGAACAAUAUUUCUUCCUCGAUUGAAAAAAAUGUACAAAAUCUAGAAAUUGUUUUGUUUACAAAAUUGUAACAAUCGCACAGUUCGUGUAAUUGUUCUCCACAAUCCACCACUCUAUCAUACUGCACUCAAGCGAGAUAUAAGUUCAAGGAAAGCAUCUUGUCUGCAGGGAAUUGUUAGACCGCCCAUUGGAUAAUCAAAUCCAAAUUCUUCUUCAGCUUCACUUAGCAAGUGUUGAAAUGCAGGCUGGCAGAGGAAAGAUAUGGGAACCACAAAGCGGUGCUUCUCACUCUCACCAACAUAAACUGCAAAAUAACCUUUAGGGACAUCCGAUAAAUUAUACGAAGCUCCUUCACUUGAAUUUGAAGAAGACCGUCGAAAAAGUUUCUUAGCAGGAAUUACAGCAGGCAGACGGAACCCCAUUGUAGUAAAUCUUUGGAGGAAAGACUAGCAAUAGAGUAUAAAAACUUGAAGAAGAUCUCAAGGGACGAGCAACUGCAAAACAAUAAAGCUAUAUGCUUGAGAACUUGAAGAUUCAUAUGGUUUAUAUAAAUGAAAAGUAUUGUGGAAUAUCUUCUACUAAAGAAAAAAUAUAUGGUAAAGACAAUGGCAAUCUGGAUGGGGUAUAGAAGGGAACAAGAGCUCAUCAGUGUUCACAUGGUUCUGCCUUCAAACUAAUCAAGCAUUUUAGGCAAAAUAUGUGGAGCCUCGAUUACUACCAAGGCUUGUGAUGAAUUGGAAGACAGAGCCAUGUGAACUUUUAAAUGCUAAUAUCUAUUGCCAAUCAAUUGCCUGGAGAACACCCACACGGCCCUUCACGCCAACUACUAGAGAUUUUUUUUUCCGACACAGUCAUCGUUUAGUUGGAUAUGGAAACUUAUUGCUAUGAUAUAGUUUAACCACAAAUAAAUUUUAUUGGGUCCACAUAUAUAGUAUGUUGAACUUGCAACCUGCAAAAAAACUCCUGUUUUCUGCUUGUUUCUGAUUUUAUACUAGUCAUGUAUCUAUUCUUCCGAAAGGAUUCAAUUAUGCAAAUUUUAAUCUGUUGGCAUCGUGGUGCCUCAAUGAUUUUCCAUGAGCUAGUCUCUCUCAUGGUACCAUCGUGGUGCCUCCAGGAUCACCAAUAAGUCGUUUCAGAUAAUAUAUGGUUUACGGCGAUACACAUUUAUCUCUAUUUUUACAAUUCAACUGAAAAUUCUAGUGUUGCUCAAUUUUUUCAUUAAGAAAUUUUAAACGAAGGGCUUCCCGUUGCCGGGCACUGUUCAAUGUUCAUGCUAAGAAAUUCGAAGUUUCCUUAAAGGCCUUGGAUAUUCCUACAUGAGAAGUAUAAUGUAUUAUUAUUUUUCAUUCUGCAGGAUAUAUAUAUAUAUGUAUAUAUAUCUUAUGUUUGGGUUCUAGUGAACUCUUAUGUAUUUGUUCCUUUCUUUCCAUCACCAAUCAGUUUUGGGUGUAUCUUAGGAUUGGGGCGUGAUACCUCAACUGUGAUAAAUCAAAUGUAAUAACUAAGGAGAGAGUUGUUAGUCUAUCACCUUGUAUCCUGUGCCAUUGAUUCAAUACUUUGUAUCCAUACAAUCUCUAUUAAGAGGGGGCGUUGAGGGGGAGCGAAAGGUGUAGUCGCACAGGUCCCCAAAUUUGAAGGAGCCCUUAAAUUUUUGUCAUCUAACAUCAUGUAAUAUGUUCUAUAUUUAAAAAAAUUACUUUUAUUAGAACUUUAAACAACAUUGUGCACUCCUUAUAAGAGUUUUUUUUUUUUUCUUUCUAAACAUAUAAACUUGGAGUACAAUGAGAUUUUUUGAAUGACAAUAAUAACACCUUGAAAAGCGACAAUUUCUUAAUUUUAUAAUAUAACAACGUUGUAUAUUCAAGUGAACUUUAAAGUUAGAGAUCUAAUGUUUUUUUUAUUUUUUAUGUUUGGCUGUUUAAGAUAAAACUGUUUUUGAUUAUUUAGUGAAAGUUAUGUUUGUAGCUCUUUUUACUUAUCAUUAAGGACAUUUGUAAACAUGCAAUCAGUGAGGGCUAAAGUUUUUUUUGUUUUUUGAACAAACGAUAUUAGCUACGCUAAGAGAGUGGGGGAGUGGGCUAAACCUCACAAUAGGUUAACAAUAAUGUGGUUCAAAUUCGCCUUUGGUGAGAAUUGAACAUAAGACCUCUCACAUAUAAGUGAAGAGGAAUAUCACUAGACUGUAGUAUUAAGUGGCUUUGUUUUGAUUUAAGUGAAUGUUUUCUAGUAUCAAUACAUAGUCAUACUUUUUUAAAACUUAAAACUAUCUUAAGGAGGGCUCAUUUUACAAAUUUCGUACAGGAUCCUCAAAAUCUCAGAGACGGCCCUAGUAGUAACCUCCAUAUAGUAAGGCUUAGCUAAGUUGGCUAGCUAAAGCAAUGAGCUCCUAAACGCUUCGGUGUAAUUAGGAAUGGAACCAUGUAAUUACAAGUUGUAAAUCCCAAUGUGAAAUUUUCAACAAAAAGAUGAUACACCACAAUUCCAAAUAUUGUAAACUGAGUUGUUAUUUUCAUAGCAAAAUAGUAUUUCACUUAUAAAAAUGCUGUGAUCAUUUAUUGAAAAUUUACUGCAACUUUUAUGUACAUCAUUCAAAGAUACCGUUUUUACUCCUCAAAAAAGUUUUCACAAUUACUUCCUACAGCCAGUGUUACCAAAUCAUGUAAUUCUUCACAGACCACGGUUGACCUAGAUAGUAGUAGAUAAGAGAUGCUCGUAUUGUAAACAAACUAUUGUUUUUGAUAAAAGUUGGAAUGAAGGGAGAAAGCAGGUUCAGUAAGAGUAGCACAAAGCAUACUAACGAGAGUCUGGUCAGUCUGGUACCAGGCAAGGUACUCAGGGUUGGGAGAAGUAGUGACCACUGGUGGGAGAACCGAAGAAGCAUCAGAAUCAGCAGAAGCAGCGGGGGAGGCACCUGGAGCAGUGGUGGUGAUUACUGGACUAGGACACCAAUAUGAAGACAAAACGCCAUAAAUUUUGGCCAACUAAAAAUGGCUUCACCUGACUCUCCCAAGGAAGAUAAUUUCUUUCAGAGAGUUUGACAGAAGCCAAGAUAGAGAUAUUGAGAAUGGUGAUUGAGGAAGAAGAUGGGGUUGCGGAAGCCAUGUGAAAAAGAGAGGAUCAAAGCUCGAAUGCCAUGUGAACUUUCCGUAGUUCAUUGAUUAUUAGAACAAUAAUUAAAAAUACAAAUUAUAAUGAUAAGAUAACAACAGAGCCGAACAAUAACAUUAUCCACAUCUAUAAUCUUCAGUCACAUCAUCCUUCAGAGAGUACAUUUUGCACUCACAAAAGAAAAAUAUUUGUACAGUCUGUAGAAAAAAAUUUCUUUACAAAAAUGCAACUCAACUCAUGUAAUCACAAUGAAUUCAAAAUGGACAAAUAACAUCAAUGAAGGUAUCUUGUCUGCAGGGAAUUGUUAGACCACCAUUGGAUGAUCAGAUCCAUAUUCUUGUUAAGCCUCACUUAGCAAGUCUUGGAAUGAAGGUUGGUUGAGGUAUGAUACAGGAAUGACAAACCGCUGUCUCUUGUUCUCCCCAACAUAAACCGCUAAAUAACCUUUUGGGACAUCUGCUAUAUUAUAUGAACCUCCUCGACUUGAAUUUGAAAAAGACCGCCGAAGAAUUUUCUUUACAUGAGUUACACUUGGACGACGGAAACCCAUGGUUUUAUGUCUCUCUAGAGAAAUGUCUGGUGCAAGUUUAUAGGAGCAAGAAGAAGAGAAGAGUUGGGAAGAUGCAGAAACUUGAAUGGAUGGCAAUGAAAGUCUCAUGAAAUAUAUAUAGUUAAAGUUUUAUGUAGGAAUUAUCCUCUGUUGAAAGAAAUAUGUGGUGACAAUUAAGGCCAUCUUGAUAGGGCAUAGAAGGGACACUGAUCACAUGGUGCUGUUUUCCACCUCAACUUCAAUAUUUUAGGUGAAAUAUUUUUGGACAGAAACAGUACUUCAACAGAUACAUAGUCUGAAUCACCACCGAUGUAUUUUGACAGGAUGGUGAAUUUGAAGACAGAGCCAUGUGAACUUAGAAAUGCUUGUGUCUUUAGAUUUUUUUUUUUUUCAAUCCCAUUAAAUUUCCUGCGGAGCACUCACUCAAACAUUCUUAUAACAUUAUGUUGAUUGUUAGGAUUACCACUGAUCUAAUCGCAUAUAUACCUUCCGAACAUUAGUAGGACAUUAUGUUUUAUCUUAGUUUCAAUACGUUUUCAGUUUGUGCAGUUAUUAAGAGAUGUAGCUGUAGGGUAUUGUGAUUUUUCAUUUCUGCUCAUACAUUUUUCUUGAUUAGUUGGAAAGACAAGUCCAUGUGAUUAUCCACGAGAAAAUGAUUAUCACUUGGCUCAGCCACGGUCCUUCACCAAUUGUAUUUUUGGAAAACUAACCAAAACACCCUCAAAAGUUUCACUUUAAUCAUAAGGACAAAAUCUUUUUAUAAUACCCAAAUUGGGCAUGGGAAAGAGGACAAGGAAGAAAAACAAUUCUGAGAAAUCACAUGCAAACAAUGCAAACAUUUCUGAAAUAUCACAUGGAUGACCAAAAUAAAGGCUCCAGGAGACAAAUCAUGCAGCAAAUUCACAUGCAAAAGGAGACAAGCAAGAUCACAUUACCACACAUUACCACGUUUCAGAAACAAUGCUAACAAUUUUAGCAACAGUAGAGGCAAGUGACAAAUUACAAGUACCAAGGAGAUGUCCAUACCAUUACCAUUGUAUUCUGAUUCAGUCUAUAUAAGAAGAGUUUCAUUCAUUGUAAAUCUCACCUCCCUCAACAUCUAAAAACACCAUACUCACUUCAUAUACUCAAGCAUUCGUAGCCUUCGUAGCAUCCUUGUAAACACUUCUUUGUAAUCAUUUUCUUGUAAACAAAUAUCUUUGUAAACAUUCCAUAUAUCAAUAAAAGUUCAAGUGUACAUAUUCAAGCAAUCUCCAAGUCUUAAGUAAGUUUUCUUUUCCUUCUUUAAUGUGUUUGUUUAAUUAGACUUCUAGUCCAAAACAUGGAAACACUAUUGUGGUUAUAUUAUUAACCUGCUAAACUGAUGAUCAUACUUUGUUCGAGCACUCUGUUAUAGUUGCAUGCUUACCAUACAAAUAACUGGACAUUAACUAGGAUACCGCUGAGUUCUUCGUACCUCUGAGUUCAACCGUUAAGGCCUUAUACUUGUACUGUGAGUUGUCGUCAUGCUGAAACAUGUCGAGUUCCAUGUGCAAGGUUCUAUGUCUAGUUGUUAUAAUGGUCAUCCGACUAUUUAACCGAGCAUGCGUUGCGAAUUUGGUAUCAGAGCCUAGUUUAGCAUUUUAAUAGUAUAAUUAUAAUAAUAAAGUACCUUGAGGAUAGAAGUCAUUGAUACAACUGAUAUCAUAUUUGUUUAUUGUGUAUGAACAACAGAUAUUAUUGUCCCUGUAGACCCUGUCAACCAUAAUUACCAGGUAUUUAUUGUCCCAAACAUCCAACUAUAACUAGCAUAAAGAGAAGAUUAGCAUAUAUAUCCAAAAGAAUUAUCAGUACUUUGAAGAAGCAAAAGUUUUAUCUUGGCUAUUUUGAACAUCCUUUAUUUAUUCGUAAAUAUAAUAACACAUAAAUGCAGCAUAAAGUUUUAGAAGCAAAAAGAACAACAGAUCAAGUUUUAGAGACAUUGAGAGAAGAAAGAGAGUUUUAAAGAAACCAGUUAGCCUUAACUCUAGAGAAAUGUAGACUAUAGUUUAUGAUAGAUUAUCUUAAUUUAGAAAUUAGUGAACCUUAAAAAAGAAAAAUAACUUUAGACCAAAAUAGUUUAGUUUGCUAUUUUCCAUUGAGAAAGCACAAUCAUAUUUUGCAUAGUGAAGAAAAUCCGCAAGCCAAUAGUAUUGUAGACUUAUUAUUAGUCAAGCAGAAAAUAUAAAAUUAGAAAAUAAUAGGCAUAAUCUUUUGUUAAACCAGUUGUUAGAGCAUUUUCAGAAAAAUUCCAUAAAAAUAAUUAGAAAAAAUUUAGAUUAUAUUACAUCUCAGUUAGAAGAUAAUAAUAAAAAUAUUCAAAGGUUUCCUAGCAAAAGAAAGGUAAAAGAGCUUGUUGAUCUUAUAAAUAGUAAGCCGAAGCAAGUAGAACUUAGAUCAUUAGAAAUAGUUGAGCAGCUAAAAUUAGAAGUUCAAAAAAUUCAAUUAGUACAAAAAGAGUUAAGUGAACAAGUAGAUAAGUUGCAUAAUAAAAUAGAUAAAUUAUUAGUUUAAUGAUAGAUUUUAGAACUAGCAGAAAAUAUAUUCAAGCUUUGAAAGAAAUUAGUAAGUUAGAUAAAGAGCCAGUAGGUUUAACAGAUUUUUCAACACAAGUAUCCAGUAGUAAUAUUCCCAUUAGGCAAAAUAAUUUGAUUAUUCAAUUAGUUUUAAGUUUGGCUGAAAAAUUAGAUCAAGUUGAAGAAUAAAUAGCAGAAAUAAACCAAGUUUUACAUAACGCAUCUUCAUCACUUCCACCAUCCUUGCUAGAUAAAUUAGAAAAUGUAACUUUGAGUGCAAAUAAUAAAAGUCCUAAGCUAAAUCCUUUUGAUAAUAGAAAAUGGAACUCUUUAGGAAAAAAGGAAAAGAAGUAGUAAGAGCGGAAGAUAUUUAUCCAAAUGAAGAAGAAGCACAAGAAUUUAUUCGAAGAGGUUAUGAGAGAACACAGAAAAAUAAGUAUAACUUGUAUCAAUUAGGUUUAUUUGAAAACAGAAGUAGAAUUGUAAGCAGCAUCAGUCAACAUGAAGUUAGCUGUAUUGAUAAAGAAGUCACACUUAAUCUGAUUAGUAAAGAAGCAGUUACUCAUUUGAGAAAAUCACAUUUUAGUCAGAUUCAUAUAGGAACAAUAUUAAUUGGAAUAGCAGGAUUAACCAGAGCACAAGUAGGUACAAAAGCUUUAGUAUACAUAGAUGAUGAUAGAUGAGAUAAUCACCAACAAGCAACAAUAGCAACAGCUGAAGUAGACUUAAGUUCAAACUUAGCAGUCAUAGGUUGUAUUCCAAAUUAUGUUAUGAUGAUUAAUGAAUUUAGUAAAUAUAUUAAAGUGAGCAUAAGAACAAAAAAAUAUAAUAUGAAAGGAGAGUAUAAAAAUUUGUGUAUUAGCUUAAUGUAUAGGUAAAGUGUCUGAUAGAUAUAAUCAUAAGUUUAAUUUAGAGUUUCAAAAUUUAGUCCAAAUAUUUGGCAGUAAACAUGUAAAUAUGAUAGAAGCAAAACUCGUAGAUAAUAGUUUUUUAGAAGGAACUCAGUGGACAUUGCUUAAUUUACAAGUAGCACAAAAUAGACAACCAGAUAAAGUACAAAUAUAUGAAACUAGUACCGGUCAAGCAACAAUUACGUUUAGUAAUUAUAAGCAACUAGAAAAAAAUAGAAGAGGAUGAGAGUGAAAUCGAAAAUGAGAGUAUACAUAUGGCUUUUGAUAAUUUAGAUAUUAAUUUAGUUGAACAAAAUUUUGAUCAUAUUGUAGAUAAACUAAUAGAAUAUAUUGAUCAUUUAGAUGAAGAACAAUAUUUGAAAAAAUAUAAGACAUAUGAUUUAGGACUACAUAAAAUUUCAGACGAGGAAAUGAAAAAUUUAAUCUUAGAAAUGGGAGUAGAACACAUUAUAGGAUCAAAAGAAUAUAAUAAUUUAUUAGAAUUGAAAGCAGAAUGUAAUCCAACAGAAGAAAGUAGUACAUCAGGAGUAGAAAAUCCAGGACACGCAAGUAGAACUGAUCAACAAUUUUUGAGACCAACAAAUGAACAAUAUAAUGAAAAAGAAAAAGUAGACUAUAUGGAAAAAAGUAUGAUAAAACCUAGAAAAAAAUAGGAUUCCAUAUUUGAGAGGAUUAGAACAAAUUAAUAUAGCUGGUAAUAUAUUAAAUUUAGAUAAUGUAGAUCCACAAGAUUGGGAAAUAACGAUUGAGAGAUGGGAAAAAGGCUGCGUACAUGCAGCAUUAAUGUUAGAUUUUAGUAAUUCACAAAAUAUGUUAGAUUACUUUAAGCAUACUUUGGAUGGUUUAGUUUUUUAUUAUUUCCAGUCAUGGAAAGUUCAAAAUCCAGAACAGCAUCAGACGGCUAAAACACAUUUUAAUAUUGAUGGUUUUGUUACUUUGAUUAAACAAGAGUUUUUAGAUCAUAAUAGGUUAGAUGGCAGAAGCGAACAAGAACAAAUAAGAGCAAUUAGAAAUUUAGAACAAUUACAAAUUUGCGAUUUACAGUAUAUAGCUGAGUAUACCACAGAUUUCUUUAAAUAUUUAGGAAGAACAGGUAGAAUUAGUGAUAUUAAUUUAUUAGAUACUUAUAUGACAAAAAUAAAAGGACCAAUAGGUGAAAAGAUUUGGAAUGAAUGGCAAAAGCAUCCAAAGAAAAAUGAUAUUGCUAUAAGACCUAGAAUUCAACAUGUAUAUGAUAUACUCAGACAAGAGUGUAGUCAAAUAAAAGCUAAGAGACAAAUUAGGAAACAAUUUUACAUGUGUUGUAAAAAUAUAGAUUUACCACAACAGUAUAGUUGCCAUAAGAAAAAGCAUAAGAAAAUAUACAAAAAGAAAUAUAAGUCGUAUAAACCCUACAAACAGCAUAAGAAUUUCAGCAUAAGACCUCAAGAACAUAUAGGAAAAGAAAAUAUAUUCCAAAACAAUUUAGAAAAAGAAGUGGCAGACCUUGGAAUAGAAAAUAUAAAGCACCAAAAGAUAAGAGUAAUUGUAAAUGUUAUUCAUGUAGAGAAGCUGGACAUAUUAGACCUAAAUGUCCAAAAUUAGGUAAACAGUCGAAAGAAAAAGUACAUUUGAUAGAGUUGUUUAAGUUAGAAGAAGAUGAAGAUAUUCAGUUAAUAUACAGUUUAGAUAAUUUAAGUGAUAAUGAGAGUAUUUAUAGUAUAGAGAGUAUGAACAUGAUAGAUUCAGACUCAGAAGAUUCAAGUAGCACAAAUAGUGAUCUAGAAGAGUAUAUGUGUGCAUUCAUAGAAGAACAGCAUGAAGACGAAUAUAAAUACAUAAAUUUAGGUUGGCCAGAAAAUUGUCAUAAGUAUAGUAAAUUAGUUGCAAAUAAAUACUAUAAUACAUAUUCAAUAUUAUUUGAAAAAUGUUAUAAUAAUAGGUUAUUAGAAGUUAAUUCAGCAGAAUCACAAGAAAAUAAUGAAAUAUUAGGAAAUAUUGUUCAUACUAUAGAAAAACAAAAAAAUAGUUCUUUAAUUACCUUAAAUUGUGAAAUAGAAUUAGCAAAAGAAGAUAAGAUACAAACGAUAGCUAUGAUAGAUACACGGAAUACAAGGAGUGUCAUAAGAAAAGAGUUAGUACCAGAAAAAUAUAGACAAAAAUUAGCAAAACCAGUAAAAAUAACACAAUUUGAUGAGAGACCAGUUUACUUAAUACAUUGUAUAAAUAAUGAGUUUAUUAAAGUAGAAAAACAACAAUUUAAUUUACCUUUAACAUUUGUUUCACCAUUAGGAUCAUAUCCAUUUAUUUUAGGUUUAAACUUUUUGAAAAGUUUGCAAGGUUUUUUAUUUAUGAACCCUAACAUAACGUUUUUCAAAAAAGGCAUUACAAUAACUGACCAAAGUAAUACUAUAAAAGCAUACAAAAACAUAAGUAUAGAAGAGCCUAGUGGCCAAGAUAGUUAUCAUUUAGAAAACUCAAAAUAAAAUGAUAAGCAUAAUAACGUAGAAGAGUUUGAUGAAGAUAUAUUUGAACAUGAAUACCCGAUUUUAGAAAAAGGAACCUGUAUAGAAAUAUUACAGUUAGAUAGACGAAAGAGUUUAGAAGAAUUGUUACAAUUAGCAGAACAAACUAGGAUUAUAGGAGAAGACCCACCGUUACAUUGGAGUAAAAAUAAAAUACUAGCAAAAUUAGAUAUAAUUAACCCAUAGUUAACCAUUAAGACGGCUGAUAUGCCUUGUAGUCUAAUAGAUAAACAAGAUUUUAAGCAGCAAAUAAAAGAGUUGUUAAAUUUAAAAGUAAUUAGACCCUCUAAGUCUAGACAUAGAUCAGAAGCAUUUAUUGUAAGAAAACAUUCAGAACUAAAGAGAGGUAAGGCUAGGAUAGUUUAUAAUUACAAGAGAUUAAAUGAAAAUACAUACGAAGGUAGUUAUAAAUUACCAAAGAAGGAUGAGCUUAUAAAUAAAAUUCAAGAGAGUAUAUAUUUUAGCAAAUUUGAUUGUAAAUUAGGCUUUUAGCAAAUAAGAUUAGCAGAAGAAUCAAUUGAGUGGACAGCUUUUACUUGUCCAAAAGGACAUUUUGAGUGACUUGUUAUGCCAUUUGGACUUAAAAAUGCUCCAUCAAUCUUUCAAGGAAAGAUGGACCAAAUUUUCAAGAAAUAUGAUACUUUUUGUAGUGUUUAUGUAGAUGAUAUUUUAGUACAUACUAAAAAUAAAAUGAACAUAGGAAGCAUUUAGAGAUAGUAUUACAAGAAUUUAUCAAUAAUGGAAUUGUGAUUAGCAAAAAUAAAAUAGCACUAGAAAAGCAAGAUAUAGAAUUUUUAGGAAUGUAAAUUAAGUCGGGUACAAUACAAUUACAAGAUCAUAUAGCUAAAAAGGUAUUAGAAUUUCCAGACAAAUUGGAAGAUAAGAAACAGUUAAAUGCAUUUUUAGGAUCGCUAAAUUAUGCAAGAAAUUUUAUCCCUGAUUUAUGAAGAAAAAUAACAGUAUUACAUAGUAAAACUAGCAAAACAGGACAAAAGUAUUUUAAUAGUGAAGAUAUUAAAUUAAUUCAAAAAAUAAAAGAAGAAAUUACUAAACUUAAGCCAUUAAUAUUACCAUUAGAUGAUAGUUACAAAAUAGUUGAAACAGAUGCUUCAUCAUUAAUAUUACCAAAGUCUGACGAACAAGUUUGUAGAUAUUCCUCAGGAAAGUUUAGUGAUGUACAGUCAAGAUUACCAUCAACAGAUUUAGAAAUUUUAGGGAUAAUUAAUUCACUUGAAGCAUUUUCUUUAUUUUUACAUAAUGAAGUAUUUACGAUUAUAAUAGAUUGUCAAAAUAUAGUUUCUCAUUAUAAUAAGAUACAUGCUAAUAAAUAGGCAGCCUGAAGAUGGGUUAAUUGUAUUGAUUCAAUUACAAGAAAUGGUUUUAAACCAAUUUUUGAACAUAUAAAAGGUAAUGACAAUACAUUAGCUGAUAUCUUAUCAAGAUUAAUUUGUUGAACAGGUAUGGAAUAUCGUGGACCAUCAUCAGCAAAUAGCACAAAAUUGCAAGGCAGAAGAGUUUCUUUCAAUGGCAUGAUGAUGCACCAUCAACCUCCACCAUUCAGUGGAUUUCAAAAUAGCAUGAGCAGACCAGCAUCACCACCAGUACCUACGUUCAACUUUAAUGGCAGUAUUGUUGAAGGAAUCAAAAAUCCAACUCUGAGAUAUAGGUCAAGGGUACCAGGGCUUUCUGAUAGGCAACAGGUUCUCUUAGAUAAUUGUUGGAAUAUCCAAAUUAAGCAAUCAAGCAUGAGGUUUGGUCAUGAAAAAAUAAUUAGAGCCUUGGAACAAGAGUUUGAUAGCCUUAAUUUUAAUUUCCACCAAAACCAUCAACAUAUUCAUUCUCUUGAGCACAACCUUCAAGUCAUCUCUAGGGACCAUGAGUCAUUACUUGGCAAUUUUACCAAAAUGAACCAAGAACUACAAUCUCCUAGAAUGCAGCAAAAGGCAAGUGACACCUUGAAAAGAGAAAUGAAAAUAGGUCUAGAAAUUGAUCAGCAUAAGAAUAAAGGAAAAAAUGUUAUUGAACCCAUAGAACAAGAGGCUAAUGAGCCCAUAGAAGAAAUUAAAAUUGAGCUCUUAGAAGGAGACGUUGAAAUGGAGCAACAUCAAAGUAAUGAUCAGCAUCAGAUUCUGAGUGACAAAGAAAAACAAGAAAAAUAUGAAAGUUUUCGUAGGAAUAUAUCUUCAGACUUAAUAUUAGAUGAUGUUUUAUUAGAAGAAAUUUCAAAGGCAAAACUAAUAAUAAUGCCAACAGAUAUGCAAAAUCAGAUCCUGAGCAGAACAUCACAGUCCAUGAAAGAGUUACAAUUACAAUUACAAUUCGCCUUGUAUCAAUCCAUCUUUGAUCCAAAACCAGGGAUAGAUAUUACAAAGAUGUAUCCUCCAUGUCUUUGUGAUAGUACAGAGAAUUGUAUUUGUAAACCAGAGGUUAGCGUAGCUAUGGCUAGGAUGAACAUGAGAGAUUUUAAAUCAUGGCAUUUUAGUUAUGAGCAUAAGAAAAAGCAUAAUGUGGUAGAAGUUACCCCUGCCUUACUAUUAGAGUUUGGUUAUCUCGAUAAAAUAUUUAUUAACCGUAUUUCUCAACUAGAAUCAUUUCCUGAAAAGCUUAUAAAAGUAGCAGAAGAUUAUCUAGAAAGGUGGAAAGAAAUUUGCAUAAGUUUUAUUAGUAGUCCUCCGGAUUGGUAUGUACAUAUGCAUAAGGAGAAAACUAGGUAUAUAGCCACGAUCAAUGAAGAGUCCUUUAGACUAACCCCUAUCUCCUCACAUAGGUGGACUCCUUCAUACAAAGAUAUUUUAAAAUUUAGAGGGAUCCAAAUGUUUGUCUUAGAUGAGUUUGAAGAUUUUAGGUAUGACAUGGUACUAGUAGCAGAAGAACAAGAGAUGUAUAUUUACAUCAAGACAAUGAUCAGUCAUCAGCCUUAUUGGAAGCCCCAAAAUUUCAAAGAAGAAACAGCAGAAAUAUACUAUAAGGUGAAAGAAGAUAGAGAAAGAGAAACGGAGAUAGUAGAAGGCGAUGAACAGUACUGGAAUAAUUUGACAGAAGAAGAGCUGCAUAACAUGACAACAUGAUGGAAGCCUGAAGAGCUAGCUGUAAAUUAGCAUAAGUUUAAUAGCAUAAUGUAAAAUAAUGUAUUCCCAGACAGAAAUGUCAACAUCAUUGUGGACCCUGCUGUAAUGGCAUAAGAGUAAAUUAAGAAAAGAACAUGAUCCAUUAUGGACUUUUCAUACAUAAAAUGUCAUUUUGAUUAAGAAUGAAUAGUUCCAGGCCCUUUUCAUUAGAACUCCCUUGUAUUUUUGUGCAUAACCCAUAUCCUUGAAAAAUUGGAAGUCAUAGCCAUGUGAACAUAUUAGUGCUUGAGUAGCAGGGUCACUUGACAAUCCGCAUUCAAUUGCCUCCAGGCCACUCCCUCCAACUUGUACAAAUUAUUUGUAGACCAACGUAUCAAUUUUUCGUACGUAUUGUAACCAAAACAGAUUAAGCCCUCACAUUUUAUAUGCUAAAACUGUUGAAAUAGCACCACGAGAAAAAUUCUUGUCUCAAGCAUGUCUCUGAUUUUUUUUUAUAGGCCUUCAUUUAAGAGAGAUAGGACAUUGGGUUGCUUUUGUUUGGUCAUCGACGUGAGGUGUUAUUGAUAGCUUGUAGACAAGUCCAUGUGAUUUUCCAUGAGCAAACUCUCUCUCACUUGGGUCUAUUCCAGUGCUUCAUCACCAAUCAUUUUAGGUAACCGACCACUUGCAGAUACCGCUUUAGCUAUGUAUGCACACAUCCAAGGUUCAGGAGCAAACUAACACAAGUCUUCUACUCCCAAGCAUAUCUUAUCAAAGCACUUUCUGUCCUGAAAUUCAUUUGAACUCUUUAUUGUUCCUUUUUACAGGAAUUGUAAACCAUGGGUUUCCGAUUUCAUGGUAUUGUACAUGCCAAGAAAAAUCAAGUUUCUUCAAAGUCAUUGGAUGUUCCAUAAGGCUAUCUUACCAUCUACGUUGGGGAGAGCCACAAGAAGCAGUUUAUUAUUCCGGUGUCCUACUUGAACCAACCUUCACUCCAAGAUUUGUUAAGCUUAGCUAAAGAUGAAUUUGGAAACGAUCAUUGAAUGGGUGGUAUCAUAAUCCCUUGUAGUGCAGACACCUUUCUUAGUCCCACCUCAGCUUUGGGGUAUAUGUAGAGCCUGUUAAUGUUUAAGCGUUUUUAGCAGAAAUAGGCUUAUUCAUUUUACUUGUUUUAAUCAUAGCCGUUGGAUCAUAUUCCAAAUGGAUGCUCUAGAUUAUGUUAGAGUAAGUGAGAGUGUGUGACACAUGUAACUAUCUCAUAGGAUAAAUGACAUGGAUGACUGUGAUCUUUCGUUUCUAUUAUAAGAGAUAGAGGCUUUAUUCCAUUCUGGUUGUAAUGAUUAUAUUCCACUUGUACUUAUAGAGAGAGAGCCGUAAAUUAAUGAAUUCAGUUUUACACUCAUCUCUAUGAUUUUCGCUUCCUGCAACUUCCAUUUUCUUCUUUCUUCCAGAAAUAACAUACACACUCCAUUGAAUUACAACACAAAAUCACAUAACCUAACAUGGCCUCAGAGCUAGGUUGUGUCAUCUGUAACUGGGCAUGAAUCUGUGACUCCAGCAGUGAAGAACUCGAACUGAUCGUCGAGCUUUGUUGUUUAAGGAUAUUCAGAGAAGAAAUCUUAGUGACCUUGAAUCGAGUCUCAUAUGGUUGGAUUAAGUGGUGCUGAGCUUCGAGCACCAGUGUUCAAUGGAGACAACUUUGAUUUCUGGUAGAUUAUAAUGAAGACGAUAUUCUGAUUUCACGAACUUUGGGAUCUAGUAGAGAAGGGCUUCGCUACCCCGAUGAAGAAUGAGGAAGAACUCACUGAAACGGAGGGGAAGCUAUUGAAGGAGAACAUCGUCAAAGAUGCAAAGGCACUUAGAAUCAUCCAAUGGUCGAUUUUUGAUCAAAUCAUCCCGAGAAUUGCCAUCCAAGAGACUGCAAAUGCUGCUUGGAAUGUCUUGAAGCGAGAAUUUGUGGGAGAUAAACAUGUAAGAGCUGUGAAACUCCAAGGCUUACGCUGUGAUUUUGAGUAUACUAGAAUGGGUAAGAAUGAAGCCCUCUCUGCAUAUCUAGUGAGACUGUUUGAUUUGAUUAGUCAAAUGAGGAGAUAUGGUGAAGAUAUUAGUAAUCAAAGAAUUGUUCAAAAAUUGCUGAUAAGUUUACGUAGAUCUUAUGAUAGUAUAGCUUCUAUGAUUGAAAAUACUAAAGAUCUAGAGACUAUUGAUGCUCAAGAUGUUGUGGCUAUCCUAAAGGGGUAUGAACAAAGGAUUGAUAGACAUGCUGAAAUCCAAAUUGAGAAGGCAUUUGCCAGCCUUCAUGUUGAUCCAAAACAAUAUAAGUAUAAUGGGAAUCAAGGGUUCAAGCCACGGAAAAAUUGGAAGUCAAAAUGAAAGAAAGGAUAUAAUAGACGUGCAAAUCAAGCUGGAAAAGAUGCAAACACAUAUGAGGUAGCUAAGAAUUCAUGUAUACACUUUGAUAAGUUGCACUUUGGUGAAUGUUGGUUCAAAGAUAAGCCUAGAUGUCAUAAUUGCAAUAAGUUGGGGCAUAUGGCAAAAGAUUGUCGUGGCAAGAAGGAAAAGGCUAACCAACAUGUAAGCUUUGUUAACCAAGUCAAUGACACCCCUACAAUGUUCUAUGCUUGCAACAAUGCCAUUGUGAAGAAAUGUGAAGACAUAUGAUAUGUAGAUAGUGGAUGCAGCAACCACAUGACUGGAAUGGGGGAUCUGUUAGUUGACAUUAACAGAAUAAUGACUGCUAAAGUUGAAAUGGGCACAUAUCAGCUUAUUGAUGUCACAUGCAAGGGAAACGUGGUAAUUGAAACCAAUAUGGGGAGGAGAUAUAUCAAGGAGGUAAUGUUAGUUCCAGGAUUGAAAGAAAACUUGCUCAGUGUAGGGCAAAUGAUGGAACAUGGCUAUUUUCUGGUGUUUGGUGGUACAAAUGCUGAGAUAUACGAUGAUUGCUCUCUGUCAAACUUGUUAGCCAAGAUACCAAUGAAAGGAAAUAAGAGUUUUCCCUUGAAACUUCAACUUAAGAUGCAAAUUGCUCUAAAAGAUAGUGUGUGUCAGUCAUCCAUGAUUUGGCAUAGGAGGUUAGGACACUUGAAUAUGGGCAGUCUGAGGCAACUCAAAGAACAAGAUAUGAUGCUGGAUUGCCUGAACUCAAAGUGACAUAUGAGAUAUGUGAAGGAUGUACUUUUGGGAAGCAUUGCAGGGAUGCAUUUCCAAAAAAACCAUCAUGGAGGGCAUCUCUCCCUCUAGAACUUGUUCACUCAGACAUCUGUGGACCUAUGCAAACUCCUACAAAGGCUAGUAAUAGGUACUUUCUUACCCUUAUAUAUUUUUGCACUAGGAUGUGUUGGGUCUAUUUCUUGAGAUACAAGUCUGAAGUGUUUGGUAUACUCAAGAAGUUUAAGCCCAUAAUUGAGCUACAAAGUGGAUAACAAUUAAAAAAGUUGAGAAGUAAUAGAGGAAGGUAGUACACAUUUUUUGAAUUCAGUGACUUUUGUGAAGAGAUGGCAUGGAAAGGCAACUUAUAGUUACUUAUACACCGCAUCAAAAUGGUAUAGCUGAGAGGAAGAACAGAACCAUAGUAGAAAUGGAAAAAUGCAUGCUGAUUGAAAAGGCUGUUCCAUUUGAGUUUUGGGCUGAAGCUGUCAACACAGCAAUGUAUAUCUUUAAUAAGUGUCCCACUAAAUCUUUUGACAAAAAGGCUCAUUUUGAGGCUUAUAGUGGAAGAAAGCUAAGAAUCAAGCACUUAAGGGUUUUUUGUUCUAUAUGUUAUGCUCAUAUUCCAAGUCAUCUCAGACAGAAGCUAGAUGAAACCAGUGUUAAAUGUAUUUUCUUGGGGUAUGGCACAUGUGAGAAAGGUUAUAGACUUUAUGACCUUGAUUCAAAAAAGAUGAUUGUGCCAAGAAAUGUGAUAUUUGAUGAAAAUGCUUGUUGGGAUUGGAAGUGUCAAUCUGAGAAGAGUAUUAGUGUACCAAUAACUGGUGUGGAAACCUGUAAACAAAGGGAAGAAGGAAGCUCAAGUGAUAGAUGUAAUGUAAAUGAUGAGUCUCUGAUACCUGCAUCUGAAACUUGUGAAUCAAUUGAAAAUGGUUCAAGAUUUGUCCCAAUGCAGAAUAACACAGGUCCCUAAGACUAUGAGCAUACCUCAUUGAAGUUCAGAGCUUGACAGAAGUGUAUGCAAAGUGUAAUUUAUGCAUAGUUGAGCUUAAGAGCUUUGAAGAAGCAGCCAAAGAUGAGUCAUGGUAGAAAGCAAUGGAAGCAGAAAUUGCUAUAAUAGAGAAGAACUGCAUUUGGGAACUUGUUGACAGACCAUUUAAUAAACCAAUAGUUGGUGUCAAGUGGAUCUACAAAACAAAAUUGAACAUGGAUGGGUCUAUACAGAAGAAUAAGGCAAGAUUAGUUGCAAAGGGGUACUCUCAAAAGCUUGGGGUUGAUUUCAAUGAGACAUUUGCCCAUAUGGCAAGGCUUGACACCAUUAGAACUCUAAUUAGACUAGCUACACGAAAUGAUGGAAGUUGUUCUAACUCAAUGUGAAAUUUGAACUCUUGAAUGGGGUUCUAAAUGAAGAAGUGUAUGUAGAUCAGCCACAUGGAUUUGUAAUUGUAGGUAAAGAGGACAAGGUUUACAAGUUCAAGAAGGCCUUAUAUGGUUUAAAACAGGCACCAAAGGGCUGGUAUAAAGAAAUUGACUCUUAUUUCUAUAAUGCUGGCUUUCAUAAAAGUCUAAGUGAGGUAACCCUUUACAUCAAAACAACUGAGGUAGGAAUUCUCAUUGUUUCCUUGUAUGUUGAUGACAUUAUAUACACAGGGAGUUCUAGUGCAUUGAUGGAUAAAUUUAAGGCAUAAAUGAUGAGAAAGUAUGAGAUGUCGGAUUUAGGUCUGUUGCAUCACUUCUUAGGGCUUGGAGUAAUUCAAACAGAAGACUGCAUCUUUCUGAAUCAAAAGAAAUAUGCAAGAACCUUGCUGGAGAAGUUUGGAUUGAAGGAUUGCAAGUAUGUUGCAAUUCCACUUGUAGCAGAUGAAAAGUUAAGCAAAGUUGAUGCAAGUGAGAUGGCUGAUGAAAGUCUUUAUAGGAAGAUGGUUGGUAGUCUGUUAUACUUAAUAGCUACAAGACCUGAUAUAAUGUUUGCUGCAAGUUUCCUAGCUCAAUUCAUGCACAAUCCAACCAGAAAGCACAUGGGAACCACAAAGAGGGUGUUGAGAUAUAUACAAGGAACACUGGACUAUGGAAUUGCAUAUGAGAAAGGCAAAGAUGAUGUGCUUAUUGGCUAUUAUGAUAGUGACUGGAGGAAGUGAAUAUGACAUGAAGAGCACCUCGGGUUAUGCUUUCAGUUUUGGUUUUGGAGCAUUUUCUUAGGCCUCAAUCAAACAAAGUAGUGUAGCACUGUCCACUGCAAAGGUUGAGUAUGUUAGUGUUAUAGAAGCAACUGCCCAUGCCAUCUGGUUAAGGUUUGUUCUCUUAGAUUUUGGUGAGGAACAAGUGGAGCCAACUCAGAUUCUACGUGAUAACACCUCUGCCAUUGCAAUUUCAAAGAAUCUAGUGGCACAUCACAAGACAAGGCAUAUCAACAGAAGGUUUCAUUUCAUCAAAUAUGCAUUGCAGAAUGGUGAAGUUGAUCUAGUUUAUUGCAAAACUGAAGAGCAAAUAGCUGAUAUAUUCACAAAGGCCUUGGCAAGAGAUCGAAUGGAGUGGUUGAGGAAAGCUUUGGGGAUGAUUUCUGCUAAACACUUAGAAUGGAGUGUUAGUGUUUAAGUAUUUUUAGCAGAAAUAUGCUUAUUCAUUUUACUUGUUUUGAUCAGAGCCCUUGGAUCAUAUUCCAAAUGGAUGCUCUAGAUUAAAUUAGAGUAAGUGAGAGUGUGUGACACAUGUAACUAUUUCAUAGGAUAGAUGACAUGGAUGGCUGUGAUCAUUCCUUUCUGUUAGAAGAGAGAGAGGCUUUAUUCCUUUCUGGUUGUAACAGUCAUAUUCCACUUGCACUUGUAGAGAGAGAGUCGUGAAUCAAUGAAUUUAGUUUUGCACUCAUCUCUAUGAUUUUUGCUUCUUGCAACUUCCAUUUUCUUUUUUCUUCCAGACAUAACAUACACACUUGAUGAGUAGAUUUUAUAUUAUAUAUUUUACCUUAAUCUUAGUAUAUUUUGGUUAAUAUUUUGGAAGAAUUUUGAUACUUUGAAUUGUAUUUUCAAUAUAGGACUUUCGACUUCCUCUGGAGCAAAACAGAACCAAAUGGAUGAAUUUUGGAGUAAUUCUAGUUGGAGGACGUUCGUGAGUCACUUAGCUUGAUCAUAUCAAAAUUUGAGAUUUUUCCACCAAGUGGUUAUUUUCUGGCGAUAAAAUAAAGGAGCGAUGCGCAGUGUUGGAAAAUGACGUUUUUGGGCUCAAAUUACGUUUUUGUAGCCCAAGAUGACCUCGGAUGGGUUCGUGGCCUUCUGGAGAAGUGUUCAGAAUAUUCCAAACAUUAAAUCCAUCUUUAUUGGGCCAGUUUUGGAGCAGCUUAUGGGUCAAAAACUUGGCUGUUCAGAUUUUAGGCGAAUUUUACCAUUUAAUUUAGGGUUAUGUUUCUUAUUUUAUUUGAUUAUUAAUUUUAGUUUCCUGAGCGAAAUAAAGGACCUGUUUUUUUAGGGUUUUGUGGGGAGGCUUAGCAGAUAUUGCUUGGCCGUCUACAGUUUUUCUCGACACUUUAUUUUAUGCAAUUUUGGAGACAGAGAGAAUUGUUAGGGUUUUGGAGACUUUUUACUUGGAGGUGCUUUCAAUCCUUUUCUUAGUAAUAUUUUCUAUGAUUUCAAUUAUGAAUAUGCGUAACUAAUUCUCUUUUGCUAGGGCGAAGCCUUGAGCCUUAGCAUGAAUAUGUGAUUUUUAUUUAAUUGCUUAUGAUUGAUUGCAUGUAUACUUUGAAUUGUUAAUCACCGGGAUAAAAACUAUCUAAUUGUCUUAAUGCCUGAUCACCAUUAGGAUCUUUAGAAAAGUAAUUUGAUGCAAUUUUGGUCGGAAGGUUCCCUGAAAUUGACGCUGGCUUCUUGUGAUUAAUAAUUGUAAUUUCACUUAGGAUGAAUAUCACGUCUUAAGGAUUGCAUGGUUUUUCAAAGGAUUUUCAUAAAGCAUAAUGAGUCUUUCAUGUUCAGAUUUGAACCGAACGUCCGUACGGGUUGCAUGUUAGAUAUACGUUCUAUGUUGGAGGUUCCAAGUAGAAUAUGAAUUAGGAAAAGCUAACCUUCAAAGUGGCAUGUGUAGAUCAUAAGUAAUUGGUAAAAAUUCAUAGGAUUGCUAGGUGAUGGUGGAACCCUAGUGCUUUCUUAAUUUGAUUCUCCCAAAACUGUUUUAUUUUCUCACGAGCUCUAAUAUUGCAGAUUGUUUAUUUUAAUUCAUUAAUUUCGUUUUUAUUUUAAUUAGGUUAUAAAAUCAAUCACCUAAACUUCUACUUUACAAUAAUUAAUUGAAAUUUGAUUUGUUUCGAAUUAUUUAAUAAUCCCUGUGGAGACGACUUUGCGAGAUUCGUUUAUACUACAAUAACCUUGUGAUUCUUGCAAGUAAAAUAGGAGAUUUAAGCCCGUUCACAUGAGUAGUAAAAAUCCUAUCAAGAAAAUGGCGCCGUUGCCGGGGAUUAUUUAAAAUAAUUCCUACUAAUCAGAUUUUCAAUUAGUUAUUGUUGUAUAUACAUAUAAGAAAAAAAAAAUUUAAUUUUCGUUUUUGUUUUAUUUUUCUCAGAUUACAACAACUCUUAGUUAAUUAUUUUUGUAUAUAUCUUUUUAUUUAAUUGCUGAUUUUGUUUGGUAGGUUACAAUUUGUUUCUUUUUUAGCAGUGCAACAAUGGAAUUUGCAGUUCCCCCUGAAUUCAAUCUAACACCCGGUGGACCACCUCUUUGGGUGUCAUUAGCAGAAAAGGGUUAUUAUGGAUUUAAGCCUACAGUUUGUGCUAUUUGUAAUUCAAAUACUCAUGAUAUUUUGCAAUGUCCUGAGAGAGAAUAUUUUCCAGAUUAUGUCCAGGAGUAUAUAAAUAUGAGAAACGAUUCAAAAUGGAACUGGAACAAUCCCCAUUCAGAGUUCUACACUCAAAGUUUGAAAGAGCAUCUUGGGCAGUAUUUUGAGCAGCUUAAUGUGCCACAAGAGCUUUCAGUGGAGGACAAGCUCUCUAAAUUGUUGGAAUUAACUGACUUAUACAUUGAAAUAACCAAUGACGGAUUUUUGAUUCAAGCAUUAAAUUAUGGGAAGAGCUUUAAUGAUUAAGAAAAGAUUGGUGCAGGAAUUGAAGAGCAAUUUUCCACCUAGUCAUGCCCAAGGGAGGAAACACCACCUGCUGAUCGUGAAACAAUUUCCCCAUAAUCUUUUCCUCCCCAAGUUUAUGUGCCACCAGAACCCUUCCCAACAGGGCUGCACGAAUGCACAAGAAUUGAUAUGUUAGAAGCUGUUCAUUCAAAAUCAGUACAUCAGACAUCACAUGAUCAACUUUUGACUACUCUGACCAUUUUGGAUUUGGAGCAACAGGCUACUGAUCAAAAAAUUUUGGUUGCUGAAUUGGACAUGCAAACGUCGCAAUUCAUCAAAUUUAAAGAAAAUAAGGAUCAAUUCCAUGACAACCAAAUUCCUCGUAGAGAAAUUUUGCCAGUGCAGAGGUUGUGGGUGUUAAAUACAAGGUUCAAGGUAGCUCGAUGGAAACAUAAACCUCACUGGAAACAACCUUAUUUGAUCACAAAGAUUCAUUCACAUAGAAGUGCACUUAUGAAGAAUUCAACCACUGAUAAACAACAACUCAUUCCAUACCUACUGUUGCCGUAUGAUGCUAUCAAGAAGUGGUUAACUUGAAGGGAACAAGUGACGUGAUCUUCAAUUCUUCCCUCUACGUCUAGCUAUAGACGUUAACUAAAGCGCUAAUUGGGAGGCAACCCAAUUUUUCUAACUCUUUUCUUUUUAUUUCGUUUAUUUUAUUUUCCUGUUUUUAUUCCUAAUUACAAAAAUCACAAAAAAAUCAGAAAAUUGAAAAAAAAAUUGCAGUUUUUAAUUCUUGUUAUUUUUCUUUACUUAUCUAAUUAGGGUUUUUAUUGCAGGUUGCAUUCAGAACUGAUUCGGCCUAAUCCCAACUAAGGGGGUGCAAUCAACAUUUAUUCCCCCAGCACAUUCAUCAUCAAUUCCUCUACAUUCAUGAGAUUAGGCAGUGCGGAGUGCAGAAACAAAGUUAAGGGAUCUAAGUGGCACAGAGAAUAAGACAUGAUGAAUUUAUAGAUCUCUUCAUGCAUGACGAACAAGCCAAUUCAACAUACUGAGGCACUGAGACCAUAUACAAAUUUUUAUUCAUAGAUUCUUAUCAAACAUAGUUGCAAGGAUAUAAAAGCAUACCUUUUCAAUGAGGAUCUGUGAGUCUCGAUUUUUCCAUGGAAACACACAUGCAUUGGGCAAUUUUCAUUCAUUUUUCCCUAAUCUAAGCACUUGAGACAAAAAUCGAAGGGAGAUGGAGAUAAAAACUACCUGUGAGUGUGUCAGACUAGAGCAGGAUGCGAUAUGUGGUUUCAUCUGAGUAGGUUGUUGGUCUUGCUGCUCGAGGUGCUGGAUUUCCGAGACACGGCGGUGUGUAGAUAGCUGGGCUAUUUAUUGGUUGCAGCACGGAUGCAACGCUUAGCGAGGAUGAAGGAGCAGCUGCGGAAAUGAGAGAAAAAUGUGGGGGAAGGAUGGCUAUUUUUCAUUUUAAAAAGAUAUGGGGUCUGAGUGAAACAGAGAGGGAGGGCUGAAUUUCUAAAGAGACAGACGACUCUUACAGUUUUGAGAGUCAUGCAGAAGAGAGAGAGAUAGAGCAAAGAUGGAUGGGUUUGAAAUGAAAGCAAUGAGAGAUGUCUCUCAUUUUUCUAGAGAGAAUGAGAGGCUUUGGGGUUUGCAAAUCACAUCAUUAUCCCUUUCCAUCUGACAAGGGGAUGGGACUGGACAGAAGAGAGCCGUUUGGCUCUAUGAUCGAGGCUAGUUUAAGGGAAUCCAAAGCGUGUUCGAGAAUAGCUCGGGUUUUUCAAAUGAAAAAUGCAGCUGCUGUCCCAGCUUAUAUUGUAAUUGCUGCCAGGAUUUGACACAUAUGGGGCUUGUACGUGUUAGCUAGCGCGUAUUCGCAAGUUCCCAGCUACCAAGUCCUGCUUUCGAAUCCCCGAAGUGUCCAUUAGUGUUUUACUUCUCCACAUUUUUGUCAGUGCACCUCAGCAAUCGCAGUUCCACCCUCCAACUCUCUGGUGUGUCAAUUUUUAAUACUUUUCCUUUUCUUUUAUUUUCUGUUUUCUGUUUUACUUUAUUUUAUUUUAUUGUUUUUCUAUUUCUUUUUCCUAUUUUCUUUUCUUAGGAUUUUUUUUUUCUUUAUCUUUGAUUUUGCAUUCUGCAUUUUCUAGGAUUUAGUAGUUUUGUUUUUGUUCUUAUUUCUUUUGUUUAUUUUCCACACCUUGAGGACAAAGUGUGAAAUAAGUUUGGGGCUAGGAAAAUAACAUUUUAGGAUUUUAAUUUUUAUGUCAGUUAAAAUUUUCAUUCUUUUUAAGUUAAUAUCCAUAGAUUAUUUUAAACGUUAGAACAAAUGGACAUGGUAAAGAUUAAUCCCACAGUAGAGUCUUUUCUAUUUAUCGUUGCUUAGACACUAAUUCAUGAAUUAUACUUUGAACUUUGCACAUCACACCAACAUGGUUUGUGGGGAGUGAGAUUGAAACACUUGCUUUUAGUCUAAGUUUAAUUUUAAUUUUUGUUUUAAGUAAAGUUAGUUAUUAUUGUGAAUAAAGUAAUAAUUGUCUCACCCGAGGUUUUGCUUAGUAACCGGGCCAGUCUUGCCUAAUCAGCAAUGAUUUUCGCGUCAAACGGUAGAGUUUUGGCAUGGGGCAGGGUGGUUAGUUGGUUUCGUAGCCUUUUCAGCUCGGAUUAAUAAGUCCUUAGGAUUGUUUUACACCUAGUGCCCUAAAACCCUAAUGGUUUGGGAGUCAUUGACCUAAAGCUCGCUACAUGGGUUGGAUUGAAAGUUUAAGUGAACCGACAUUGCACGACCACUACUGUUACUGGAAAAAAAAAAGACAAAAAAAUUGAAGAGAAAAAGAAAAAAGCUAUAUUCAAAGUUAGUAUGUGUGAAAUAAAGAAGGACGAGAGGUAAGAGUUUUAGUCGAGUCUCCUUAACUAUGUUGGUUCACUUUACACCAAAGGAAGUUUGUGAAUUCUUUUCUAAUUGAUUCUAAAUGGCUUAGACUCUGUGGUGGGAUUGGUUGGAACUUUUGAAAAGAUGUUCUAGUUUUUAAAAUUUGCUAUGGAUUGCAACUUUGAAGGUGAACAUUUUUGUUAGUUGAGUUUUAGCUAGUUGUCUAGUUUGUUAAGUUUUUAUUUUUGUUUGAGUCUUGUUUUGCUUGAGGACAAGCAAAAAGCUAAGUUUGGGGGUAUUUUGAUGAGUAGAUUUUAUAUUAUAUAUUUUACCUUAAUCUUAGUAUAUUUUGGUUAAUAUUUUGGAAGAAUUUUGAUACUUUGAAUUGUAUUUUCAAUAUAGAACUUUCAACUUCCUCUGGAGCAAAACAGGACCAAAUGGACGAAUUUUGGAGUAAUUCUAGUUGGAGGACGUUCGUGAGUCACUUAGCUUGAUCGUAUCAAAAUUUGGGAUUUUUCCACCAAGCGGUUAUUUUCUGGCGAUAAAAUAAAGGAGCAAUGUGCAGUGCUGGAAAAUGACGUUUUUUUUUUGCUCAAAUUGCAUUUUUGAAGCCCAUGAUGACCUCGGAUGGGUUCGUAGCCUUCUGGAGAAGUGUUCAGAAUAUUCCAAACAUUAAAUCCAGCUAUAUUGGGCUAGUUUUGGAGCAGCUUAUGGGUCCAAAACGUGGCUGUUCAGAUUUUAGACGAAUUUUACCAUUUAAUUUAGCGUUAUGUUUCUUAUUUUAUUUGAUUAUUAAUUUUAGUUUCCUGAAGGAAAUAAAGGACCUGUUUUUUUAGGGUUUUGUGGGGAGGCUUAGCAGAUAUAUUGCUUGGCCGUCUACAAUUUUUCUCGACGCUUUAUUUUAUGCAAUUUUGGAGACAGAGAGAAUUGUUAGGGUUUUGGAGACUUUUUACUUGGAGGUGCUUUCAAUCCUUUUCUUAGUAAUAUUUUCUAUGAUUUCAAUUAUGAAUAUGCGUAACUAAUUCUCUUUUGCUAGGGCGAAGCCUUGAGCCUUAGCAUGAAUAUGUGAUUUUUAUUUAAUUGCUUAUGAUUGAUUGCAUGCAUACUUUGAAUUGUUAAUCACCGGGAUAAAAACUAUCUAAUUGUCUUAAUGCCCGAUCACCAUUAGGAUCUUUAGAAAAGUAAUUUGAUGCAAUUUUGGUCGGAAGGUUCCUUGAAAUUGACGCUGGCUUCUUGUGAUUAAUAAUUGUAAUUUCACUUAGGAUGAAUAUCACGUCUUAAGGAUUGCAUGGUUUUUUAAAUGAUUUUCAUAAAGCAUAAUGAGUCUUUCAUGUUCAGAUUUGAUUCGAACGUCCGGACGGGUUGCAUGUUAGAUAUGCAUUCUAUGUUGGGGGUUCCAAGUAGAAUAUGAAUUAGGAAAAUCUAACCUUCAAAGUGGCAUGUGUAGAUCAUAAGUAAUUGGUAAAAAUUCAUAGGAUUGCUAGGUGAUGGUGGAACCCUAGUGCUUUCUUAAUUUGAUUCUCCCAAAACUGUUUUAUUUUCUCUCUAGCUCUAAUAUUGCAGAUUGUUUAUUUUAAUUCAUUAAUUUCGUUUUUAUUUUAAUUAAGUUAUAAAAUCAAUCACCUAAACUUCUACUUUACAAUAAUUAAUUGAAAUUUGGUUUGUUUCGAAUUAUUUAAUAAUCCCUGUGGAGACGACCUUGCGAGAUCCGUUUAUACUACAAUAACCUUAUGAUUCUUGCAAGUAAAAUAGGAGAUUUAAGCCCGUUCACAUGAGUAGUAAAAAUCCUAUCAACACUCCAUUGAAUCACAGCACAAAAUCACAUAAUCUAACAGAGCCUACAUAUACGUUGACACGAUUUUGACACCAACGGCUGUGGGAGCACUUGGCAAUUUUAAUCGCUUUCUGGCUCACUUGAAGGAGGUUUAAUAGAUUGAUCGUCCAAUGAAUCAUCGUGAUGGAAGAGACAUCAACGUCAAACCGCUUAUGAGCUGAGAGGAAAAUGGUCAGCCUAGCGGACAUAAACUCACUGACACAAUUUUUCAAGAAUAGUUAUUGUCAACUAAAUGUACAUGGUUGUCCUGAUUAGAAUAUUUCACUACAAUACAACGGUUUUACAGUUUCAUGAUUUACUUUUCAUUUUAUUUGCUAUCUUCUUUCAAUCAUGUUAUGAACAGACGAUAAAUUUACACACAAGGGGCUAAUUACUGGAAUAUUGAAAGACGAAAUAAUGUAAGCAAACACCAUAGGCAGAUUUAAAAACAUGUUAAGAAUGGAAUAUUGUACAGAUAAGUUUUAAAUAGUAACAAGCAAUGGAUGCACCCAGAAUAGUACUAAUCCAUGCUGAAAUUACCAUGAAAAUACCAAUGUGUGCUUAAAUAUGCCCCAAAUUAAAUAGCACUUAUCCAUGCUCAAAUUCUCACAAAAAUAUAAAUGGCGAACAUUUUAAUACAUUCUAUUUCAUAGAAUUUUUCAUGUGGUUGACCUUAAAAAACAUGUUAGACUCUGAAGAUUUCCAAAUCUUUAUAUGAUUAUAUUACUUACUAGCCAGGUCAAAAAGUUUCAGCUGUACAAAUAUUAGCAAUGCAAAUAUGUAGUCUCAAAGCAGGUUCUUUACUGCAAGAGAUCAGCCUAGCGACUUAAUUUUUGCCCGUGUCAGCAACUACAGCCCUUAGCUUCCCAAAAAUUUAUCUGAUCACUCGAAUAAAUGGUACCUAUACAUACGAAUGUUCUAACUUGAUUUAGUUUGUUAACAGUGGAAUCUUUACAUAUUAAAAAAUUUCCCUUUAUGGGAGCUAUAGGUCUUUGGCUAGCUAAUUCAGUACUCACUUGUAUUAAAUCUCUUAUGGAUUAGAUCACAUGAUUGGUGAUUAAGCCAAAAGAACUAGGGACCGAAGCCAUUUGGAAGCUCCCGAGUCAAUGUCCAUCUUAUUAAAGAUGCACCAUGUCCACUCUCGGCAGCUGUAUAGAUGUAACUAAAACUGAGUGACAAUAUAUCCCAUCUUCAAGAUAAUUCCCAAGCUACUUAGAUCGCAGACAGGCUUAUUGAAGGUUAAACGUUUCUUUCAUUCUUCUGUUUUGUAUGGUGACUCUUAUACAUCUCCUUCAUCAAGUAUCAAUAAAAAGUUGGAGUCGUAAUUGGAUAUAUGGAGAAGAACAUAUACUCAUACAGUAAAUUUCAUAGUGGAGUUGUUUGAAUGAAAAUUUUGCAAUUUACUAUUUACCAAAUAACAUGCUAGUCAUGCAGAGAAAACUAAGGUUAUUGUCCAAUCUAUUGGGGAGACUACUACUUAACGUAUUAGUAUUCUCAUAACUAUAAAAAGGAUCCCAAUGGAAACUCAAUCACAAAAGAUCCUGAAGAAAUUAAUCCAAAAUUGUACAGGUCACGUCUUUUUUACUUCUCUUUUUUAUGAAAGAAAACAAAAUUACUACUUAUGGUUAAAUCAGACGGUUCAUCCACGACCAAGAAAUGUUUUCUUGGUCAUUAGCAGAAGACAAUACCAACCAGCAGCAACAUUCCUGGUCAUAUAAUUUAAAGGGAUGCUUUCUAUAUUGUAAUGUAAAAAGCUACGAAUAUUGCUACAGUUGUGAUUCAAGGGGAACAGUAUGUGUCUCCCUCCUCGAUCGAAAAAAAUGUACAAAAUCUGGAAAUUGUUUGGUUUACAAAAUUGUAACAAUCACACAGUUCGUGUAAUUGCUCUCCACAGUCCACCACUCUAUCACACUGCACUCAAGCAAGAUACGAGAUCAAGGAAAGCAUCUUGUCUGCAGGGAAUUGUUAGACCACCCAUUGGAUGAUCAAACCCAAAUUCUUAUUCAGCUUCACUUAGCAAGUGUUGAAAUCCAGGCUGGCAGAGGAAAGAUAUGGGAACCACAAAUCGUUGCUUCUCACUCUCACCAACAUAAACUGCAAAAUAACCUUUAGGGACAUCCGCUAAAUUAUAUGAAGCUCCUUGACUUGAAUUUGAAAGACCGUCGAAAAAGUUUCUUAGCAGGAAUUACAGCAGGCAGGCGGAACCCCAUUGUAGAAAAACUUUGGAGGAAAGACUAGCAAUCGAGUUUAUAAAAACUUGAAGAUCUCAAGGAACUAGCAACUGCAAAACAAGAAAGCUAUAUGCUUGAUCCCAUUCAUAUGGUGGUCUUGAUCCCAUUCAUAUGGUAUAUAUAGAUGAAAAGUCUUUCUGAAUUAAUAUCUUCGGCUAAAGAAAAAAUAUAUGGUAAAGACAAAGACAAUUCGAUGAAGUAUAGAAGGGAACAAGAGCUCAUUAGGGACCACAUACAUGGUUCUGUCUUCAAAUUAAUCAAGAAUUUAGGGAAAAUAUGUGGAGCCUCAAUCACUACCAAGGCUUCGGAAGAAUUGGAAGACAGAGCCAUGUGAACUUUGAAAUGCUAAUAUCUAUUGCCCCUCACGACAACUACUAGAGAGUUUUUCCCGACACAUCCAUCGUUUUAUCAGUUUGGGUAUGGAAACUUGUUGCUAUGAUAUAGUAGUUCAACCACAAAUCAAUUUGUAUUGGGUCCAUAUUUAUAGUAUGUUGAACUAGCAACCUGCCAGAAAAUGCCUGUUUUCAGCAUGUCCCUGAUUUUAUAGUUAUGUAUCUAUUCUUCCAAAACGAUUUGUUCGGGCAAAGAUUUCUCUGGAGAGGGCUCCUCGGCUCUUAUCACAGCUCCCUAAGGGAUUGGCACUUUGGAUGUGUAGUCGGGCUCUUGCUUGCUGAUGUGCUACAAGAAGAGGACAAAGUUAGUUUUGAAAGCUGCCUUUGUUAGGCCUUAGGUGUAGGCCUUGAGGCUUACAAUCAAAACUAACUAAGUGCUAGGCAUGCCACUACUAUCUCAGUAUAGCAGAUGUAGAACAAGAUUGUGUUUAAUCAAUUACUUACGCCCCAAGUUACUUGAACUUCUUGUUAUCAAAGGAUUGUCGCGGAUGGGUUAAAUCCACAUUAAGUUCUUUUUCUUGCCUUGUAUAUUCAAAUGAGGGGAGUGCAGAUCCCUUAAGUCAUUUAUUUGGUUCUUGAUUGGUUUUAAAUGAAAGCAUAUCCAUUAAGAUGACCAGAUCCAAAUGCAAAUGAGACUCUUAAAGUAUGAAAACAGAUGGAUAUGACUUGAAUACAUGUUGGAGAAUACAUUAAGUAGUAGAUCUAUUAUCUUAGAAAACAUACAAAGAACUUUAAGCAAGAUUUCACCUUGUCGGGUAAGGUUGAAUCUUCUUACAAUCACUUCUCUUUGAGUUUACAGAGGUUUUUAUGCUAAAAAGGGAUGGAUGGUAAACCAGUUUACCCAAGGGAAUCGACACUACACCACUAGGGGUAAUAGCAGAGCUUUAAACUAGACAAAAGAUAGUUUUUGUGAGGGAGAUAUCCUGAAAAUGAUCGAGAUCUGGGCUGAUUACAGCUUUUAGAUGCAAAUCUGGCUUGAGAGCAGAGUUUGUAUGUUUGUUUGUUUGAUUGGUUUUGUUUGUUUGAUUGGCUGAGUGUCCUUGUCUCUAGGGCUUCUUCCUCCUUUUAUAGGCAGAUUAGCCCGACUGCAGUGAUUUCACUCUUGCCUGAAAGCACUUGAAGGGUAGUGAGUCAACAGCUUUUUACUUGUGUUGCCACUGAAAAGUGCUUUUUGGCUGAUUAUGAGUUAGUCCCUAUCACUUGAUAUUUAAAUCAUAGGCACAUGGCCUAUGCAUUAAUGGGAAUGCACCAAUUUGUCUCUGGGCUUGAUGCUUGGGCCUCGGGCAAGUCUUCCUUUAAUUGGUAUCUCUGGGCUUCCAUACAUUUGCAGCCCAAUGUUCAAAUAUUAACCCAAACAGUGCCCCCUUUAAUCAUUGUUGAGGCUUCAAUCCCAGGUGCUAAUAAUGAUUAAAUAGUCGUCGCACAUUAACAACUGUUGCACGCCUUCACUUGGGACUCGCACUAUUUAAAGCAACCGUUAGUUAACAAGACCUUUGCACUAACCCACAAACUCCACCAUUAAGUAACCACUUAUUAUAAAAUCCUUACUUAACCCCUUCAGCAAAGCACCUUAACUAUAUCGAGCCUUCGAAUUCUCAGAAAUUCCAGUACGCUCUUGCCUUCUCAGUUUUUCAAUCUGUCCCCCCUUAAUUCCAACUUUUCCUCCUAUCUUCCUCUUAAAGUCUUCAAUGGCACCCAAAGUUGCUUGAAUUCAAUCUCCUUACGAGAUUGGUGAGGGGAUUUCCACAAUGCGCCAUCUUUUCAACGGCCUUCAUCACCCUCAGGCAGGCCUACACACCGAACUUUUAUUUGAGGAGAAAAGAGUGCACUCCUUAGGGCCUGUAAGGACUUCUCAGUUAUUGGCUUCUGCAACCUCCUUAGAAAGGUGCACUGCGUCUAACUUCUGUUUCAGGACUUCUAUGGUUUUGGGGAGUAGCCGGACAGCUUUAAUCGUACCGAUAGAUUCCUCGUAUGAAUAUAAAGCUAUCUUUCCUUGCAUUGGUAUCCACAAGCCUAGACAUCCUCAUAGCUUUUUCUUUUUUAAUCACUUCAUCAUCAUAAGUGUAUGCUUUGAGAUCAACUACCAUGACAAUGUUAAAGACUUUGGUAGGACUUGUGGAAGAAGGCUCUGCUAUGGAGGCAAGGAUUACAAAGGUGUCUUCGAUGAUUGAGAGAUUGGAGGAGUCAUGUCCGUAUGAAACAGGCUUACCAGAAGAUUGAAGAAGUCAAUAAAGUAUAUGUUUAAAGUUGAAGAUGCUAAAGCUCAGUUAGCCUUUUCAGGAUAGCUACCUUAGCCAAUGAUGUAAAACUAUUUAUCUGUAACUUCAACAUUAAUGAAAUGAAAAUGACUUCUUCAAUCCUCUUUAACUUGUAUUUUCUCCUUCAAGCUUAACUAUGAUGAGCAUAUAAACUGACUCUUGGAUCCCUUGUAAUGUCUUCUUCAAUGUAACAAUCUCUAACAUCCUAUAAGGUUGGGUGAUAUUUCUUUAAAAACUUAGCAUUGAUUGGAUUCCUCUGUAAGCUUCCUUCCAAAUCUACCAAGUAAUAUCCUCAUUUGUCCAAUACUUGGCUAAUAAUGAAAAGACCCUCUCAUGUCGGGCUCCACUUCCCAAAGCUUCUAAUCUGAGCUCCCAAAGGUAGAAUUACCUUCCAUAUUAACUCUCUUUUCUCGAAGUUCUUCAACUUCACCUUCUUAUUGUAUGCUCGGGCAACAGCCCUCUUCCCCUCUUAAAUUUUAUUUAGAGCUUCUAUUCCGGCUACAUCUAGAUCUUCAACUUUUUGACACAUAGCCUGAAUAUAUUCUUCACUGUGCAACCCAAACUGAUUUUGAACUCACAUUUAUUCUAUCAAAGGAUUCUUGGUAUGGCAAGCCUCACUCAAAUUCUUCUUUGUCUUUCAACCUGAGCAAAUGAGUUAGCGACUGAAUCUUGCCUGCUAAGUUAGCGAUGAAUCUCCUUAAAAAGUUGAUCUUUCCCAGCACCCUUUGCAAUUGUACUUUAUUGGUGGGAGAAGGUGAUUCCAUGAUUGCCCGAGCUUUGUUCUUGUCAAACUUUACACCCCUUUGAUGAACAAGGAAUCCCAAAAAGUUGCCCAACCUUACCCCGGAAACACAUUUCUUUGGAUUCAUUUUUAACCUAUGGAUCCUUAUUCUUGUUAAAGCUUAUAUGAGGUCUAUCAAGUGUUGUUCUUCAAUUUUAGACUUCACCAAGAUGUCAUCAAUGUAUACCUCCACGCUACGACCAAUUAAGUCAUGAAAAAUGGCAUUCAUCGCUCUUUGAUAGGUUGCACCAGUAUUUUUGAUCCCGAAUGGCAUGACUAAGUAUUCAUAUGCUCCCACAUGACCUGGGCACCUAAAAGUUGUUUUGUGUAUAUCUUCUUUAGCCAUUUUUAUCUGAUUAUAAUCGGUAUUCCCAUCCAUGAAAGAUAGGACUUUGUGUUUGGCAACUGCAUCUAUGGACAAGUCAGCCAUGGGCAUGGGAUAUUCAUCUUUAAGCGUGGCUCCAUUAAUGUUUCUAUAGUCAAUAUAACAUUGAACUGCAUUAGUUAAAGCCUUUAAUACAGGUACAAUGUUGGCCAACCACUCGACAUAUUUGGCAGGCUUAAUAAAUCCAGCAUUUACCAGCCUUUCGGUUUCUUCUUUAACUUUCUUUUCGAUCUCUUUCGACAUCAUUCAUGGUGCUUUCUUUACAGCUUUAUAUCCCUCCUUAAUAGGUAUCAUGUGUUCUACUAAGGUUGGAUCUAAACCCUGCAUCUCAGUGUAAUGCCAAGCAAAACAAUCUUUGAACUCGUGCAAAAGGCUAACAAUUCUUGCCCGAUCUUCCACUUCCAACAAGCUACUAAUCUGUAUAAGCCUUAGAUCUUCCUUAGACCCCAAAUCAUAGUCUCCAAGGGGUCUUGCACCUCUAGUGGUGGCUUGUCAAGUUUUGCACAUAAAAACUCAACUAACUCUGGAUUCUCAGGUAAGUCUUUUAGUUCAUCCAAGUCAUAUAUACAUUUAGACAUUUGUAUGGCCGUUUCUAACUCUUCUUCACCACUGUUCUGGAUACUUAAGGUUGCUUCCUCUUGUUCCUCAGUCAAGCUCUCUCUUCCAUACAUUAACAGUCUUUUGAUUAAGGACCUAACUGCAAUUACUUGGUCAUUCUUUCUUUGUUCCGACAUUACUAGUUUUGGGGAGUUGGGAAAAUAUGGGGUUUAUCCCAUUCUUCCCAGGUGAGGAACAAUCUUUGCUCCAAAAGCUUUUGGGCUGUCACUUUAGUCGGGCUACCGCUCUCAUCAGCUCCUAAGCUCUGGAGAAUCCCAAUGCUAGGAUUAUAAAAGUUGGCUUCUGCCACAUUGACAAUGGGAAGGAAUGGUCGUGACUUGGCCUCCACCAUCUCCCAAAAUCCUAGUCCCAUUGUUCAUUCCUCGUGGUAAACUGCCACUUGUUGAUGUAGGGUGGAAAGCACUGAAAGACUCUGAUGAAUCCAAUCUCGGCCCAGUAAAGCUCCAUAUAUGGAAAUACUAUCCAUAACUAAGAAGGCUAGCAUGAUCUGCUUGGAACCCAAGUCAACCUCCAAGGGUAAUAUCCCAUGAGUUUUAAUGAUGGUUCCAGAAAAACUGGAAACUAUUAAGUCCAUGGGGAUGAGAUACUACUUACUUCUACAUACCCUUUUCAUCUGCUUGAAAGGCAACACAUUGAUCGUGGCUCAUCCAUCAAUCAAAACCCUCUUGAGGGGUACUCCUUUCAGAUGAGCAGUUACAUAAAUGGGCUUAAAAUGGUUGGCUAAGGUCAAACUCGAGCAACUGAAGACCAUUAUGUCAAUGUACACUCUAUCAGGCUCUUUCCUUGUAAGCUUGGGCAAACUUGCUCUGCCCGACUCCUCUUUUCCUAUUUCUUCAACACUAAUAUGUGUCAUCAUAGGUUCUGUUGCUAAGUAAUCACCCUCAAUUGUGGCAGGUUGAUCAGGCUCAGCACAAAACAUGGCAGAUAAAACAUAUGUCAUGUUUACGUAGACGUUGCUAGGUCUAGAUAAGUCGUUUUUAAACCCAAUAUGGCCCAUGAACUCAUCCAACCAAGACUGUGUUUUUGCAGGCAGCAUUAAUUCAGGCAACGUUUCCUAUUGAGUUAUGCCACAGUUUGACACUUGUCAUAGGACUUCAUAAAGAGUAUCAACCAACAAUGGUGCGAGCAACCCCCUCUCCAGUGAGAUAGUUGCAAAGCUUAUUGGUUAUGGGCUUCAUCUUGGCUUUGGCAUCAUUACCAUAUCCUCUUGAGCUCUUCUCAAGAUUUUGUAUUUCCAAGGACAAGGGUUCUGUGCACAUGGUCUCCUUCCCCUUCGGUCUUGCUAUUAGUUUUCUCCACCACUUUCUUGGUUCUCCAAUGGAGUUGAUUUCUUCCCCCAUCAGGUUCCUUCUCAAACUUUACAUUCUCAGAGGUUUUUAAGGUAGUGGGGACUUCCAAUGAGUUCAUGUGGGCACUGUGUUGCCUCUGAACUCUCAUAAUCAUAGAAGCUCCUAUUUCUUUUACGGGUUUCCUGUCCUUUCCAACCACAUACCAUUUUCACCCGAGUCGAGCAGGAUUUUUCUUCGUGACUGGAUUCACUAUCAUUUCCCUUCUUCUGACAUCUCUACUGGCAUAGCUUAGUUAGGGUGGCCUCACAUCCACCCAUCUUGGCACUUUGGCUUCUCUAUCCUCCAUUUAUUCAGAAGCUUCAUAAUUUCUGAACACUUCUAACAAGUCUUUUGGUUGAGAGUCCACUCCCAACCUUUAGAAAACAUUCUUAGAGGUCUCUUUCUCAACUGCCCACAUGACAUUUUUGCGGGCUUCUUGCUCUUCUCUUUUCUUCUGAUCAGCUCCUGAUUUAUAAUGGCUCAUGACGCUGGGACUUCCAACUCACACUCGCAUUGGCACUUGUUACAAAACACCACUCAUUUGAUUAUGGUUGUUUUGGGCCUCUCCGGCAACUUGAUAGCUCCUUCAGUCGGCCUAUCAGCUUGCCUCCGUUCUGCUUUCACCUCCCAGGUAGCUUUUCCUUUCCCAUUUUCAGCCCACGUUAAGUUGAUCAUGUUUAUUGGGGCUUCUGGGAAAGGGUCAGUGUCAAUCAUCAUAUUGGCCUGUAGUUUCUCUAGCUACAACUUUUCUUUCAUUAUAAAGUCUUGUAUCCAAUCCCUGAACUGGACACAGUUGGUUAUGGAGUGAUUGAAAGUGUAAUGCAGCUUGCAAUACUUCUUUCCUCUCAGUUCUUCGUGCUUGGGCAGCUUUUUGGUGUUGUCGAGCAUAAUCACUCUCGCCGGAAUCAACUCCUCAUAGAUCUCUGUGGCCUUGGUCAAGUCAAAAUAAUAACUCUGGUAUUUGGGGGGCUUCAUGGGGACAAAUCCACCAUCAUUCAUGACCACUUUAUGGUCCUUGGCUAGCUGGACUAACCCUUUCACUAUUAAAGGCUUAAAAGGGGUAGUCGGGGUAGUCGUCUCUGCCGCACACAUCUCUGGGCUCCCACACAUUUGUAGCCCAAUGUUCAAAUAUUAACCCAAACGGGAUUUAAUUAUGCAAAUUUUAAUUUGAUCUGAUGGCAUCUGUGGUUAUAACUUGGAGACAAGUUCAUGUGAUUUUCCAUGAGCUAAUCUCUCUCAUGGUACCAUCAUGGUGCCUCUACCAAUCAGUCGUUUCAAAUAAUAGAUGGUUUAUGACAUAUACCCAUUUAUCUAUAUAUUUUAUGGUCUGGCUCAGAAGAAAAUCUCAAAGCCUUCUCUCAUUUUUAGAAGUCAACUGAUAUUUCCAUUGUUGCUUAAUUUUCUCAUUAAGAAAUUUUAAACUAUGGGCUUCUGGUUACUGGACACUGUUCAUGCUAAGAAAUUUCAAGUUUCUUCAAAGGCCUAGGAUAUUCCUAAUGAGAACUAUGAUGUAUUACUAUUUUUUAUUCUCUUGGUUAUCUUAUAUAUCUUAUGUUUGGGUUCUAGUGAACACUUAUGUAUUUGUUCCAAUGUCUUUGUAUCACUUGUCAAUUCUAGGUGUAUAUCAGGAUUCGGGCGUGACACCUCUCAACCAUGAUAGAUCGAACAUAAAAGGAGAGAUUUGUUAGCCUACGACUUUAUAUGCUCCGCUAUUGAUUAAAUACUUUGUAUCCAUACAAUCUCUGCUAUGCUAAGUAAUAACCGCCAUAUAGUAAGGCUUAGCUAAGUUCGCUAGCUAAAGCAGUUAGCUCUUAAACUCUUCGGUAUAAUACGAAUGAAACCGUGUAAUUAUAAGUUGUAAAUCCUGAACUGAGAUUUUCAACAAAAACAUGGUACAUCACAAUUCUAAAUAUUAUAAAAUUGAGCUCUUAUUUUCAAUAGCAAAUAGUAUUUCCCUUACAAAAAUGCUAUGAUCAUUUACUAAAAAAUUACUGCAACUUUUAUGUACAUCAUUCAAAAAUAUAGUUUUUACUCCCCACAAAAAUUUUCACAAGUACUUCCUAUAGCCAAUGUUACCAAAUCAUGUAAUUCUUCAUGAACCACGGUUGGCCUGGACAGUAGUAGGUAAGAGAUACUUGUAUUGUAAACAAACUAUAUAGAAACUAAAAUCUUUCUCUGUAAGCUUUCUUUUGUAUUGAAUGAAUAACUCAUUACAUUGUGACAGUAUAUAUAGCCUUUGGCUAUUUACAUUCACACCCUUAACAACCUUAACUAAUCACAACAAUUAAUAUAACUAACUACAUUUAGUUAUAAAAAAAAACUAUUUAUCAGUAACUGAAAUGGAUGACUUUUUAUGACUUGCCAUUCCUCCCAAUCCCCCUCAAGCUAAAAUUGGGAUCAAAGAUGAUACCAAGUGGAAGCUUGGAUUGCAAGUGAGCAAACCUGCUUUUAGACAAAGACUUGGUGUGUAUGUCAACCAAUUGAUAUUCAUUGCAAAUAAACUGCACUUUAACUAGAUUGGCAAGCACUAAUUCUUUGAUAUAGAGUAGUCUAUCUCAACGUGUUUUGUUCUUGCAUAAAAUACAGGAUUGGAAGCUAAAGAGAUAGCUGAUGUCACGCCCCAAUCCCGACAUACGUCCAGGAUCGACAUGUGACAUCACCAAGUAUCUAUAUCUCUAACAUACCCCGCCUUCGGGAUAUGUGCAAACACAACUCACAAUUCAACUACGUAGUAAUUUUUUGUACCCUUUAUGGCUGUAUCUAACCUCCUCGAUAGACUUCCUACGUACCCUACACAAGGAUCAAGCCAUUCGUAGUUCAUCCAAACAUUAUCCUCAACUUUUAUCACAGUACUUUUAAGUGGAAAAAUCAUAGCACUCAUCAAUCAAUUAUUAGAACUUGACAUGCUUGAAUUACUAGGUUUAGGGUUACAUAACAAUCCCACAUGACCAUUAAUAUUUCCACUUCAUCCAUCACAUAAAUCAUAAUGUUUCUACACAUAAAAUCACAAUACAUAGCAUGUAACAUAUUAAAGAAUCAAUAAAGCACAAUAUUAUUUUCUAGCCACAUCGAUCAACUAAAAUAAUCAUACUAAUAAUAAUCAUAUCCAGCGUCAUUCCACAAUCCUGUCAAUUAAUCAAUUCAUGAAUCAAAGAUGCACGAUCUUAGCAUUUAAUUACGUUAAUCAAUCAAUGCGAUAACAUAUCAUUUCACGAAUUUAACCAAGGAACUCUAUAUAAUUCCCUACUUGGAUUAUGAGUAAUAAACAUGAUAAUUCUAAUUUUUAUUCACAAGAUCUAUUGUGGGUAAUUCUCAUUCACUCGAAUCUAGGGUUCUAGACUAAUCUUAUGGGAGUUAGCAAAAGCAAGGAUUCCAGACCACUCAACGGAAUCCAACAACAUCAGGUUCCAGACCACUCAACGGAACCAAAAUACCAAAUGGUUUCUCAUAAUCUACCCAGACCAAUCAUAUGUAAAACCAGUGGCUACAUUAAGGGAAUGCUGCACUGGCAAAUCAGAACUCGGUUAAGCCGCGAAGCUCAGGUGAGUGACAAUAAUGCAAGUAUGUGAUAUUCAAUAAAAACAGACCAUCGAUCACAAUCUAUAAACAUCAAGUAUAGAAUCAUGCUUUAUGAAAUCAUAAUCAAGUCGCUGAAAACACCGAAAGAGUCACCUAGACAUCCAACAGCUUUUCUAAUUCAAACCACAAGAUUCUUAAAAACCAUCGUCCAUAUGUACAUUAAAAAUUAGGGUUAGAGGCAUGCAGUUCGGCCGAAGCCUACAUAAGUAAUCAAAUAGGAAGUGCCCCCCCCCCAAAGCGGAUUAACCAAGCAGAGCCACCCCUGAGAAAGUAACCAAGUAGGCAGUGACCUCCCAAUACAGAUUAACCAAGCAAAGUCACUCAUACAGCUGUUAGGAAGUGAUCACUCAAUGCGGAUUAACCAGACAUGAUCAAUCCUAAGCAUACAUGGCCAUAAGGAUCGCCCAACGCGGAUUAACCAAGCGCGAUCCAUAUAUAGUAUGGUCCCCCAAUGCGGAUUAACCAAGCAGGACCACUAGUGACCCCCCAAUGCGGAUUAAUCAAGCAAGGUCAAGAUAAUCAGGUAGGUAGUGACCCCCCAACGCGGAUUAACCAAGCAGAGUCACACCUAUAGAAUUGUUAGGAAGUGAUCACCCAAUGCGGAUUAACCAAGCAUGAUCACCCCUAAGUAUAAAUGGCCAUAAGGAUCGCCCAAUGUGGAUUAACCAAGUGCGAUCUAUAUAUAUUAAGGUCCCCCAAUGCAAAUUAACCAAGCACGACCAUUAGUGACACCCCAAUGCGGAUUAACCGAGCAGGGUCAUAGUCCUCUACUAGCCCUUAAUUUACAAAACAUUUCAAUAUGCAAUUCGAAUCACUUUUUCACAAAUAUUACCAAUCCAUGAAUCAAAUCACAUCUAAUAAAAAUAGAUCGAUGACCAAUUAUAAAAGAAUCACAUUUUAACAGAAAAUACAUUUAUAAAACCAAGUCAUAUCCGCUAAGGAUAUUAAUAUAAAGAAUUGGGUAAUCACCAUAUCACAUAUAUUAAAGUCACUCACCGAGACUAGUCCGCAAGGCUUCACUGAGUCUCUAGUAAUACUAAUUUUAGUAAUUCAAAUGUUUCAAGACCUGUUGACCAAAAGUCAACGAUGGGGGUCCACACCCUAGCAAUUUAAUUCGGAAGAUCCACACAUCGUAAUCUAGAUCUGUAACUUCCUAAGGUCCACAAUAUGCUCAAAGAACAACAUACUAAAAUCUCAUCGCAAUCCGACAGUCAGAUCUCCGCCAAUUGCUAGAAUUAGGUGGCGGUUAACAAUUAAUUUUACUAACUUAGAAAUCUAAUUCGGAAAGAUCCGUACGUCAGAUUCCCAAUCCGUCAAUUCCAAUUAUCAUCAAAUAUUAUGUUCCAUAAUGCAUUAGGGUUUGGUGACGAUCCAACGGUCGGAUUGCCGAAUCAGAUUUUGAUCAAGUAAUGUAUUGUAAUGAAACUAACUUCAAACAACCAAAUUACAUCAUACGGAUAUCAAUUAUGGAAUUAGGGCAUCUAAUUCAACUCAGGAAGACAUCAUUGGCCCACUGGCUCUGCGCCGCCGCACGCGCCACCAUGGGUGGUGGUCGACCACCCAAUUUGUCAAAAAAUUCAACUAUUUUAAAAAAUUACCAAAUUUUACAAACAAUUAGAUCUCAGUGAGGGGAUAAAUUUUCAUGCCUAUGGCCAAGUCUAAUUCAACCGGGAAGUGUCCCAAUUUCAUCCAAACUUGCCGGAAACCCUAGAAAUAGGUGUUCCUCGAUUCAUCACCAAAACGAACUCUGACGCCUCAUCCAAUGCUUGGGCCUUGCUCCAGGGGUUGAGGGGAGUCUAUUGGUAGUGGUGAUUGACGGUAAUCAUUGUCGGAAUCACCGUAAAAUGAGAAAACUCGCUAAAAAACCCUUGGCACUUUGUGGCUUUGACCUAGACAAAUGGAAAGGAACAAUGGAAAUCUAACACUACAAGGAUAUAUGACUCAUCAAGAGCUUUCCAUAGACACCAAGAUCACCCAAAAUGGAAGUCGGAUGAAGAAGAUAUGGUCGGGUCAAAAAUGGUGGUUCGCGGGUGAAAAACAACCCAUUUUCCUUUCCCCUCCUUUUCUUGUUUUCUGAUUGAGCUAUCCCCUCGUUUUCUCUCCCGCACUCUCUCCUUUCUCCCCCCUCCCUUGUUGCCACUUGGCAACUUCUAAACAUUUAUUUAUUUAUUUUCCAACAACUAAAAUGUCUCUAAUUUCUUCGUUAUAACUCCAUUUCAUGAACGGUUUUCGCCUACGUGUUCAUGAGAUCAAGUUCUAUUCGAAAAUAUAAAUUAUGACCACGAAAGGUCUACAGAAUUUAAAUAAUUAAUUUUCAAAACUUCAACCCUCAUUUUAAAUUAUGCCAAGAAACAAUCAACAUUUUAAAUUAAUAUAAAUUCCCGAAAAAUAAUAUAAAAUCGCAAUAAUACAAUUACGUAGAUUAUAAUAGUGAAACCCAGGAACGGGAUUUCGCAGUUGAGAUAUUGUCACACCACAAGGUAGGCAUUUUAAGGGGAGGAAACUGAAGAUCAUGGAAGAUUUUACAAAUCCAAGUGAUCUUUGCAGCUAUGUAAGCUAAGGAUUGAUACUCAACUUAUGUGGAAGAUCGAGCAACUGUGCAUUGUUUCUUGGCACUCCAACUUAUGGCAUUUGAUCCAAGAAACACACAUUAUCCAUUUGUUGAUGUCUGUCAAAUGUGCAUCUUGCCCAAUCAGCAUCUGAGUGUGUUGAAAGAUGAAUAAGACCCUUUUUUGAACCAUAAACCAUGAAUGAUAGUGCCUUUAUGAAAUCUGAGUACUCAUUUUGCAGCUUGAAGGUGUUGAUCCCUUGGAGCAUGCAUGAAUUGACAUAUUUGGUUCACAACAAAUGAAAGAUCAGGUUUGGUCCAUGUAAGAUAUUGCAAUCCUCCAACAAUUGAAUGACACUUAGUAGGAUUGAGCAGAAGAGGCCCAUUGUGAUCCAGUUUCUUAGAACCAAGAGGAGUACAACAAGGUUUUGCACCUUCCAUUUUGUUUUCUUGAGAAGAUCAAGCAAGUAUUUAGUUUGAUGAAGAAAAAUACCUUCAGAUGUUCUAUGCACUUUCAACCCAAGAAAUCGUGUAAUAGACCAAGGUCUUUAACAGGAAAAUUGGCAUUGAGUUUUUGAAUGAAAGAUUGACAGAGAUCAGUGUUUGGACCAAUGACUAAAAUGUCAUCCACAUAAACAAGAACAAUAACCAAUGCAAGUACAUUAAGAAUAGACAAAGAUGCAUCUGAUGAAGAUUGCUUGAAUCCAAGAGUGAGAAGUAAUUGGAAUAGUUUGUCAAACCAAGCUCUAGGAUCUUGUUUGAGACUAUAAAUGGAUUUUCUUAACUUGCAAACAUGGCUUGGAGAUGUUGGAUCAACAAACCUUGGAGGUUGUUGCAUAUAGACAUCCACCUUUAAAUCUCCAUAAAGGAAGGCAUUGCUUAUGUCUAAUUGGUUUAAAAACCAAUUGUACUGAACUACAAAAUGUGAGCAAAACUCUAACAGCGACUAUCUUUGCAACUGGACUAAAGGUUUCUUGAAAGUCUACUCUUACUGAACCUGUUCUCUCCCUUCAUUUUAACUUUUAUUAAUAACAAUAGUUUAUUAGGGAGAAUGCCAAGUCAUCCAUUAGGGAGAUUGCCAAGUCACCCGGUUCUCUCCCUAAUAAACUAUUGUUAUUAAUAAAAGUUGGAAUGAAGUGGAGAGAAUAGGUUCGGUAAGAGUAGCACAAAGCAUACUAACGAGAGUGGUCAGCCUCAUACCAGGCAAGGUACUCAGGGUUAGGAGAAGUAGUGACCACUGGUGGAACAACUAUAGAAGUAUCAGAAUCAGCAGAGACAGCAGAGGAGGCAACUGGAGCAGUGGUGGUGAUGACCGGACGAGACGAAUAUGAACCAUGAACAAAAUGCCAGAAAUGUUGGCCAGUUAAAAAUUGCUUGACCUGACUCUCCCAAGGAAGAUAAUUUGUUUCAGAUAGUUUGACAGAAGCCAAGGUAGAGAUAUUGGGAAUGGUGAUUGAGGAGGAAGAUGCGGUUGCGGAAGCCAUGGAAAGAAAAAGGACCAAAGCUCGAAUACCAUGGGAACUUUCUAUAUUUCAUUGAUUAUAAAAUAGGGCCUAACAACCUUAUCUACAAUUAUAAUCUUCAAUUACAUUCUCCUUCAGUGAGUACAUUUUGCACUCACAGAAGGGAAAAAUAUUUGUACAGUAUGUAGAAAAAAUUUUCUUUACAAAAAUGUAAGCAACUCAUGUAUUUACAAUGUAUUCAAAACUGAGAAAUAAUAUCAAUGAAGGUAUCUUGUCUGCGGGGAAUUGUUAGACCACCCAUUGGAUGAUCAAAUCCAAAUUCUUGCUCAGCCUCACUUAGCAAGUCUUGGAAUGAAGGUUGGUUAAGGUGUGAUACAGGAAUGACAAACCGCUGUCUCUCGUUCUCUCCAACAAAAACUGCUAAAUAACCUUUUGGGACAUCUGCUAAACUAUAUGAGCCACCCCGACUUGGAUUUGAAAAAGACCGCCGAAGAACUUUCUUUGCAUGAGUUACACUUGGACAACGGAAACCCAUGGUUUUAUGUCUCUCUAGAAAAAUGUAUGGUGCAAGUUUAUAGGAGCAAGAAGAAGAAAAGAGUUGAGAAGAUACAGAGACUUGAAUGGAUGGCAAUGAAAGUCUCAUGAAAUAUAUGUAGUUAAAGUUUUAUGUAGGAUGUCCCCUGUUGAAAGAAAUAUGUGGUGACGAUUAAGACCACCUUGAUGGGGCAUAGAAGGGACACUGAUCAAAUGGUGCUAUUUUCCACCUCAACUUCAAUAUUUUAGGUGAAAUGUUAAUGGAGUUGCUAAACCAAGAGAGUUCAAUCUACUUAGUAAGAUAGCAGAUUUUUCCUUUAGUUUCUGAGAAUGAGUUGAAAGUGCUUGAUCGUCUAAAAUUGAAUCAUCAGUGUUCCUUCUCUCUAGUGUUCCAAUAAUACGGUUUUCUGGUUAGAUCACAUAGAGUCAAAACAAGAUGAGAUCUAAUUUCGUUUACUCGUUGAUGAAUCGAGGAAGCCACAUCCCUUCUUAUACAUUAGGCCCCAUAUGCCAGAUUUUCAUAGCACCACACAUUCUUGUUUGUCAAUUAGCAUUUAUUAAAAUUUGAAAGAAACGCAAUUUAUCCACAAAUUCUUGUUUGAUAGGGCAUACGAUGCACUACUGUUGGUCCACUGGUUUAACAUCCAGUGUGCAAGCAAUUGAUUAUUCGAGAACACGUGGAUGCAACAAAGGGUUAUCCAGUUGUUAGGAGGCCUAAUCCAGAAAAGUAAUUCGUGAUUAGUGAUUACCAGGCAUGUCUAAAGCAAAAUGCCUCUUAUCUAACAGGCGUAAAUAACUCCACUGGAACAAAAUUCACACCUAGUGGUCCUUGUGUUGCCUGUUAUCCGGAGGAGGUAGGGAAUGCUGCUUCCACACAACAAUCUGUCAGAAAAAUCUGUCGGAGUAGGAGUUACGUUGGGAGUUAGGUGAGCAGCAAGACAAGACCAUGUGAUUUGGUAUAAGCUAGUUUCCCUCAUCGUUUGUUUUUGCAGCGCCUCUUGACCAAUAAUUUCAUGUACCAUAUGAGUUUUUCGCAUACCCUUUCAUCUAUAUAUACACGUGAUCAAGUUCACAAUGGCAUUAGCAACUCAAGUCUCCACCAUCCUAAGAAUCAAAGCAUUCUCUUUUUUCCAAGUCCUUCCAAUUCCUUUUCUAGUUCUUUUAUCCCCUUGAGAACAAAAAUCCAUGGGUUUCCGGUUGCCUGGAAUUGUUAGCGCCAAGAGAAGUCUCAUCCGGUCUCUAUCUAAUUCAAAACAGACAGCUUCAAAGACCUUAGAUAUCCCAAAAGGCUAUUUUGCUGUGUAUGCUGGGGAGAGACAGAAGAAGCGGUUUGUGAUUCCAAUAUCAUACUUGAAUGAUCCUUUGUUCCAAGAUUUGUUGAGUCAAGCUGAAGAGGAAUUUGGAUAUGAUCAUCCCAUGGGUGGUAUCACAAUACCUUGCAGCGAAUACACUUUCCUUCAUCUCACUUCCCGUCUAAGUGUGUGAGUGAACACUAAAGAAGUGAAUAUGCGAUCCACUUUCAUGUCCAAAAGGAUCCUCACUUUGGAACUCACUGAGCUACGAUGAAGGAGAGGCUAUGGUCAAUCAUCCAUUGAAUCAACUCACAUCCAGUGUUGAGGUGAAGCCAUCAGUAAUACUGAAGCAGCCAGCUGUGAUCUGAGAAGAAAGUCAGAAAAUUAAUGAAGCCGACAAACGAAGAUACUCAUUCAAGAUAUAAUCAACAAAACCCAACUUUCCAAAAACGAUGACUCAAAACUUUUCCACAGGCGCCGUUCAGAGUAUCUGACAUGGGAAUUUAAAUUAACCCAAUUGGUUUUAUGUUGGCUGCUCUAAGUCAAUUAAAUGUAAACUGCUCCGCUGCUCUUGAGCAAAAUAUAUUGGAAUAUGAAAUAAAUUUAUAUCUUGAUCCAGUUUUUUUGUCUUGAUAUUUUAAUUAUACUUCUAGCUUUGGUGCCUUAAAAAAUAAUUAUACAAUGUUAUCUGUUAUAUAAUUAAAUUAUCAAUGACAACAGAUUUUCUCAAGAAAUGACUUUCAAUUAGUUAUACUUUGUACUUCAUAUAAAUCUGUGGUGCCUCAAGUAUUAGUGUUGGGCUUCCACUCAAAUAAAGUUACCAGAUAUAUGUGCUAGACACAAAUAAUAUGGGGAAUUUCUACACUAUUUGCCUUUUAUCCGAUAAUUUAAUCCUAUGACUGGGUAAAAUGUUUUCACCGUGUCAGUGCAACUUUCAGAUAAAAAACACUGGGAUUGUCGUAGAAUUUUUUUUGAAAUUUUCCAAAUAAAGUCUUUCAAAAUUCACAACUAAAUGGAUCGGCCCUUAUAGUAGGUAAUACUUAACAUACAGGUCUUAAUAGACUUGGAAACAUUUAUCUGGAAAAGUUGUAUAUGGCAGCAAAUUGUGUUUGGAUUGACAAGAGACAUAAGCAUUGAAGGAUCACAUGGCUGUGUCUUCCGUCGCAGUCUAAAAAAUUUGGUAGCAGUUGAGUCUAUAUACUUGUUGGUGGACCUUGUGCCCUACCAAUUUUAUGACUACCUGCAAACCACAAAACUUAUUUGAAAUUUUAGAGAUGUGUGGAUAGGAAAAUCCCCUUGAGACUUCCUUUCAAUACAGGAUUUUCAGACGCAUUUGUCUACGAUUACUUAACAGAACCAGAUUAGCAUUCUUUUGAUGGCAUCAAUCUUACAAUUUCAGACGUAAUAUGACAAGUUAGCGGCAGUAUGUACCUACUGCAUGUCCAAUAUGAAUCACUUUACGUACGUAAAACUCUCAGCCAGCCCAGGAACAUUGCCUCACCUGAUUAAUCAACUUUUUCCUGCAAAUUGUUCUUUCAAGAGUCCGGUAGGCAAUUAAAUAUUUCCUAUUUCAGGUCCACUGAUAUUUAGCUUCAAAUGGUGCUCGAACAUUAAAUCAGUACAAUUUGUUGGUUACUGUCUCAUGGAAUCUUCUAGAUUGCCAAAAUAAAAGAAAACACCUCCACAGCUUGUUGAGAUCGACAGGAUACUAGAUGAAACAACAAACCCACAUGCUAGGGGUGGAUUUUGGUUUGGGUAGAGCCAUGAAGUAUGGAGUGCCAUUGGUGUCUUCAUUGAGUGAGUAAAUGCAAUUUAUUAGUAGACCUAAUUAAGAAUUUUUGGAGUACUAGUCCAAUUAAUCGGCAGUUUGAAUUGGUGGUCACAUAGACAAGUUCCUGUCUAAAUCAUAUAUGCCUCUUACCCAAGGUAUAAAAUAUCAAUCAUAUCGGAAAUAUCGGUAGUCCAAAAACACGGAAAUAUCGAUGAAAAUAUCGGGAUAUUAUCGAUAUCGAUAAAAAUUGAAUAAAAACCACGGAAAUUGUAAGAAAAACUUGGAAAUUUUUAUUGAAACUUUGCAGGGUGUUUAUUUAGUCAAUUAUCUAUUAGUUUAUCACAAAAAAUUGGAAGGAAAUGCAUUGCAUGAUGGAUUUAACUGAUUUAAGUUGAUUAUAUAGCGAGCUGGCAAACAUUGUGAGUGUAGAAAAUAUGUAGUAAUUAAUGAAAGAAGUUUAAACACACCAUAAUCAUUUAUAUAUAAUGAAUUAGUACAAUAUUUUACACUUUAUACAUUGCAUGGUAAGAUACAUGAGUGACUUAGUACCACAUAGAGUUCCUAUGAGGUUCAAAUUUUUCACUAUCUUCAUCAUCUCUAUGUGUAGAGUAAGUGUAUUGUGAAGAGUAGUUAUCAAAUGAUAAAUCCCCAAAAUAGUUUUGCAUGUAAUUGUUAACAUACCACCCAUAUGGAUCCAAGAUUGGUUGACGUUGUCCAUAAGCAAAAUCAUUUGAAGAUUGAGUCUCGGAUUCUUUCCAUGAGUCGCUCGAUUCCAUCCCAACAGGAAUGGGAUAUGAAGGGUAGGGAAAUGGUUGGUUAUGAGUAUAAUCAUAGUUACUACUUCCCACUCCAACAGAGUCCGAAGUUAUAAAUAACGAGUCAUCUUCUUGACUUAACAAAAUCCCCUUGCCUCUUUCUCUACGAGUAUAGUCUUUCCCUAUGGCACUAAUUCCUGGUCUUGCCCGCCUACUGCCAUGGUCCUCAUCCUGUGUUGCAUGCGUGAAGUUUGCCUCACCAGUGAAGGGGCUCAUAAAUCCGGGAGGUGGUCCAACAUAGUUUCCAUAUCCACUACUACCUCCAGCUCCACCUCCGGUGGUAGGUGAAACCACCAUUAUUUUGUCCACGGUAUGAAAUUGUACAAGUUGUAAUUGUAAAAGUUGUCAGGGUUUUGAAUUAUUUAGAUGCUUUUGAAUGAAACCACCAUUAUUUUUGUCCAUGGUCUGAAAUUGUACAAGUUGUAAUUGUAAAAGUUGUCAGGGUGCAAACCACACACGCACACAGACACACGCCACCACACACGCACACAAACAUCACACAUGCACACAGAGACUCUUGAUCAUUUUCUCCUCCCUUCUCUCUUCUCCCUUCUCCCACACACACACACAGAGAUUUCUCGAUCCUUCUCUCUUCUCCCUUCUCCCACACACACGCACAGAGACCUCAGUCUCUUGAUCCUUCUCCCACAUGGCCUUCUGCUCCUCCUUCGCCUUCCUCCUCAUCCGCGUCUUCCGCCUCGUUGGCGCCGUCUCUCUCUCGAAACUCUCAUCUCUCUCCUUUCUCUCUGCACCAAGACCCACAUACACACACGCACAUCAUCGCACCUGCUUGAGGAAGACACCCAUCGUCAUCAGCAACCUCGUCUUUCUCCCUCUCCUUCUCGUCUCUGCAACUCGACGAACGUAGGAACCCUCCGGCGAGUUUCUUGAAUUUUUCCAUUUAGGUAAGCUUCGGUUUACCUCUUUCUGUUCUAGAUUGAAGCUUAGAUGUGAAAUUUAAGUUCUAUCUCGUGUUUUUGCAAGGUUUUUGGGACGAAAUCAGCUCGGGAAUAGGCACAUCCAUCUCCGGCGAGGCCGUGGGUGUCGACGAACUUUCCGAACACCUCCGACCGUUUCAUGACAAACGGAAGUUAUAAAAACAUUUCUCUCAUCUUGUAUUUCAUUUUGAUACCUAGAUCGAAGUCUAGGGUGCUCUUUUACAGUCGCCCGGAGCUGUAGAAGCUCCGGCGUUCUUCUCCGAUUCGUACAUCUCUAAAAUAUCGCGAUAUUAUCGGUAAUAUCGCGAUAUUGUCGAUAUUAUCGAUAAUAUUGUGAUAUUUUGACGAAACCUCAGUGGAUAAGUAUUAAAAUAUUGGUAACUCAAAAAAUCGAUAUUAUCGGCGAAAUAUCGCCUAUAAUAUUGGCAUUUCAGACCUUGCUCUUACCUAACCCACAUGAUUCUUUGGGAUGGAAUCACAUUUGGUGGUCCUUCUUGUUUGUUAUACAUAUGUGGUAGGGAAUAGGGAUGGGCAAUGGUUAUGGCGGGCGGGUAACCGCGAUUAUUUACCCAUAACUGUUUAUGCUCGUACUCGCAUAACCGUUUACCUGUUGGGUAAUUGCCUAAACGAUUAUGCCCAUACCCAUAACAGUUUAUAAACGGUUAACCAUACCCAUAACUAUAUACCCAUUUAACCGUAACCGUUUAAUACCUGUUUACCAACUUUUUAACCCGUUUAUCUUUUCUUUUUUUUACCGUUACCCAUUUUUUCACCCAUCUACAUGUUUUUUAACAACUUGAAAAUUAAAAAAAAAAUUGUCAUAAUUUUCUUUUUUUUUGACACUUAAACACCGUUAUAGGUACAUUCAUCAUACAUUUCCAUAUUUUAAUUUUUGAAGUCCUUAUAUCAUUCGAAUAAUUGAAAUAAUAGUUUACAGACGAUAUUUAUAACUGUUACCAAUGAAGGUAAAAAUAAUAUUUUCUAAGUAUUAUUGGGUUACAAAAUUGUUUAGAAGACAUUUCUGUCAAAACAUUUAUGUCAAUUUCAUGGUUACCCACAAGGAAUUUAAAUUAAUUUGGCCAAUUCCUUGAUGAUGAGAAUCAUCAUUCAUGUAGCAGUGUUAUUGAGAGAAGAACCGAUGAAUUCCUUGCUAAUUUAUUGGAUGCUAAGUAUUAUUGGAUCGAGAAUAUGGUUUGUGUUAGUUUUACCUAUAUAAAUAAAUGGGUAAACGGUUACCCGUUUAUAACUGAAGUUAAUACCCAUAACCGCUUAUUUAAAUUUCGCGGGUAAACGGUUAUACCCAUAACCAUUCAUUUAUCUAAACGGUUACCCAUAACCGUAACCGUUUAAUUUAAAUGGACGAGUAACUGCAGUUACCCAUAACCAAUGAUUAUUUGCCCAUCCCUACCAAUGAUCAUGUCGGCCUAUCUUCAUUUUUGCAACAUUUUUCUUGAUUAGUUGGAAAGACAAGUCCAUGUGAUUUUCCAUGAGAAAAUGAAUAAAACACAUGGCUCUGCUACGGUCCUUCACCAAUCGUAUAUUUUUUCCAUGACCGAUGUCCUUGAAAAAUUGGAAGACAUAACCAUGUGAACAUAAUUGCUUGAGCAGCUGGGUCUCUGGCCCGUCCGCAUUCAAUUGCCUCCAACUUGUACACGAACGUAUCAAAUUCCUAACCUAUAUCCGAACCAAAGAGAUUGAGUCCUCACAUUUUAUAUAAGCUAAAACUGUUGAAAUAGCACCAUGGGAAAAAAAAUCUUGUCUCAAGCAUGUCUUUGAUUUUUUUAUAGACCUUCAUUUAAGAGAGGCUGGACACUGGGUUGCUUUCGUUUGGUCAUCGACUCGUGAAGUGUUGUUGAUAACUUGUAGACAAGUCCAUGUGAUUUUUGAUGAGCAAACUCUCUCUCACUUGGGUCCAUCCCAGUGCUUCAUCACCAAUCAUUUUAGGUAACUGACGGCUUGCAGCAUACCGCUUUAGCUAUAUAUGCACACAGUUCAGGAGCAAACCAACACAAGUCUUCUAUUCCCAAGCAUAUCUUAUCAAAGCACAUUCUGUCCUGAAAUUCAUUUGAACUCUUUAUUGUUCCUUUUUACAGAAAUUUUAAAACCAUGGGUUUCCGAUUUCCUGGUAUUAUACAUGCCAAGAAAAAUCAAGUUUCUUCAAAGUCAUUGGAUGUUCCAAAAGGCUAUCUUGCUAUCUACGUUGGGGAGAGCCAGAAGAAGCGGUUUAUUAUUCCUGUGUCCUACUUGAACCAACCUUCAUUCCAAGAUUUGUUAAGCCUAGCUGAAGAUGAAUUUGGAUACGAUCAUCCAAUGGGUGGUAUCACAAUCCCCUGCAGUGAAGACAACUUCCAUCGUCUCACCUCAGCUUUGCGGUAUAUGUAGAGAGGCUACAUAUACAUCGAAACGAUUUUGACACCAACGGCUGUAGGAGCACUUGGCAAUUUUAAUCGCUUUCUGGCUCACUUGAAGGAGGUUCAAUUGAUCCAUCGUCCAAUGAAUCAUUGUGAUGGAAGACAACAUCAACGUCAAACUGCUUCUGAGCUGAGAGGAAAAUGGCCAGCCUAGCGGACCUAAACUCACUGACAAUUUUUCAAGAAUAGUUAUUGUCAACUGAAUGUACAUAGUUGUCCUGCAAGGAAAACUGAGAUUAGAAUAUUUCAUUACAAUACAACGUUUUCACAGUUUCAUGAUUUACUGUUCAUUUUAGUUGCCAUCUUCUUUCUAUCAAGUUAUGAACAGACGAUAAAUUUACACACAAGGGACUAAUUCCUGGAAUAUUGACAGACGAAGUAAUGCAAGUAAACAUGGCGGAUUUAAAAACAUGUUAAGAAUGGACUAUUGUACGGAUAAAAUUUUAAAUAUAACAAGCAUUGGAUGCACCCUGAAUAGCACUAAUCCCUGCUGAAAUUACCAUGAAAAUACCAAUAUGUGCAUUGAAAAUGCCCCAAAUUAAAUAGCACUAGUCUAUGCUUAAAUUCUCAAAAAAAUAUCAAUGCAAACAUUCUUAUACAUUAUUUUAUUUCAUAGAAGUUUUCUUUUGGUCGACAUUAAAAACCUAUUCAGGCAAAUCCCUUAAGACAUGCACCAAACGUAUUAACCAUGCUAGGUUCUCAAGAUUUACAACUCUUUAUAUGAUUAUAUUACUUACUAGCCUGGUCAAAAAGUUUCAACCAUACAGAUAUUAGCAAAGCAAAAAUAUAGUCUCAAGUAGGUUCUUUACUGCAAGAGAUCAGCCUAGAUACUUAAUUUUUGCCAGUGUCAACAACUACGACUCUUACCUUCCCAAAAUUGAUCUGAUUACUCGAAUAAUUGGUACCUAUACAUACGAAUGCUCUUACUUGAUUUAGUGUGUUGACAGUGAAAUCUGUACGUACUAAAAAAAUUCCCUUUAUGGGAGCUACAGGUCUUUGGCUAGCUAAUUGAGUACUGACUUGUGUUAAAUCUCUCAUGGAUUAGAUCACAUGAUUGGUGAUUAAGCCAAAAGAACUGGGGGCCGAAGCUAUUUGGAAGCUCCUGAGUCAAUGUCCGUCUUAUUAAAGAAGCACCAUGUCCACUCUCAGCAGCUGUAU